UACUUUGCUAUCGGUAGCACGGAGCGCUUCGUGCUACCAAGUUGUUUUUGAUGAUGCGGUUUCCAAAUCGAUGAUCGGCUCCGUUAGACUUGAUCUAUACUAUUGAGAGUAUUUGAAAAUUAAAUUUCAGAUUUUUUCGACAUCAUUUAACUAGUGAUCAAAAGAUCUCAAAAUUGACAAUUUUAAUGGCCGAUGUGGUGUGCUUGUGAGUUUAACGGUGUAAAAUAAUCCAAAUGCGAUGAAAAUUUUAUAGAAAAUUCUUUUCACUAUUUAGAGUAAGAUCAGAUAUACUGAUCUUGAAUUUAAAUUUUUUAUCAUCAUUUUUCAUGAGAUUUUUAUUUUCAGCCGUUCAAUUUUAGACUACUUGUUUGAUAGGUAAAUGAUAUCGAAAAAUUCUGAAAUUUAGUUUCUAAAUACUUUCAAUAGUGUAGAUCAAGUCUAACGGAGCCGAUCGUCGAUUUGGAAGCCGUAUCAUCGAAAACUACUUAGUAGCAUAGAGCGCUUCGUGCUACCGAUAGUAUAAUAGCCUAGCUCGUCUUAGCAACUGCUUUUGCUGCAAACAAAAUGCAGAGGUAGCAAAUUCAAGCUGCACUUCAAUUACGCUCCCUUUUUUUUUUUCUUUUCUUUUUUUUUUUUUUUUUUUUUUUUUUUAAGUUUUAGUGAAUUCAUGAGCCAUGAAAGGUUCAUAUAAAUUAACUUGGGUAUCCUUGGAGAAACAUGAACAAAAUUACAAAUAUAUCCAUCAACAAUCCAUUAAUAAAUUUUUUUUUUUUUUUUGUUUUUUGACAGACAAGCCCAUUAGGCUUAUUGGGCUGGAAAAAGAACUAGUAAGAAAUGUCUAGAGAUGGGCAUAUCAAGAGGCCCUAUACUUUCCAGAUUUUAGAUCUUGGUCCGUUUGGUCUAAUUUCUGCUUCUACUUUCGCCGCGAUGAUUUAUGUUAAGUUGUUGGUAAGUUGACAUUUAUGUUUCCAAUUUUACUGGAAAUGUGGGAUAGAAUACAAAAUUACGAAAUUUAUUUGGUAUGUUAAUAGCAUCUAUAAUAGAUACUUUCUAAAAAGGCUAGUCCGGUAUGUUUUAGAAAUUCAAAAUUAUCUCAUGGCUUCUGAAUAUCCAAUUUGAAAAGCCAAUUCAAUAAAUAAUGUUUAUUAUAUAUCAACUUUUAACCUUUAGACUAAUAUUAUUUCACUUGCCACCACUAAAUUUUAGACAUCUAAGGCUUUGUUUGGGAUUGCGAGGAAAUUGCGUUACGUGCGGUUAUAAACGGCGAUGGAAAAAUACCCUGAUUGUUUUCGUACGUAAUAUUGCGUUCUGCAUAUUGCGGUUAGUCGGUUACGAUAUAUUUUCUGCGGUCUCAUCGGAAAAUGCAGAACAAACCUCAAUACCAAACUAAGUCUAAAGACUAAAAAGUAGAUAAUUUAUAUAUUUUGAGUUUCCUUUUGAGUAUACAUAAAAAAAAAAAAAAGGUAAUGAAAAGUAUGAGGGGUUCUGGUGCCAACGUGCGCGCAAUCUCACAUGAAACCUCCCAUUAAAUUGAAUGCUUAACAACUCAUUAGAAAGAGACAAAAUAUUAAUAAAAAGAAAGAGAGUUACAUUUCAUAUCACUAACCCAACAACCGACAUGUCAAUUGCCAUGCUUAAUUGCCUCUUGUUGAGGCAAAAAUUUCAACCAUUGGAUAGAAAGGGGCGACAGAAAAUCUCGGCCGUUCGAUGGACGUAUGCUGUUUAGUAAAUGAUAAGCAUCCCAAAAUUUUCAGAUACGGUCAAAAUUGAUAGGAUUCAGUUAUCAGAUAAGAUACCGACCGUUCCUAGAGCAAGUGGCAAAAGACUUGGUGGUUGGUAUCCGAGACCCAAGUUUGAAUCCUAGUUGAUUCACAUUUCCAGCUAAGUUUAUUUCUAAAUGAAAUAAACGAAGCAGGUAGCGUGCUAUCUAUCUCUCUCAAAAAAAAAAAAGAAAAAAAAAGUGGGAGUUUAUUUGGUAGUAGUAGAAGUAGUGUACAUUUCGGCCUACCUGUAGACUUUGACUUGAGAUCUCAGGGUUUUAAAGUUUCUCAUCUUCAACUGAGAGAUCAUUCAAAUCUAAUCUUCCAAGGUCGGACUGAUUCGAGCGGCCGAAUGUAGGUUAUUUAUUUAUUUAUUUUUUUUGAGAGAAAGGUAGCAUGCUGCCCGCUUCGUGAAUGUAGGUUAUUUAUUUAUUUAUUUUUUUUGAGAGAAAGGUAGCAUGCUGCCCGCUUCGUGAAUGUAGGUUAUUUAUUUAUUUAUUUUUUUUGAGAGAAAGGUAGCAUGCUGUCCGCUUCGUUUAUUUUAUUUAGAAAUAAACUUAGCUGAAAAUGUAAAUCAAUUAGGAUUCGAACUUGGGUCUCGGAUACCAACCACUAAACCUUUUGCCACUUGCACUAGAGACGGUCGAUGGCCGAAUGUAGGUUAUUGAUCUAUAAAAUACCUCUACUUUGAUCCAAAAGGGUGGUUUAAUAUAUGGAUUAACCGAUAAUUAUAAUGUAUAAUAGAAACGUUAAAAUAAAUUUUGGGUCGAUUUUUAUUAGAUUGAUAUUGUACCUAAUAUAAUAUCGAGCUAAUUUUAAACCCUAUAUGUUAUAAUAUGUUAUGGUAUAAGCAUAUAUUCCUGUCGAAUUAGGCUACUAUAUUAUAUAUAGUACCGGAGCUUUGGUACUAUAGUUUUGUUUUCGAUCUUAGGGUGUUCAAAUUAAUGAUCCACACUGUUAAAUAUGAUCUAGGGUAUAUGAAGUUCUUAGGAAUAAAAUUUUAAUUUUUUUCGACAUCGUUUACUUAGUAAAUAAAUUAUGUCAAAAUAGACGGUGGGAAUCGAAUAAUCUUUAAAAUUUGAGUAUAAGACUUUUAAAUUCAAGAUCAAGAAUGUUAACUUUAAUCUAAAUAGUUUAAAGUAUUUUCUAUCAAAAUUUGAAGAAAUUUAUAUUUUUCUAUACCGUUAAACUCCAAACUCGCCAUCGUAGCCAUUGAAAAUUGACAAUUUUGAAAUGGUUUGAUCAUAAAGUAAACUAUGUCGAAAAAAUAUAAAAUUUUAUUUCUAAAAAUUUUAAAUAUCCUAGAUCAGUUUUAACGUUGUGGAUCGUUGAUUUGAACACCCUAAUAUCGAAAACAAAACUAUAGUAUCGAAGCCCCCGGUACUAUAAAUAGUAUAGGAGACUAGUUCUAUUCCUGUCUAUUAUUUUUAUAUCUUUUUUGUUAUCUCUUUGGAAAAUCUCCUUGGUGGAGCAUAUGUAAGAGAAGUUAUAAAGUUAGUCAAUAUACAAAGUAUUUUUCAUAUAGAACUUAUCUGAACUAUAAACUAUUUUUAAUUGGCUAUCCACUUUUAAAUCUUUUAUUUUACUAUCCAACUUUUAGUUCGCUUGAUUUAAUUCAAUCAACAAUGAAUGUGUCGUUUAUCUUUACAUAUUUAGUUAGUAUAUAUAUUUCACACAAUUCUUGCAAUUACAAAUUUAUUAAAUUAAAAUAAUUAGUUUAAAUUUUUAAGUCAAAAUAUCAUUAAUUGACUUAGAUUAAAUAAAUUAAAAGCCUGGAUAGUAAAAUUAAAAUUUUGAAAUAUUGGAUAGUCAAUUAAAAAUGGUUCAUAGUCUAGAUAAGUUCUAUAUAUUUGUAUUUGUAAUUUAUUAGAUGAGUUUUACAGCAUGUACAUACUCUAUUUCUUUUUCAAAUACUGUUUUUUUUCUCCUCAAAUGAAAUAACAAUAUCCUUCUCAUAAUGCUGGUUUUCUAAUAUUUUGUUAGCUUAUAAAUUCUAGAGUUCAUUGUCAUAUUUGUUACUUAGAUCAAAUUUGAUUUUGAAAUAUGUAAGGGCCCCUUAGUGUUAACUAUUAAGUUGCCUUCUAAAACCACAUUGAGCAACAAUAAUGUGAUAAUUGGUAUUUACCUUAUUCCUAGGAGCAACCCAAUUUUCAUCCAGACGUAAAAUUGGUCUAGUUCCUGCUUAUACCUGAAUUUGUACCUUUUCCUCGAACAAACAGUUCUUACUUAUACCCGAACGAAACGCAGCCUUAGAGAUUCCGAGUGUUCACCGCAUCUAGUGGACUAUUAGACCCACUAUUUUGUUUCUUAUUAAAUGUGAUUUUUUUCGUAGCGUCUUUUUUUUAAUUAAUACAGAUUGAUUUUCUUUAGGCAGUGUUUGGUUGAGGGAUAAAGUGGGAAUAGUCCACUUUAUCCCUCUAAUUCAUCCAAACACUAGAAGGCUUAAUGAGUUUAUUUAAUCCCUCUCUUAACGAGUUAUUCUAGAAUAACCCGUUAAGAGUGGGGAAUUGUUGUUCCGCCCUUUUCGUGGAAUAACAAUUUCUUCUCUUUAUACCUCUACUAAUUUAAUAAUAAAAUAUUAUUAAUUAAUGUAUUAUAUAAUAUUUUAUUAAUUAAUUAACUAAAUUAAUAAUUAACUUAGUAAUAAAAUAUUGGCUAAAUUAAUAACUAUUUAUUAAAGUUUAAAAUUUAAAAUUUUAAUUUUUUAAAAUUGUAAAUUUGAGAUUUUAAAAUUUUAAAAUUUAAAAGUUUAUAUUUUAAAUUUUAAAAUAUAAAUAUAAAAUAUAAAAAUUCAAAUUCUAAUAUAAAGAAAGGGAUAAUACCAUUAUUUUUUAUUUAUACUACUCACUUUAAUUCUUAUUCCAUCUUAUUUAACCAAACGCUAUUUUUUUUAUUUCCAGGAAUAACCCAAUUUUCAUCCAAACAUAAAAUUGAUAUAAUCUCCGCUUAUACCUCAAUUUAUAUCUAUCAUUGGAAUAACCACUUUUUAUUUAUUCCCGAACCAAACGAUACCUAAUAGGGUUUUGGCGUGCUUAUUUUUUCCACCUUUCGAACUUCUCCUUUCUCUCUCUUCCUCUUUGUCUCUGUCUUUGCCAUGUCGAUCCGCCAUUACCUCUAUGUUUGUUCGUAUUAAACUGGCUCUUUCUUAGAAUUUCAAUGCUAAAACUCACUAGUACACUCUGAAUCUGACUCAUUUGCUGAAGUUUUUGACUAUCUAUAUUGUUUUGAAAGCUCUUCAAGACAUUCAUUUGCUGAAACUACAACUAUUAUUUUAGAGCGCAUGUUUUCUGUUUGCUAUAUUUUGACCUACGCCCUAAUGGAACAAACUAAAAAUACGUCAAUUGGAGAGAGUAAUUAUACACAGUAAUAUAAUCUUAUAUGCCCAUUCAUAUCCUACAUAAAGUAAAUUUUGUUUAAGAUUAUAAAAUUUGUAAAUGCGGGUUCCAAGUGCAAACAAUCAGGCAAAAAAAUUAUAAUUGCAUUAAUGUCGACAGUGAAGUAAGCAAGAUGCAAAUAUUAUAGAUAUAUAUCUAUAAUUGUAUGCAUCUCCAAUUGUAUUGUAUCUACAUAAUAUUUCAUUUUUAUAAUAUUUGGGUGUUUUUGAUGUCAAAAUAACAGGUUAGAAACUUAAUUAAAAGUUGAGUUUUAAUGCAAAAACAUUUCAAAUGUCUUAAAUCACAUUGAUCAGAUCAUAAAUUUUAACCUGAAGACAUUUAUAACUCAGAAAAUGCUAAUACUAUUAAUAGUAAGCAGGUUGAUACUAUAGUCUUAUUUUUGACGAUAAAGCAUCCGACUUUAUAAUUCAUUCCGUUGAAUAUGAUUUAUGAUAUUUAAAAUAUUUAGCAAUCACGCUUGGCAUUUUUUACAUUACAGUUACUGAACAAUUAAGUCUCAAAAGAACAAUAAAGUGAAUAGUGAAAAUUAAAUAAUCUUAGAAACUUAAGAAUAAGAUUAUUCAAUUUAAGAUCCAUGGCAUUAAUUUUGAUGGAAAUAUUUCAAAGUAUUUUUUAGUAGAAAUCAGACUUGUUUGAAUUUCUUCGCAUUGUUACACAUCAAAUAACUCGUUCUGGUCAAUAAAAACUAUUAUUUUUAAGACCUAUUAAUUCUUAGAUAAUUGUUGUGAAAAAAAAUAUAAAAUCUGAUGUCUAAAUCCUUCGAUCUCGCAAUCACAGGAUCAGGAGUGGGAUUGGCACACAGAAAUGUUGCGAAAGUCUUUAAAUAUUCUCAAUUAUGUUCAUUAGAGUGGAUCAUCAGUUUGAAACCUGUACGAUUCAAGAAGAGGCGAUAUCACUAACUCCUAUAUACUAUCAAAAGUAUAAUAGUAUUUUUCUUUAGUUCCUUUCUAGAUGUUAAAGUAAUAUAUCUAAUUAAUGAUAACUUAUUCGCUAAGAUGAUUUUCUUGUGUGAUUGGAAGCUAAAAUUUAAUUUUUGCUCCUAAAAAAAAUUUGGUAUCAAAGAUUUUAUAAGGUAGCAUGUUUUAUCAACAAAGUGAUUUAUUAUACUCAAAAAAAAAACUUUUGGGGCUUUUUUUGCAUUUAGCCCCCGGCAAAUUUUUAUUUUGAAACUUGUCCUAUCAAAAUUUAAUUUGCAAAAAUGGCCAUGAGCCUGCCACGCAGGCGCCACGUCAGCGCCACGCGAGCAUGGCCGGGGCCAGUGUGUUAAGUUGUACACGGUAAACCAUUCACCAUGUUCAAACACGGUGAAUGGUUCGCCGUGUUUUUUAUUUGUAUUCCUUUUUUUUUUUUUUUUCCUUUUUCAAAAAUCUGAACCCGAAUCCGAACCCGAAAAUCAAAUUAAAACUCAAACCCGACGGAUUUUAAAAAUUCAUACCCAUAUUCAUAUCCGACCAAAAACUCGAAAUCCAAACCUAAACCCAGCGAGUUUUAAAAAUUUAUACCGUUGAAUGAAGAUCUAAGGAAUAAAAAUUAUUAAAUAUUUUUUAUAUUGUAUAAAUAAAUAAAAAAUAAAUUAUGUAUAUAUAUAAUUUAUUCGGGUUUGGGUUCGAAUAAUAUUUCGGAUAUCCAUACCCAUUGACAUCCCUACUCUCUAUUCCUCUUUUCAAUAUUUAUAUUGCGAAAAAUACAUAUAUUUGUAUUUUUUCUAGACAUGGUAAACCAUUUACCGUGUUUGGACACGGUGAAUGGUUCACCGUGUUUAACUUAACUACCGCCCCCAGCCCCGCUCACGUGGCGCUGACGUGAUGCUUGCCUGGUAGGGACGGGACCAUUUUUGCAAAUAUAAAUUUGCUGGGGUUAUUUUUAAAAAUAAUUUUUUUAAGGGUCCAAUUGCAAAAAAAAGCCCUAACUUUUGGUUCCUCAAAAAAUCGUGAAAACUGUUUUCAAAAUUUUUUUUAUGAAAAACAGUCUUUACAUAUUUUUUCCCAAAUAAAAAAAUCUAAAAAAAUAAAAAAUAUUCUAGUAAAAAUUAUUUUUCUUGGAAUCAAUAGGACAAAAAGUAUUUUUUCAACGAAAAAACUAUUUUUUAAAAUUAUUUUUAAAGAAUAAACAUUUUUGAAAGAGAAUACGUUAUCCACCCUAAAUAUUUGAUUAUACUUAUCAUCUUUCAAAUACUGCAUGCUUCUUGAGUAAGUGGGAGGAUAUAUGGAUUCAUAAUGUUCACGCAUCCAAAAACAACUUUUUAAUUUAUUGUACACAAACAAUUUGGUGCACUAUGUGCAUGCAGAAAUAAAUUUUAUUUCUCCAGCCGCACGACACUCUGUCAAACGAUACUCUCUCAAAGAUCGAAUAUGGUACUCACUCUAAACAUUCGAUUACACUUCUCGUCUUCUAAAUACUGCAUGCUUUUUGAGUAAUUUAGAGGAUAUAUGGACCACGACGUUUGCGCAUCCAAAAAGGGCCUUAUAUCUGAAUAUAACGGGCGGUGCACAAGCAAUUCGGUGCACUGGGUACACGCAAAAAGAAAAAAUCUUUCUUUCUCGAGCCGCACGAAACAGCCGUAUUAGGGGAGAAGAGAGUGCCCACAAAAAAAAAAAAAAAAAAAAAGAAAAGAAAAAAAAAAGCAAAAGAUAACAAAAUAUCGAGCUAUAAAUUAGUCAAACAUAGUUCGCUCUUGUUCCUCUUUUCCUUCACUCAACCUCUUCACGUUGUGGAUUAUUCGAAGCUCCGAUUAACGAUUUUUUCCCCAAAAAGGAGAGGAGAUAGGGCGUCGAAUUCGACGCCGAAAGAGCGAUUUCAUCGUAUUUUCGGGCCAAUUUUGGUGCGAAUUCGUCUCGUAUUGAGGAGUCGGCGCUGGAUUUAGCUCUUAAUCGAGGAUUUGUAGCUGUUUCUCGUCGAAUUUGUGAGCUGGGUUUGGGUGGGAUUGGGGCAUGUCGCUCUUCCGGAAGCUGUUCUACAAGAAGCCGCCCGAUGGGCUUCUGGAGAUCUCGGAGAACAUCUACGGUACGAAAAAGCGCUUUUUUUUGGGUGUUGUAAUGGUGGUGUGUGUUGAAAUGUUGUGCUUUUGCUUUUGGCUUGCUAAUUUGUUGCCAAAGUUUGCUCCUUUUUGUCUCUUUAAGCUCUAUUGGUGCUUGGCUGUGGAGAAUUAAUUUCCAUUUUUAGCACAAGGGAGUUAAUGGCCCUUUUUAGGAAUUGCAUUUUCUUUGAGAGUACAAAGUGGGCAAAUAGAGUUAGAAAUGGUAGAGUUGGUUGUAGGUUAGGAGAGGUAGAGUAUGUAGGAACUAGGGUUUCGAAAUUGAUGUUUGCUAUGCACUAUUUAGUGUAAGAGGAUUUAUAGGAACCUAAGAAUACAUCAUCGAGUCUAUAUUUGCUAAGAAAAGAAUGGCUUUGCUGCAUUAACUAAAUUAGGUCUACCGCGGCCUAAUUUAGUUAAUAGAAGCAGUUGCAGUAGCUCCUGUGGGGGCUGCCGGGGCGAAAUUUCCCUCAUGUGGCGGCAACUCUAUGAGUCUUGGUGGAAUGUCAUGGCAUUUUGCGUUUACGGGAGGUGACAUGGCGACUCUUGACCCGCCAUGGCACCCAAUAUGAUUAGUGAUGUGGAAGCCACUUAGAAUCGAGGAAUAUAUUUUGAGUGAUUUUACUUUUCUUCUUGAUGAUAUGCGACGUUACUCGUUCUUUCUAUUACCUGUCAUUGAUAUUCUCAAUGUUAUAGAAUUGAAUUUUGUGAUCUCUAGAUUUUAUAAUUAGCCUUUUGCAUGAAUGUCAUAUGAAAGAUUAUUGAUUGCAUGGUGAAAAUUGAGUUUUUAAGUACUUAGGAAAAGGAAUUAGGAAGAAAUGUUGGAUGUUCACUUUGGGCUCGUACUGAGCAGCAAGCUGUGUAAUGUUGCCAUCCAAUAUUUGUUAGGUGAAUGUCUAAUUUGAAUCAUGAGGAUGGUUCGGAUGAUCUUUAGGAUGUGAUCCGCCAUCAGAAGCUGCCGAUGGGUGGUUAGAGUAUCUUUAAUUGUAUCUUGGCAGUCAACUUUAGUUUGGCUUUUGUUCGUGAACCCCAAUCCACAUCUUAUGUGGAUCGGGUUGAAUUUAAAUGGGCCAAUGUGGACACACCACAUGGCAACAGUUCGGAAAAAGUAGAGUUUAAUCAAGUUAAUGAGUCAAAUUGAGGCUUGUGGUAGCUCUUCAUUUCUUGAGAUUUUGGACAAUUUUCAUUGAUCCUACUUAUAGAUUACUAUCUAAAGAGUCCAAAUAGAGCUGUUUGAAAUCUGAGUGAAGGAAAGUAAUACAAUUUCUACUCUAUACUUAAUAGUAAAAAAUUAUUUUGCAUGCUUAUCAUAAUUGAGUUGCUUUUCAUUAUAUUCUAGGCUGUUACUUCUAAAGCAAGGAUUAAGUGCUGUGGCACAGGGCUGUGCCAAGCACAUGUCGGCGCGGUAUGACACGGUGCGUGUUGUGCCGUGCUGACAUGUACCCUUCAGAAAUAUACUUGUGUGCGGACACGCAAUGGUGUGAAAUAUUUAUUUCUUUUGCAUCGAUAUAUUCUAAUUGCUUAUUAUAUCUCUUUAUCAAAUCUUGUGCACUUUGUUGAUGCAACUACUUGCUAAUUUCAAAGAAAUGCGGGUUUUGGACCUUGCCAUUGGGACGGGCGUCAUAUCGUAUAGAUGUUUUGUCGGCACAGUGGGCACGGCCCGUGCCGAUGGGCACUUAAACCCUUGUUCUAAAGUACAUUCUCUGGAAAAAAACAACUUUUAGUUAGGACACUUGUGCUUUUCAAUUUUUUUCUCUUCUGCAUAGUAAGGAGAUUUUAUAAGGUCUAUUUAGCCUAGUUUGUUCGGGAACAGACCCUGAAAAGUUAGAUCAUCGUCAUUGCUAAAUGGAGAUGCUUUUGAGAAGAUCAGGUUUUUCUUCUUUUACGGUCAGUAUUGUUGCUAUCACUAUUGAUUCUUUUCAAGUUGAUCCGAUGGAACAAGCUUUCUAUUAAUAAUAAACUUUUUACCUAUAGCGUUCGAUUGCUGCUUCUCCACUGAUUUUUUGGAAGAAGAUGAGUUCAAAGACUACUUGGGAGGCAUUGUAGCACAGCUCCAUGAACAUUUUCCUGACGCCUCGUUCAUGAUCUUCAAUUUUGGUGAUGGGGAUAGAGAAAGCCAGAUAGCCCGAAUUCUCUCAGAGUAUAAUAUGACUGUGAUGGACUAUCCCCGCCAUUACGAGGGUUGCCCUUUACUGCGUGUUGAGAUGAUCCAUCAUUUCUUGAGGUCGAGUGAGAGUUGGCUUUCUUUAGGACAUCAUAAUUUUUUGUUGAUGCAUUCUGAGCGAGGGGGGUGGCCUGUUCUGGCUUUCAUGUUAGCAGCUCUUCUUGUGUACUUGAAGCAGUAUAGUAGUGAGCAGAAAACCUUGGAGAUGAUUUACAAGCAAGCUCCUCCUGAGCUCUUGGAACUGCUUUCUGCUUUGAAUCCCGUGCCUUCCCAGCUGAGGUACUUGCAAUACAUCUCAAGGAGAAAUGUCGCCUCAGAGUGGCCUCCUGAUGAUCGAGCGCUUACCAUGGAUUGCGUGAUAUUGAGGAUGAUCCCAAACUUUGAUGAUGAAGGUGGUUGCAGGCCAAUUUUCCGAAUUUAUGGUCCGGAUCCUCUUAUGCCUACUGAUCAAACUCCAAAAGUUCUUUUUUCAACUCCGAAGAAAAGUAAAUUUGUCCAGCUUUACAGACAGGUAAUUAUUUAUUUGUUAUGUGUUUGUUUUUAUUUUUUAUAUAAACAGCGUUAAAUGCACUUCACCUUUGCAAACACUAGCAUUUGAUGAUCUCGCUUUUCAUAAUUUGUAAUAUAUAUUUUUUCAUCGUACUGAUACAGCUAGAUGUUGAGGUGCAAGUUGUCGCGAGACUAAUCCCAUAUUAUCAUGUUUCAUACUAGAAAAUACUUAUUAGAAGCAAAAAAUAAAUCUACUUCUUUGCUUGCAUCUGAACUAUCAGCUGCAGCAGAAAACUAACUCUUUUACUUCUAACUUUUUUUCCUGUUGCUUGUCAUGGAAUUCAGGCUGAUUGCGAACUAGUUAAAAUUGACAUGCACUGCCAUAUUCAAGGAGACGUAGUCCUUGAAUGCAUCCAUCUAGAUAAGGAUCUAAACGGGGAAGAAAUGGUGUUUCGUGUCAUGUUUAAUACUGCUUUCAUUAGAUCGAACAUAUUAAUGCUGAAUCGUGAUCAAAUAGACAUUUUGUGGGAUGCAAAGGACCAGUUUUCUAAUGAAUUUAGAGCUGAGGUAUGUGUUUUUGUCUUUAGAACUUAUUUUUACCUUGGUUGAUUGCAAACUUAAUUAAGUUUGACCCCAGUUCAGUUUCCUUCUUAUGAGUUCUGAUUUAACAAUUUAGUCCUUAAAGUAUGAAUCCAAUUUUGAUUUCCACCUGUCAAGUCUAAAAUUAACAAUUUAGCCCUGGAAAUUUAACCCCCCUCUUUAGUUUCAUGUUAAGAGUGUCAAUUUUAAUGAAGCAAAACUCUGAGGAUGGCAUUGACAUGGCACUUUUUUCAGAAGGUAAACUAUUAGAAGGACUUAUUUCUCAUGCGGAAUAUGGUUUGAAGACUAAACUGUGAAAUUUGAGAUGAUGAAUAUGAAUUUUGAAAGCAAAACAGGAUUGAACUUUAGGGACUAACUUUGCUUUUAAACCUUGUAUUUUCCACUGUCCCUCUUAUGGCGUGCGGUAUUUCUUAUAUGAAGAUUCUUUUUUCGGAGAUGGAUACAACGCGAUCAUUUGUCACGUUGAAUUUUUCUUGUGAGGAGAAAGGACUCCCCGUAGAAGCAUUUGCCAAAGUUCAGGAGAUCUUCAACAAUGUAGAUUGGCUAGGUGUGAAGGGGGACGACGCACUUCAUGCACUACAGCAAAUAACAACGCCGUCGCCCGAGAAGUCUAAUGCCGUUGCUGGACAGAAAUUAGGAACUGAUUUUAUUUCAUUUGAAACAAGUCCUGACAUUCUUGUGGAAAAAUUGCAAAAUGGUAAACCCAAUGAAAUCUCGAGAUCUGGAAAUUCAGAAGUGGCUUCCUUAACUCCGCAUUCACUUUCAAAUAGUUCUUUUGGUUUAGGCCAGCCUUAUGAAAAUGGUAUAUCAGCAGUCUUACCGCCAUCUCCGCCGCCGCCUCCUCCGCCGCCUCCUCCGCCACCACCAUAUUUUUCAACAGUUGAUAAACGUAGAAUAUCAAAAGUUCUUCCUAAUCCUUCUCUUCCUACUACUACUGUUUCCUCAUCACCAUCAUCAACUGCAAAGUUUGCUCCACUGCCACCGCCUCCGCCGCCACCACUUCCACUUUCAAAGGCGAAACCUGUUUCUUCCCUUUCUCGGGAAUCGGUCCCCUCAAACUCUUCACUAUCUAAUACAACAAUUUCUAUACAGCCAACGCGUCAACAACCUUCGAUCAACAUCUUAAAUAAGAAAUCUACCGAAAUCCCUACCCAUCCUCUACUGCCACCAGGCACCUCAUUAGUUCCUCUUCCUUGUACUCCACCUAUUAAAAAGGCAUCUCCUCCCCAGCCUCCGCCACCUCCUCCUCCUCCUCUACCUUCUCCACCUGCAUUUUCACGUGCUAAAUCUUCUCUAGUUGCAUCUACACCUUCAACUCCAUCUAGCAUCCCUCGACCUCCUCCUUUGCCUCAAGGUUUUCCUAAUCUUUCUUCUUCUUCUAUAAAGAAGGUAGCAAACAUGACAAAUGCUCCCGCCCUGCCGCCGCCACCACCACCUCUACCACCACCUCUACAUUCUUCGCCUUCUCUAUUUGCAUCUAGACCUUCACCACCAUCUAGUAUUCCUUCCCCACCUCCGCUACCCAGUACCUCAUCAAUUCCUUGUCCUUGUCCUUCGCCUUUAAACAGGGCAGCUAGUAUGAAAAGCACAAUUCCCCCACCACCCCCACCUCCAUGUUCUGGGUCUUCUCCAAAUGCAUCUAUACCCUUAGCACCUCCCCCACCCCCCCCACUAUCAAAUUUUACCCCGCAGAAAUCAUCCCCUGUUCCACCUGCACCGCCGCCUCCGAUUCUUGCUAAGGAAUCCUUGAAAUUUUCUCAGCCUACUUCGGAGAAUACGAGAAUAGGCAAUGGUCCUGUGCCGCCUCCACCUAGUACUUUAAUGCCCCUUAGUUCACUCGGUAUUAAAAGCCGUAACGUAGCACACUCCAAAAGCCCAAGGAGCUUGCACUCUCUCCAAACAUCAUCCAAAAAAGCUUCUCUGAAGCCGUUGCACUGGGUUAAAGUAACAAGAGCAAUGCAAGGAAGUUUAUGGGCUGAGACGCAAAAAUCCAAUGAAGUAUCCAAGUAUCAAGCCCUCCUUGUUACAUCAUUUUCUUAAUUGAUCAUUGCAGAAGUAUGGAUCUUAUUUCUUUUCUUUGUUGUCUAUGCUAGGGCUCUGGAGAUUGAUAUGUCUGAACUUGAGAGUCUUUUUGCAGCAGUGGUUCCAAAUUCAGAUGCUCCUAAUUCGGGUGAAAAAUCAAGUCGGCGUGCCUCUGUUGGGGGAAAAUCAGAUAAAGUUCAUCUGGUAAGCUUUGCCUUAUACUUUUAUACUACCUGCUUCUGUUAUUUAAAUAUUUCUUUUCAACUUCUAAUCUUGUUUCUUCUUGACUUUAUUAAUUUUAUCGGCUGCUAUAUUUCAUUGUCUAGAUCAUCUUUACUUUUAUGGAAUUUUAGUUCAAAAUUUCAUAGAUGUAAUCAUAUCAUGGUAUAUGGAAGAGACCGCAAUUGGUCAAUGGGUUAAGGGGUAAAAAGGGGGGAGGGGGGCGCGGAAUCUAAGCAAGUUACAUGUUUCAUAUAUUUGUCUCAUCAUUAUCCUAUCAGAUUCAAGUAACAUUUUUACUGGCUUCUUUGAAAAAUUGAUCAAGUAAUUCGUGUAUGUAAUGGUAGGUAUUUGAAUUGUUGAAUCAAAUGCCGUAUUCAUUCUUGUCCAAUUAUUAUUACGAAAUUACAUGAGAAAACAGAUAGCAUUCAAGUAUUACUAGUACCAGGUUCUCAGGAAUCAUAUUCAGGGGAAUGUGACUCUUGAUGUUAAUCCUGUAAUCUCCAAAAGAAACACACAAGUGUCUCAUGGAAUGUCGAUGGGCAUGAGCACUUGCCUUGGAUCUACAUGCAUAUUUAAAUGCCAGAUUUGUCAAGACGAAGAAAUUAAGAUAAGGUCAUGUGACAAAUACCAAAUGCUUCCAUAUUUGGACAAAUGUAAGAGAAUCUUUUACUAGAAUGCUCUGUUGUCACCUGUUUGGCAGAUCAAGAAUUGAAUUCAAUUAAUGCGGUAAAUGCAACAACUAAAUAAUGGCAGUCUUAAGUGACAUUGUGAGAUGCAGGAUAUUUUCCUAUUUUAUCUAACUAAAAUUAACCAUAUUAACUUUGUCAGUUUAUCUUUUUCACCAUUUCUAGCUCCUUUAAUUUUUCAGCACGAUAAUAGUUUGCUCCAUUUCAUGAACUUUGAUUUGCCUUAAGGUAAUAAUAGGCCCAUUUUGAGAGACCGGCUCUUAGAUAAUUCUGAAUUUGAAAACCCAGCCUGAUGCCUAUACCAGAUUGGCUGAUGUGUAUCUGACAUAGGAAUGCAUGUGGACAUGGGUUUUAGUAGGAUGCUUGUGCCAAAUUAAGACGUGAAGCUUGGCAACCUUGCCGAACGUCUAGCUGAUGCUGGUUGGUCUGCUGGUCAGAACAGUAAAUUGGGAGUUUGCAAUUGGCUUUUAUGCUUUGCAUAGAAAAGGAAAAAGAUAGCACGAAAAAAUCUGGACAUCCUUCCAACACUCAAGGCGGACAAUAUAUAAGUUGGAUUUCAUAGCCUAAAAAGAUUGUGGGUUUUAGUUAUUGAUUGUCUAGAAGCUCAAGUAAUCUCUCUCUCUCUCUCUCUCUCUCUCUCUCUCUCUCUCUCUCUCUUUUGUUUUGCAUGUGAUUGAAUGGUUUUUGAUGUUGCAUGUGGGCAUUAUAGUGAGAUGUAAUUCUUCUUUAACUUGGUUCCAAUUCGAAAGAACUUAUUUGUAAGGUAACCACGUAUAGAUUGUUUCCUCAAUAAAAACUAGUUUCACUAACUCUUGUGUAAUUUUUUGGUGCAGAUUGAUCUUAGGCGGGCUAAUAACUGUGAAAUAAUGCUCACAAAAGUCAAGAUGCCGCUGCCUGAUUUGCUGGUACCAACUUUGACAUGUAAUCUUAUUCUUUCUGUGUACUUUGUUCUAGUGUAACUAAGAUGUAGUUCAUAUUGAUGAUCACACAGAAGUUUUGGUAAUUAAUUAUUAUGUACGUAUCUUUAUGAGAAUGAGCUAUAGGAAAGAACUUAAAAGUUUGAGCUAAAACUUCCUUACAAUAAGCUUAUUUUCAUUAACUUACUCUUGUACAAGGUUGUCACCUUUUUAAUCUGUAUACUCUUGAAUUUCACUGCAGAUUUCAUUGCUUGCCCUCGAUGAUUCCAUUUUGGAUGCCGAUCAGGUAGAAAAUCUUAUUAAAUUUUGCCCAACAAAGGAGGAAAUGGAUCUACUCAAGGUAAAUAUUCUCUGUAUUGUACCUAAUAUAGCUUUUUGAACAUUGACUUGGUCUGUUUCAUCUCUAAAAUUAUGUACACACACACACACAUUCAUUUCUUUGAUGCAUGACAACAGAAUGAUAGAUUUCUCUUUCUUGUUCGAAUUUUUUAGCUUGACGGGUUUCUGUUGAAUUUUCAGGGGUAUGAUGGUGAUAAAGAAAACUUGGGGAAAUGUGAGCAGGUUUGUUUCUGUUUUCUUAUGCACUCCACUUUGUUUUUAUUGGUUAAUUAAAAUAGUACAAAGCAAGAAAAGGAUAAGCUGGCAAAUCUUAAAUGUCUUCCCACAAUAUGUAUUUCAGAGUUCUUUGGCGCGCAAGCGCGCGCACACACACACAAAAAGCACUGGUGUGUUUCCUCCCACUCGCUCACAAUUACUUGGUUCCUGGAUUUUGAUUUUGACUUCACAUGUGCUUCCUGAAAAGUGAAAGGCCCUUUAGUUUACCAGAAAGAGGAAAAAAAAAAAAGAGAAGCUUCUUUUGUUGGAGUCGUGCUUUUAACUAGGGCUUCAAACACCGAAAUUAGUACUUCUAGAUUUGCUAAUGAUAGAACAGAUAUUUCCACUUCUCAUGUUCGACUUUACACUCAUACAAAAACUGAAUCUAUUGACUUCUCUGGCAAUUUUGCCAUCAGCAUCCCUCAAAGCUGUUCCAAAUAAUUAACCAUAGAGAAAUUUCAUUGGACAUGAUUAUUCCUGAAAACUUCAGAAAACUCCAAACUCUAUAUCUUGAUUUUCCGUGAUCUCUGAUCAUAAUCCUUCUUGAACUCAAUGAUUCUUUAAAGAUCCAACUAAGUUGCAUCUAUUUAUAAUGUUGAGAUCUCAGUUGGCCUCUAGGCUCAGGUACCUUUACUUAUUAGUUGUCUUUUAUGGGUAGACCAAUGGUAAUAUGGGAACGGUUCCUAGGUUUAGUGUUUGGAAAGUAAACAAAGCUUCAUUGUAUCUUCUCAAUAAAACAUUUUCAGAUCAUACCCCUGCCUAUAGUUGUCUGCUAGUGCUCAUGCGCUGACAUAAAUUUUGUAUGUAUAACAUAUAGAAAAAGUGAUAAUGUAUGAAGUAGCUUAUGAUGUCCCUUCUGUUUUUUUUCUACCAGUUCUUCUUAGAGUUGAUGAAAGUGCCAAGGGUGGAGUCCAAAUUGAGAGUCUUAUCCUUUAAGAUUCAAUUCCGAUCUCAGGUCAGAAAAAUCUUAUUCACUCUUUUACUGUAUUCUGCAUGCUGUUUGUCCUGCUCUAUCAAAGUCAAUUUAUAAAUUUCUCAGGUUGGUGAACUCAAAAAUAGCUUGAAUGUCAUUAACUCUGCAUCAGAAGAGGUACGUCCAAUCUUCUAUUCAUUAGUGCUUUCGCCAUUCCCUUAAAUAUUAUCACUUAAUUUUGCGCCCCUCAUGCCAUCAGGUCAGAAGCUCUGUGAAGUUGAAAAGAAUUAUGCAGACCAUUCUCUCUCUAGGAAACGCUUUAAACCAGGGAACAGCUAGGGGUGAGUAAGAAUGCCAUGUACCAUGGUUUACGAAAACAAUACAGAGAAAGCAUUUAAUUAAUUACGAAGAAGUUGGUAAUUCUGCUGGUAAAGAUAUCCUAGUUUCGUUGUGCUGCUUUCCGAAGACAUGCAAGUUGGCUUUUUCAAUUCAGUAAAUGCAUAGUCUUUCUAUAACUAUAGUACUUUUCUACAGCAUACAUCUAUUAACAUAAACGUGUGACACAUUGAUGGUAUUUUUGCUUCCAAGUUCGAACACAAGACAUUGAUUUAUGACAAGUUUCAAUUAGGAGAACUACAUUGGAGCACAGGAGCUUUGGAUUUGCUUGGGUGAAACUUGUUCAUAUUUCUAAUAAUCGGUUAGGUGUCUGGUAUUGACAUUUCUAGGUUGUCGAAGAAAUGUACAUUGUAGUUUUUUGCUUAUGUUUGAAACAUUUGGUAUGAUAUUUAAUAUUUAUAUACAGAAAGCAAAGAUUUUGAUUACUUUUUAACAGUUAGUAUAUCUAUUUAUGGUCUCUUCCACCUGUCCUUUGGGUUAAUCCCAUUAAGUCAUACAAUAUUUGAGCUCUGGUGCUUUCUUAUCUUUCUUAUAUCAUAUUUCAGAUGUAUUUUCUUGUNGUCCAUAUCUUGUGUACACGUUUGAAAUGUAUGGACAGAGAAAACAGAAGUAGGCAAUUUUCUUUCUAGCAACUUUGUAUUGAUUCUUAAAUCGUUUGCUCCCUCCUUCAGAUCUUAAAAGUUCUGAUUGCUGAUUCAUUUGUAAGAAUUAUUUAAAUGGUUGUCUGUGACCUUAUUAGCUAGUGAAAUUAAAGGCAAAUGAUGUUUGUUUUGCGAUAAAACUUUUGAGAUGAUAAAUAUACUUUACAUUUUAAGUUUUACAUUUUGACACCAUUGAAAUGAAGUGCGAUUUGUAUACCCAUUGAGUACACUUUGCAUUUAAACAAGCUAAUUAGCAGCUGAGUAUGUUCCAUGCUUGCAGGAUCUGCUAUUGGCUUUCGAUUGGACAGCCUUCUUAAACUCAGUGAUACACGUGCACGAAACAAUAAGAUGACUCUCAUGCAUUAUUUGUGCAAGGUACCAUGUCCUUCGUUUGUAAUUUAUUGCGAUCUCAUGGCUAGCCUCAUUAGAAUUCGAACAACACAUGCCUUGUAGUCCUUUUGCGCUCUUAUGCAUGAUACUUAGUAUGGUUUUAUUCAUGCUUGCUUUUAUUUGUGUACGCACAUCCAAGUUAGAUAACUUUUGCAUGCAGUUGUAGGAGCAAUUCUUCCAUUAUGUAGGUGAGGCUAGCAUAUUUGUGUUUUAUGGAUGUGAACCUUGAACUGAAAUGUCAUAAUUGACAAAUGAGAAGAAAUCGCCAUGCCAAUGGAACUGGAAAAGAUUGAGGAUGAGAUACUUGGACCUAAGUUAUUUCAUAAGAUGAGUUUCAAAAUUGUCAUUUGGUGGAAAAGUAUUCUGGUUCCAAAAGUUAAACUAGAUUGAAGUUGCGGAAAAAACUUAAUUGGUUUCACUCUGAAUUUGCCCAAAUAAAAAAAAAAGUUGAAAACAUGGAUGCGAGUCCCUUUCUAUGUCUGAUAUAAACAUAUGGAGCUAAGUCAGCUAACCAGAUUCAUGACUUGUAUUAUUACAUGAAAAAACUUCUCCUGAUAGCGCUAUGUACCCUCAGCACUAUAGUUCUAUUGGUCAAGGCACACAUUUUAUCAUAAUUAUAAAUGUUGCUAUGCAGGCUACUUGAUGCUUAAAAGAAGAGUCAGGAAAAACAUAACAUUAGCUUCUGCACAUUUGAAAUGUUUUGUGCAUCAUAUUUGAUGCAGUAUAUCUUGGACUACUGAAACAUAUUCGAUUUAUUAAUAAACUGAUAUUGGGAAUUCACACUUAUGGUUACCGGAUGUUUGGCUAAUGAUCUGCUAAACAAUCCUAUUGUGUUAUAAUUCCUAAGUGCUUCUAUAUUAGUGUAAGUUGUUUUAAGCUGUUAUUUUGGUUGGAGGGAAGUUUUAUGAAAUGUCGGUUGUGAAACUUUGGCUAUUUUUGUUUGUAUGAGGCAUGAAAAUAUGAUGCAUUUACUUGCGUAUUAACCCUCGUCUCCAAUUCUAGUCUUACUUACCCUAGUUUCAGCUAAAAGAUUUUGUUAUUCUGAUUAGAGGAAGUUAUUCUUGAUAUAUAGAGCUUCAUUCUCCAUGAUACCUUGUCUUAUAAUCCUAUAUAAGCUGCAGGUUCUUGCGGAUAAACUACCAGAUGUUCUCGAUUUCCAAAAGGAUCUUGUUAACUUAGAAGCUGCAUCAAAGGUGCUUCAAUUUUACUUGAAGAUUUUGGUUCUGCUCUCAUUUUCCUAUUGGCACCUAACUAGGUAAGUAAAACUAAUUUUUGAUACAGAUACAAUUGAAGUACUUGGCUGAAGAAAUGCAAGCUAUACAAAAAGGGUUAGAAAAAGUUGAACAAGAGUUGACAGCUUCGGAAAGUGAUGGUCCUAUAUCUGAAACAUUCCAUAAGGUACUUAUGCACAUAAGUAACAUGUUCAAAUCCUUUUAGGAUACUGACUUUGCAUCUUAGCUCCUGGACUUAAUCACUUAUUAGCUUUAAUAGCUAGCCUAGUAAAAUCCAUCAAGCCACCUUUCCUGUAUAGUGACUUUUUAACCAUUUGUUAUUGAGACAAGGCUAUCAUUUUGCACAAGGGGUAAAAUGCGAAUUUACAUGAAGAACUCAUGUGCUGAGCAUGAUACUCGAAGCUAGAUUUCUUUUCUUUUCGUGUGUGCUUGCGCGCAUUGGCACGCCCGUGCAUGCGCCCACGCGCAUGUGUGUAUGCGUGUGCGUGCUCACAUGCCUGCCUGUUUGUAUGUGACAGCCUAGGAUGGAGUUGCAAUACAUGACAAAGUCCAGGGACCGAAGUGUUUUAGUGAGAAGUUCAAGUGACUCGAUUGCAAUAUUGGGACAACAUGUCCUAUCCAUACAUUUUACCUUACAAUUUUCCACUUCCUGAUUUGCAUUAUUUAAAUGAUUCCUCGCACUCUUACAUUCCUAACCAUCAAAGGGGUCCUUUUCCUUACAAGUGCCUCUUUGUGAUAGUGGCUGUUUCUUUGCCCUGUAGCUGCACGCUGAUAGUUUUCUUCUAGUUGUACCUGCACUUGACAUGAAUUUCCAUUUUGGAAUGCAGAACUUAUUCGAUUUUAAAUAAUCAGAAUGAUUCCUAGCUAUUCAUUCCAUCCUUAAAGAGACUAUGAAAAUAGAUGAACACAUUGGGAGAUUUUGGUGCAAAACAUUGUCAGAUAAAUGAAACACUAAAGCUUCAUUACGUUUCAUACUCUUGAGCAUUUUGUUAUUAAUUGUGUAGUAUGUUCUCUGGGUACAACAUACUAUCUCGGAAGUUUCUAAAGCCAGCCAUAAUGUAAGUAUUGUCAUGCUAGUGAACACGUUUUUUUCAUAGUCGGCUGCUAGUGCUGCUCGCAUCGAUAAACCUGUGCUUCGCAUGCUGAUGAUGCCAACAUAUAAAAUAGGGUGUGUGCGAAGGUGUCCCUACAUGCCGUGCCAUGGUGAUGGCGCACUAGCAAGGCCCAUGCCAUCGGCACAGCAAUCCUUGCUAUAAAGCAAAUAAAAGGACACACAUAGAUGGACAAGGAAACUCUUCCACACACACAUUUGUAAGUUGGAUAAUUUUGGCAGGAAAAUUUCUAAAAAGGACAGAACAAUGGAAAAAAUUGCGCAACUUAUUGUCAAUGCCCCGUGACCGCCAAUUGGGCCCGCUCAAACACGUGCAGCAAACCCGCCGAAUGGGCAAAGUUUUCUUUACCCACACGAAGCGGAAUCUUAUACCAACCUGUACAAUGCAUACAUGAUACAGAAACAUAAAGCAUCAGAGUAAUACUACUAAUCUAAAUCAUUACAACUUUAAAGUUUUACAACACUUGUUUCGUCCCAAAAUAUUGCAUUGUUCACAUUUAACCAAAAAGAGGUACACACUAGACCGACUCACAACAAUCUAAUUACUACGCGAUGCCCUUGCCGCAGUCUCGCACCUCAUCGGCGACAGUAGGCUCUGAAAAGGGAUAAACAACAGGGGCUGAGAACUUGAAAUAAGUCCUCAGUAGAUACAACCGCCGAAAAUGACGUCUCUACACUCAGUCCAAAGAAGAUAUUAGUAGAACAAAAGUAGUAAAUAAAACAACUAUUUGUACGAUAAUAAUGCAGGUAAAGAAAAAUACUACUACAAUGCCUCGAGUAUGCUCAAUAUGUCACAAUGCUACUAUGUCAUUGCCUCAUUGGUUACAUGUUUAUCCAAUCUAUCUCAUAUAUCAACCAUCCAUAUGGUUGGUUCCAUUUCACAUUGCACACCUUAUGGAGAGCUGAGGGAGAUCGUACUUCUCUCCAAUCGGUAGGCACUUGGAGUCAAGGGUAAUCGGCACUCCAAGUAUUACGUAAGGAGUCGAGGGUGAUCGGCACUCCAAGCGCUACAUAAGGAGUCGAGGGUAAUCGGCACUUCCAAUGUAACGUAGGCAUCGAGGGUGAUCAACACUCCCUUUAGACACAUUCGGUAGGUCUCGACAAGUCUCAAUGUUACACCCCAAGUUCUCAUGAUGUCUAGGUCAACCACCAUGUCCACUAUACUUAUUUUCUAGCUCACGUUUAGCUUGGAGUUCACAUGUCACUAUAUUUUACACCUUAGGUUCCAACCUAGGUUAAAUGCCACAUUGUUUCUUAUGUCCAAGCCUCCAAGGUUCACAAUAUUCGCAUAUGCAUGCUACAUAUUUUUUAUUCACUAUAAUAUAGGGUUAGAAACCCUAUUUCCCUAAGUCAAGUGCUCAAAAGCAAUUUGAUCUACGAGAUCCCCUAGCAUGCAACUAAAAUACUUUUUAGUCUACAUAUUGUACAUGAUACAUGCAUAAAAUCAACAAAAACUUCAGACAAAGGGAACCUAUUUCGGUGAUAUUCUCCGCCUUAUCCUGGAUCUCUUCUAAGGAGUGUUCUUGAUCUCCUAAGACCUCAAAAGAAAACCUAAAAAUGGUUCUAAUAAGGUUAGAAUCUUAAAAAUCCCCUAUCUUGGAAAACUCCAAAACAAAAUCCUAAAAUUCCAACUUACCUCUUCUCUUGUAGCAAGAAAAACAUGGAUGAGAGUGGCUUCUUCUCCUCCCUAGAUCUUUCUCUUGAAGCUCCUGACCUUUUUCAAGCCUCCGAGGAGAUGAAUCCCAAGCUCCAAGCUCCAACAAUAGAGGAGCAGCUCUUUUCCCGUUUAGAGAGAGAGAAGAGAGAGAGAGCAAGAGAGAAAUGAGAGGGUGGGUUAGGGUUGGCUGUGAAAAAGGAUUAUAUUUAGGGGUGCUACAAUAGCACAUACCCACACCCCCCCCACCCCACCCAAAACCUUUUAUAUUCACAAGUAGACAAAUCGCUGUUUGUAUGUCAGGUUUCGGGCACCCGAAUCCGUCGUAGCCCAAUGGAUCCGCUUGCUUCAUAAUUUGGUGCCCGAUACUCAACAAAGCUGGUCUGUUGCGCAUGCCCGAGUGGGCCCAAUUGACGGUCUCGGGGCGUGGCACUUAUCAUUGCCGUUAAACAACAUAAGUUGAUGUUUAUUAUCUGUCUUUUAGUGCACUGAAUGAGAAAUAUCUCUUUGCUGAAGCAUUGACUGUUAAUGGUGUAAGCAUGACUUAUUGAGCUCAAAACUAACUGUUUAUCGAACUUUUCACACCUAAACAUGCAAUAAAAACCAGUAAUAGAUAGGAGGGCUACUUGCAACUAAUAUUUGAUGGAUGCAUAUAGUUGUAUUAAUUGGAAUAAAAUUUUCUUCACCCAUGAAGUUUCCUUUCAUACUAAAGAAAAUUAUUUUCAUUUCAGACUUUGAAGGAGUUUCUUGUUGUUGCUGAAGCUGAAGUGAGGUCUUUAACAUCCCUAUAUUCUGCGGUGGUGUGUAUUGUUGUUUUUCUUCUUUGUGCUCAACAAAUAACAAUUGGUUAGUACUUAAUACUCUUCCAAUCACUCUACAGGGUAGGAAUGCAGAUGCACUGGCUCUUUAUUUUGGAGAAGAUCCUGUACGUUGCCCAUUUGAGCAAGGUAGUUUCUUUAGCUCGAAUUAAUAUGUUGUUAAAAGUUUUCUUGAACCCUAUACGAAUUGGCUUGAUCUUUCUUUCUCUUUGUCUAUGUUUUCUGCUAUGCAGAUAUUGAUUGUAUUAUAUUGUUUGGGUUUAGUGACUACCAUGGAUGGAUUUUAAUGAUACUUAUAGGGCAUUUCUGUAUUAUGGUCAUGCAGGACGGUGUUAGCAUUUGUUACAUUUAGAUAGGUUUGAGUCACGUCACUCCUUUUCCAGUUAAUCAUAUGUGCUGGGUUUUUUUUGCUUUAAGAAAUUGCAGGUUAUGUCAAGUUAUCGGCUAAGAUCAGAAAUCGCAUGUCAUUCAGGACCACUUGACCAACCCAAACCGACUUCACUGAUACUAGUCAGACCCUGACUGAUUUAUUCGAAACUCACUUUACAAUAUAUUCUUCUUAUAAAUUGUGUAAUUUUACAGCUUAUCUAGGUGAUUUUGUAGUUUAGCUUACUUUGUUGUCUUCUAGGGCCAAACAUCUGAACGAUUUUGCCCAACCUCUAAGCAGCUCUUCAGUAUUUUGAUGGGCUGAGGUUUGGGGUUUCUUAAUAUCAAAUAAUGGAUAAGAAAUAACUAAAUAUGCUUUUAUUUGUGACAUUUUUAAAAAUGGACAAGAAUCUUACCUUCAGACACAAUUACAAGCAAACAAGACAGUAACUAAUGAGUUGGACUAUACACUUAAUGCAAAAUCUUUUCCAAAAGAUUUAACACUUCUAUAAUCAAUAGAAACUCAAUUUUAGACAUCUAAAUUGGAGAUUGACGCCUUUCAUUAUGAUUUAAAGGCAAUUACAUUACUUAUGAAUGAGAAGGUAUUUGAUUAGGUCUUAUGCUUAUGCACCAACAAUAGUGACGAAUUAGUUGAUUGGUGCUUUGCUAACGAGUUCCAAAUUUCUAGUUGUUUUUUUUUUUUUUUUUUUUUUUUUUUUUUUUUUUUUUUUUGUUUGAGACGGUUUUUAAUGCAGUAGAUUUGAUGAUCUACAUAAAAAGCGCCCAUAAAUGCAUUUUGCCAUAAGUGUUCUUCAUGCACUUUUAUAUUUCUUUUUAAGGUUUGAUGCAUUAGUAAGCUGUAGGAGGCAUUGGCAAAUUCUAUAAUUUUUGUUAUACUUUUGGUUGCUUAGUUACGUAGAUUAUAAUUAACACAGUGGUCAUCUCUUUGAUGAUGUAGGAUCAAGAUUUCAUUAUUAAAUCUCUUGCUAACGAUUUCACAUUUAGUGUGCAAUGACUGCAGUCAAAUCCUGCUUUAAAUUAUCUAUGUGGUCAAGUGACACAUCUAGCUCUUUAUACUUUCAAGAGAAUAUGAGAUUGAUGUAAUAUUUAAAUUGAUUACCAUUCUUUGCAAAUUGAUUUGCCUUAUAUUGAAAUUUAAAUCCCAUCGCGGACAUAUUCGAACAGAUUUCAAAUUGCAAAGAAACCACAAAAUUUUGCAAAAAAAUGUUCUAAGAAGAUCACUUUUUAUACGUUGAAAUCUUGCAUGCUGUUCCAUACUGGAAUUUGACGUGCGUUUCAGCUUCGUCUUUGUCAAAGCCUAGCUUUCUCUAACAUUCAGGUGAAUUACUUAAUGCAGUUGUCUCUACGCUACUCAGCUUCAUGAAAAUGUUCGAGCGCGCCAACGAAGAGAACCUCAAACAGCUAGAGAUGGAGAAGAAAAAAGCUCAAAAAGAAGCAGAGAAAUCGAAAAUCGCCGCUCAAAAGUGAAAAGAUAUCUCUAUUUCUCCAAUUAAUGCCGCGACACGUGUUAAUCUUUAUUCAUAACCUAGAAAUUGGUCCGACAAACCACACACAGUAGUUUCUCCACCUCGGAGAGAACUGCUGCAGGCCCGUAGCACACCAUAAAAUGUAAAGGAAAAUCACAGGAUCUGAGCUGGGAUUUCAUUACUCAUGCCGAUAAAAACGUGAACAUUAUUAUCGAGGAACCCAGCUCGACAACAAAAUCCUUGUUAGAAAGGUAAAAAUAUGGAGGCUCCUCUAUUGCAUUUAUUUUCUAUCGACAUAUUCGAAAUACUGCUGAUGUUUUUAACCGUCUUUGUCGCAGUUCGUCUUAAGAAGGCGAGAAGAUUGUUUGUCUCAAGAAGACUACCUGGUAGAUAAUAUGUACCAUAAAUUUUAGCCUAAACUAUUCUUGCUGUAAAAUUUAGCAGAUGAGAUAGUGGUUAAUUUUAUAUCUUCUUUUUCCUUUUUUAGUUGUAGCAUGUGUAUAUAUUUUCUGAAUUACGGAAACUGUACAAAAUUGUAUGUAACUCUUGUAUACCAGGUAGUCUAUGGUCUUUGAUUUUUUUCCAGUUAUGCGAUCCAUCUUCUUUUUUUUUUUUUUUUUUUUUCUUGUCUGGCCAAAGUGGGCUCUCUGCAAGUUGAAACUGAUAAAAUGUAGCAAACAUCUCAUUAGCUCAAAAGUACAAUAAAUUUUUUCUUAAAAAAUUAGUUGGUAUAUUUUAGCCAAUACGUGUAAUUAUAAAUUAAUUGAAGUAAUUAAUUAGCUUAAUUUUACAUCUUAAAAGCAAUCAAAUAAUUUAAAUCGAGCAUAUUAAAAGGUUAGAUAAUAAAGCAUAAAUUUUGAAAUGUUCGGAGUAGUAAGCAUCAAAAUAGUUUAUAGUUCAGAUAAGUUUUAUAUAUUUUUAUCAAAAAGAAAUUGACUUUCAAUAAGAGUUUUUACCAAAAAGAAAUUGACUUUCAAUAAGAGAGCGGAGAAAAUGAUCCGAGCUUGCCAACACUGCUAUCUCUCUUGUCCUGAAACAGGUAAAAUGAAAUAUGGUCCUCAAACUUAAUGAAAUGAAUAAGAAAUGGCUCUAACACUCCCGCUCAUGCGCGUAAUAUAAGAUAAUAUGAAUAAUAAUGUGUAUUGUAUGGGAAUUGUGUCCUACAUUUCGAUACUACGUUAUUCAAGUGAUCAAUCAAAACAAAACUAACUGCGUACGUAGGUCUAUGAAACUGCAAACAACAACCAAAACAUCACAUCUCGCGUAUAACGAUCAAAAUUGACUGUCCCUAGCACAAGUAGUAAAGAGUUUGGUAGUUGGUACCUGAGAUCUAAAAGUUUGAAUCCUAUUUUAUUUAAAUUUUCAGCUAAAUUUAUUCUUAAAAGAAAUAAAUAAAGCCGGUAGUACGUUAUAUUUUUCUAAGUAUUCAAAACCCAUCUCUCGAGCCCGUUUUCGGGCCGAUUUAAUUGAUUUUUUCCGUCUCGAAUCUGACUCGGCCCGAAAACUUUUAUGCAUACAUUAAACAUCAAAACCCAGUCCAAAAUAAAUCGGGCCAAUAGAAUUAAUUGAAUCUACGAUUACUUAAGAAUUGAAUAGUCUUACUAUAUAUAUAUUUAUUUAUAUAUAUAUAUAUAUAUAUAUAUAUAUAGAUAUGGAUAUAGUGAGUGAGACGGGUGGUGAGAAAGGUCAACAAAGUCGGCGCCCGUUAGCCCACUUGUAUCAUCCGGAUGAGGUUUGAUUUGCAUGCACGGCACAUUUGAUUUGAUUUACGCUGAAACGAAGGGGGAAUGAAUGAAGUAAUUAAUUCAAUCACCAACUUUGGGCACGUAUGUGUCUCCUUUUACGACCCGAAACGCAACCCCGUGUCGUUUCUAAUCAACACAACUCAUAUCUCUCUCUCUCUCUCUCUGUUAAAUAUAAAAAUAUUUAAACACCUCUUUAACCGCUUAAAUUUUUAGAGUACAACGAUUGUUUUACAUGGUAUCAGAGCAGAAGGUCCUGAGUUCGAGUCACGCUAGACUCUUAACAUAUUAAUUUUCUUCUAUUUAAUUCAAAUGCACGUCAUGGGCCAAUUAAAAAGUCUCAAGCCUUACUUUUUUAGAGUACAAACGAUUGUUUCACACACUUUCUCUCUCUCUCUCUCUCUCUCUCUCUCUUAAAAUUUUUUUUGUUAAACAUAAAAUAUUAAAAUUAUUAUUAUCGGAUAGCUCAGGUUUUUAGAGUGAUCAGUUAAUUAGUGUUUCCAUCUGAUAUCAAAGUUUUUUUGUUAAACAUAAAAUAUUAAAAUUAUUAUCAUUAUCUAGUAAGUUUUUAGAGUAAUCAGUUUUUUCAUCUUAUACCAAAGUACUGAUGCGUCCCCAAUUUCAAUUUCGCUAACCUCCUAGUUUCAGUGAUUUUUUUUUAAAAAAUAAUAUGUCAAACUAUUGAGUCUAAAAUGUUAGGGUGAGUAUUGAACAGAUAAGUAGUAAUCAUUGAUGAUGUCCAUGAUUCUCAUUUCCUAGAAUUUCCUCCUGUCUAGAUCGAAUUGGCAUCUUGCGACUUGAGCCUUUGGAGAUAAGGCUUGUUUUUAUAUAUAUAUAUAUAUAUAUAUAUAUAUAUAUAUAUAUAUAUAUAUAUAAAAUUAGACUGGAAUAUUAUUAAUAGUAAAACGCUAUUUUUGCUAUCAAGUUUUUAUCCUUGGAUGAAAAAUUAUAGGAUCAGGAUGAUAUUAGUCGGUUAGAGUUGAGUGGUCCUCCUAGGGUUGAGUGGUCCUCACUGGGUUAUAGUAUUUAAUCCAAUGGUUAGAAAUAAUGAAAAAAGUUGAUCCAAAGGUUAAAAAACUGAUAGCAACAAUGGAAUUUUGCUACUAAUAGUAGCCCAGUCCAACUCUAUAUAUAUAUAUAUAUAUAUAUAUAUAUAUAUAUAUAUAUAUAUAUAUAUAUAUAUAUAUAUAUAUAUAUAUAUAUAUAUAUAUAUAUAUAUAUAUAUAUAUAGAAUUAGGCUAAUAUACUAUUAAUAGCACCAAGUCAUUGGUGCAAUCAAGUUUUUGGCCAUUGGAUUAAGAGAUGUGCGAUUUUGAUGAUGUGGGCCCCUUAGGGUUGAGUGGGUGGUUGGUUGGUUGAAUAGUAUGAUCUAAUGAAAAAAAAAUGAUCAAAAAGGUAGAUCUAACGGUGGAAAACUUAGUAACACCAAGUGUUUCGUACUGUUAAUAGCAUAGUAGCCAGACUCUAUAUAGAUAUAUAAACUUUAAAUACCACCAUUGCGGUUUUAUUUUUUUUCUUUUUGUCAGCCCUUCCGUUAACUUUUUGUUAAAUCAUAUACAAAAAACUUCAGAUAUUCCACCUAUAGUUUAUCGAAUAUUCACUUUACUACUUUUUAAUUUUAACUUUGCCAUUGAUUUAACGAAAAAAAUUAAUGAAAUGGAUAAUAAAAAAAAAUAAAAAAUAAAAUUACAGGAUACUAAAAUGAGAAAGUACGAAAUCACACGGUGGCAUUCAAAGUUUUCUAUAUAUAUAUAUAUAUAUAUAUUACAUCUGUCUCUCUCUGUUUUUUUCUUUAAGAAUAUUUUUAGGUACAAACAUAGGAUUCUAAUUAGAAAGGUUUUUGAUGUGGUGUGGGUACAUAUGUACAAUUGGAUGCAGGAAGCAGUUACACUAAAAGGGCGAUGCACAGGAUCUUAUCUGCCAGGUAUUUGUACGGUUUUUGUCUUCCCUACGGCCUACACUGCACGUUUGCUACCCAACUCACAUUGUCGUUUUAUUGCCCGGGAAAACCAAAAACAAAAUUUCCAUUUGUUUUUUUGUUUUUUUGUUUUUUUAUUCAGUGGAUCGAGUACGGAUCCAAUUAAACAAGACGUGCAGUUUAUAUACAAAGUCUAAUAUUAUUGCCUAUAAAUAUUAAAUAAUACUGUUCUUUAAUAUUGUUGAGGUUCUAAAUCAUCCAAAAUAUUUCCCAUCAACCAUACAACUUGAACCGACCGUCCCUAGAGCAAAUGGCAAAAGGUUUGGUGGUUGGUAUUCGAGACCCAAGUUCAAAUUCUAGUUGAUUCACAUUUCUAGCUAAAUUUAUUUCUAAAUGAAAUAAACGAAGCGAGUAGCGUGCUACCUUUAUCUAAAAAAAAACAUACAACUUGAAAUUUUAAUUAUAGAACUAAACUGACUGAAAGAUUAUGUUCAAGACUAUGUUACUUAUAGAUGGUUAGAUUUUUUUUUUUUGUUUUUUUUUUUUUUUUGAGAGAGAAAGAUAGCAUGCACACCUGCUUCGUUUAUUUCUUUUAGAAAUAAAUUUAGUUGAAAAUGUGAAUCAACUAAGAUUCGAACUUGAGACCUUGAGUACUAACUUGUCCUUUGCCAUUUGUACUAUGGACGGUCGGUUAAUAGUAAAUAUAACACACUUCUAGAUUUUAGUUUGAAAAUUUUACUGUCGAAAUAAUCAAUAUUAUUACAAGUUACUUUUUCUUUUUUCUUUUAGUUGUGAGAGCUAACAUGUCAUCCAAAGAUGGGCAAUCAAAAUAAAAACUCUGAAUCUUGUGCAUUUGCAUUAGUUGUUUGCUAGUUUAACGCAGAAUUGUGAAUCUUGUAAAAACUUAAGAUUAAGCUUUUGAAAACAAAUGGUCAUUUCACACAAUGGAUAAUUAGUGUCCUUUUGUAUAAAUUACAUUCUGAUUUUGGUAUUAGUUGCAGCUUAAUAAGUUGGUUUAAAAAUCAUGAUUUUUUAGAUAUAUAUCAGGUCUUAUAGAUUAUACUUAAGCCUUCAUCGACCUUUGUGUAAAAUGAGUGCUUAAGCUAGCUACACAUGUAUAGUUUGAUCCUUACUCUUUACAGUUCAUGAUUAUAUAAUCUUGUGAUCCAGAAAAAAUUAGCAUUUUAUCCUUGUGUGAUUUACUAAUUGGCUAGGUAAAACCUAAGUACUGCAUUUUAUACUGCACAAAAUAGUAAAAGUGUUAUAUAUAUAUAUAUAUAUAUAUAUAUAUAUAUAUAUAUGGGGCUACUAUGCUCUUAUGAGUAUAGACUUUCUUGUACUUAUAAAUUUUUAACCGUUGAUUGAUGGGAUGUGUGGUUAGGAUAAUGGUUGUCCACACUUAGAAUGAUAGUGGUGCUCUAAAAGGUUUUUUUUUUUUUUUUUUUUUUUGAGGAGAGAUAGGUAGCACGCUACCGCUUCGUUUAUUUCAAUUAAAAAUAAACUUAGCUGGAAAUGUGAAUAAAUUAGGAUUCGAACUUAGGACCUCGGUACCACACCACCAAACCCUUUGCCACUUGCUCUAGGGACAGUCCUCUAGGGUUGAGUGGUAGUUUGUUAAAUAGUAUAAUCUAACGGAGUGAAAAUAAUUAAUGGAAUAAAUCUAAGGGCCGAAAACUUAUGAGUAAUAAAAAGCCAAUACUCAUAAAAUAUAAUAGCGGACUAAUAUAUAUAAUAUAUAUAUAUAUAUAUAUAGUCCGCUAUGGUGGCAUUGUAAAAGUACCAAGUAUUUGGUGCUUGUAAAUUUUUUGCCGUUAGAUCUACACCUUUGAUCAUUUUCACCCGUUAGAUUAUACUAUUCAACCAACCACCCACUUAACCCUAGGGGGCCCACAUCAUCUUAACCGCACAUUCCUUAAUCCAAAGGCUAAAAACUUACAAGCACCAAUGACUUGGUACUUUUAAAAGUAUAGGAGCUCAAUUUUAUAUAUAUAUAUAUUUCACCGCUCGGUGUUUUCGAGUGUUGCUACAUCUUUUGAAUUCGUAGUAUUGAGCAGAUUGGCAGGGACUUAGAAAUUUGUCAAGCGCGCCCAGCCCAAGUUCCUGAGCCAACCUAGCUGAAAGGGGGUAUCAAGGAGGCACCUUCUGUUGGAGAUGGAGGCUCAUGCAACUGCAAUCAAAACCCCCAAAACUGCUAGUGGAACAAACAUGGCACACCUCUAGGCCAAUGUGUCGGACCAUAGACUGGAGAGUGUGCCAGAUAAGGAUUGCUACAUGAAAAUGGACAUGUGGAGUUUCUAUUAUAGGAAAACAGUAUUUAUCUAUGUAUUCAUUUUUUAACAAGUUCUUACAAAUGAGAGACUUGAAAACAACAACAGGAACUGACCGUCCCCAGAGCAAGUGGCAAAGGACUUGGUGGUUGGUACUCGAGACCCAACUUCGAAUCCUAGUUGAUUCACAUUUCUAGCUAAGUUUAUUUCUAAAUGAAAUAAACGAAGCGGAUAGCGUGCUAUCUAUCUCUAAAAAAAAAAUGUUCUCUCUCCUCAGAUGCUACACCACAAAUUCAAGAGAUAAGUAACAUGCAUAUUUAUAAAAAUGUAUUGGAAAUAUUUUUGAUUUAACUGAAACCCGAAUAGAAUUAGAAAUAAUCUAAUGUUGACUGAAAGCUUAAUUAAUGAGAUUAAGAAUAAUUCCAUGGGUUAGGAAAAAAAAAAAAAUGGUCCGAAAAUUCGGGACACAUCUAAGAUUCUAAGAACUACUACUAUACUCAUAAGAAUAUAGUAACUCUAUACUUAAAAAAUGCUUGAUGGACUCGGGCACAAGGGAACACGAGACAUGGAUUUGAUCAUUAACUCACAACAAGACAUGUAUGACUAUGCAUUAGUGGAGGCUAAUUAGUGGUUAAGGAGUCAAAUUUUUUUUUGAAAAACAAUCUUUGAAAGACAUAUAUAUCAACUAUGAUGGACGUACGAUUGCUUUAUAUGAGUUGUUCCAAAUCUCUAUCAUGUGCGUUUAUGUUUUAAGCAGAAGAGAUGUUAUAUAAAGCUAACCAAAUUAAACACUCCUCCUCAAUCAUUAGCCCAACACAUCUAUUGGUGCACAUCCAUGUAAGUGAGAUGGAGCUUCAAGCGGGGACCACGGCUAACUAGGGUUAUAUAUGUAUGGUAUGAUGUCAUUACCUUGAUGGAGUAUAUGUAAAGUAGAAACAACUCUUUUGGCACCUUCUUGGCUUCUUUUCCCAGCCAUUUAAUAUGUAGCUAGCUAGCUUUGACAAGUCCCAGCUAUAUAUAUUAAUUACUAUUAUUAUUAUUAUCAUUAUGCUAUAGAUAUGUAUAGGGUUCGCUUUCUAUGCUAUCAACAGCAACAAGCGUUACCGACUGUCCCUACAGUAAGCGGCAAAGGGCUUGGUGGUUGGUACUCGAGACCCAAAUUCGAAUUCUAGUUGAUUCAUAUAUUUAGCUAAGUUUUUUUCUAAAUGAAAUAAACGAAGCGGAUAGCGUGCUACCUAUCUCUCUCUCUCAAAAAAAAAAAAACAGCAACAAGCGUUAGCUCGUUGCUAUAAAGUUUUUCGUUGUUAGAUUAUUCCUUUAACCAUUUUUAUCCGCUAAAUCGUAUUAUUUAAUCAGCAACUCAUUCAACCCUAGAAAAUUAUUAUUAUCUUAAUCGCAUAUCUCUUUGUCCAAGAGCCAAAACUCUAAGGGCUUGUUUGAUUCAAGGGUGGAAUUGGAAUGGAUAAUGGAAUGGGAAUGAAUUGGAAUGGUAAUUGGAAUGGUCCACUCCCCCAAGACGUUUGGCUUAUUUGUGGAUUGAGAAUUGGAAUGAGUUAUUCAUAUUUCAUUGUUUGGUUCGUAUAAACUAAAAAAAUUAUAGGAUACUAUAAUACUAAUUUUACUCUCAAAUAUAAAUUUAUAUUAUUUAAAAUUUAUGAAAAAUAUAAUACUAUUCUCUAAUAAGUUUUCCAAAAAAAUAUCAAAUUUAUUUUAAAAAACUUUUAUUGAUGUGGGUUAGGUAUAGAGUUUUGAGAGAGGAUAGGAUUUUUUUUUUUUUUUUUCGAUGAGAAAGGGGUGAAGAGAAGGAAGGUGAGAUGGUCACAUGGGCUUCGAGAAUUUAGUGGGCUUUCGGAAUGAAAUCUCAAUCCGGGCUAGAAGACCAGAAUCAAGUUGAAGGCUAAUGGGCCAUUCCCAUUCCAGUUCGGAAUAGAAAUCCCAAACCUAUUCAUGCGAACCAAACAAAAUUAACCGGAUUUGAUCAAACCGAUUCUCAUUCCAUACCCAAAAUGCAUGAACCAAACAAGCCCUAAUAGUAUCAAUAACUUGGUACUGUUAAUACUAUAUAUAGCAAUCUAGCUAGUUUUCUCUCUCUAUAUAUAUUUAUAUAUUUCUUGUAAUAAACUUCUGAGAUGUAUAUGCAAUAAAGCAUCAAGCAGAACUAGCUAUCUAUAACUAUAUAUUAUUCCUCAAUAACUGCACACGUGUCGCGAGGAGGACGCGGCGUGGGCGAGGGUGCGGGGCGCGGGCGGCUGCGGGCGCUGGCGCGGAGCGGGAGCGGGCGUGGGGCGGGGCGGGGGCUGGCGCGGGGGUCGGCGCGGGUACGGACGCGGGCGCGCGCGCCGCGGAGUGGCACGGGGGCGGGGCGCAGCGCGGGGCGGGGCGCGGCGCGCGUGCGGCGCCGGCGGCGCGCCGCGAGGCGCGGGCGAGGGUGAGCACGGCGCGGCGCGGCGCGGAGCCGAAAAAACAUCGGGCUCAUAGGGGUGGUCUUCACGGGGUCCACGAGGCCGAAGUGCCUCGUGACCACAUGAGAGGGAGGUCCACGGUGGACCUCCUCUGCAUUCUCUCUGCUCUCUCUCUCUCUCUAUAUAUAAUAUAUAAUUUAUUUAUAAAUAUAUAUUUAUUUAUAUAUAUAUAUAAUUUUAUUUAUAAAUAUAAAUAUUUAUUUAUUAUAUAUAGUAUUUUAUUUGUAUAUAGAUAUAUUAUUAUAUAAUAAUUAUAUAUAAUUGUACUAUUUAUUUUUAUAAAAUGUAAAAUAUAUAAUAAAUGUUCAAUAAGUUAGACUACUGGUAUUUGAUUUAAAUAUUAAUUUAUAAUAUUGGCAAUUCACAUAUAAAUUCUACAUUAAAAAUAAAAAUAAAUUGAUUGGGCAAAAAUAAAAUAAAAUUGAUGCAGUUUAAGUUAAUUUUAUAUUUGACGAAAAUUAAUUGCAAGAAUCACAAACAAUGAUUUCUCUUCUCAUUUACUAACUACUGGGGGACUACGAUACCUACUAUGGGGGACUACUAUGUCUACUAAAAUUUUUUGAUAUAUUUAUUGUAUUAUUUAAAUUCUGAAAUUAAUUUUUAUAACUAAUUUUUAAAAUUAAAUUUUAAAAUAACUACCCGCAGCAUCGCGCGGGUCCCUUACUUAGUAAUAUAUUUAUACACGCAUAGAUGUACACCUGCGCGAGGCCCACACCCCAUCCACGCGUAUGUGCACGCCUUGGUGUUCUUUUUUACGCGUAACAUGGUGGGGCCCACCGUCUUUAACCAACGGUCGGCAUGCUCCCACCGUGCUUGUGAUCGAUUGUUUAUUUAUUUAUUUAUUUAUUUAUUAUUUUCUUAAGAUCAUUCAUUUAUGUACAAUAAAAAGAAAUUAAAUAUAUAUGGGAGGGGAAAAAGCGGGUGUGUGUGUGAUUCAUUAGUGUUUUUUUUUGAACUACGUACUUAUCGCCUCACGAGCUGAAAAGUGCGAUGAUCGUCAGGGUGCAUGAUUGCUGAUUUUGUCGGCUGGGUGGCCCAAUCACAGGAUGACACGUCGUCAUCUUCCUCAGAGUAUUGGAUCAGAUUCCACGUCAUCAGGUUAAUUCUUGAGCGUGCUAGAUCGCCUACCGACCGUCGGAUCGGUCAGUGACUUAAUUUUUGAAGUAGUUCGGUUUGAUCUUUUGAAUCAAAUAAGUCAGAAAAAUUACUUUGCAUCGUUCGAUCCGGCAAUUUAAUCAUCAAAUCGUUAAACAGAUCACAAAAUAGUUGAAUAUUUUUGAUCAAGUCAUAUUAAAAUCCAACAUAUUAAAAUCAACUUAGCCUAUUUUAUUUUUUAUCCGUGCAGAUUAAUCUUAUAUCUAUUUAAUUUUAUCAACAAAUCAGUAUUUUAUAAUUAAGACUGAUACUGAAAUAAUAAUAAUAAUAAUAAUAAUAAUAAUAAUAAUAAUAAUAUAUUUUAUAUAAUAAAAGUAAAAAAAAUAUAAUAAUUAAUUAGAUAUUUGUAAUGUCAUGCUGACGUUACUAGUUCAACUAGUGGUUGAUCCACUGUUUGAAUUAGUGACCUUUGAUCAGGUAAUAUUUUUGAGUCAUUGUUCGACCCAUUUUUUAAAGCAUUGGUUAUGACACAACCUUGUGAUAACUUUUAAAACUAAUUUGAUAUGGGGUUAAUGUAAUGUGUUAAAUAUUUUUUCUGUAAUAUUUUAUAUAGUAACUAUUAUUUCUAUAAAAGAAAAUUUUCUUUACUGAUAUUUGAUUGUGUCACGAUAAAAGUAAAAGUAAAGAGAGAAGAAAAAAAAAUAGGGGAGAGAAAGUGAUCGAGAUAGAAAGUAAGAGAAAGGGAGGAGAGAGAAGUGAAGAAUUAGAGAAAGUGCAAAAAAAGAAAGUGCAAAAAAGAGAGAAUGUGAAUAGAAAAAAGAUGAGAACUAAGGAGAGGGAAGGUGAAGGUGAUAAAGCAAGAAUAGAGGAACGAAGGAGAAAGAGAAAAUAAGGAGAGAGAAUGUGAAGAGACAGUGAGGAGAGCGAAAAUAAGGAGAGAGAAAGUGAAGAGACAUGAGGAGAGAGAUCUAGAGUGAGGAGAAAAAAAAACAAAAAGAGUGAAGAAAGAAGAGAGUGAGGCGAGAGAAAAAAGAAAGUGAAGAAAAAGAAACCGAAUAGAGAUAAAAUAAGAAGAGAGAAAAGGGAUACAAAGAGAAAAGAAAGAAAGAUAAUGUAAGGAAGAGAGAGGAGAGAGAAAAUAAAGAGAGAAAUUAGGAGAGAUAAAGUAAGGAGAGAGAAAGUGAAGGAAGAGAAAAUAAGGAGAGAGAAUGGAAGAAGAGAUAAAGAAAAAAAGAAUAGGAGAGAAAGUAAGGAGAAAAAAAAAAAAGAAGAGUGAGAAAGUAAGGAGGGAGAAAAUAAGAGAAUGAUAUACCAAGAUUCAAAAUUUUCUCACUUUUAUCAACUCUUUUUUUUUUUUUAAUUUGGCUAAUUGUACUUUAGCUCUUGUCUCAAUUACCUCCCUACAUAUAAAUAGUGUCAAUUAUCCUCCUACACUUUGUCCUCAAAUAGGUUCAGCUAUUUGGAAUAUUUGAUAGAUGUUAUUAUUUACUCGCGCAUAUACACACUUCAAAUCAAUCAUAUUUAUAUGGCAUAAGUUGGUAAAGUGUUUAGUUAGGAGAAGUAUGGCAAUGUGCUAUUGAAAUAAGAACUAAGCUAAAUGCUUCAAAAAGCACUACUACUUGGUACUUAUAAUUUUUUAGUCUUUGGAUCAAUAUUUUUGGUCAUUGGAUCAAAAGCCAAUAAUGAUGGUUAAUUACUUGUAUGGUCCAUCUAUGCAUGAUCCAAAAGUGCGGUUAGAAUAAAUCCAACGGCUACCCCAAGUCAAACUCUUAAAAUUAGUUUAACCAACUUCAGCUUUUAGCUUUUAUGCUAUGUAUAGAUAUUUGAUUAGAUGUAGUUAUUUUGAAAAAGAUAUAUGUCAAAUCAAUUAUAUUUGUACUAUAUAUGCAAGUUAGUAAAACGACUAGUUGGGAGGAAUAUAGUAAUUUCAUGUUGAAAUAAUCGUUAAAUAAAAAUUUUUUUUUUUUUUAGAAAAAGGUAGCACGCUACCUGCUUCAUUCAUUUAGAGGAUGAAUUAGGCUUACAUAAUGGAGGCAGCCGGGGCCUCCGACGGGAGAAAGAGCGUCAAAAGCCAGAAAAACAAAGACAAGGAACAAAAACGACAAGAGACUAAAACCAAAAAGGAAGGAAAUGAGGGGAAGGGGAGCAAAAGCGACAAAUAACUAAAACCAAAAGAGGAAGAAAGAAAGAGUAAAAACGACAGGCGUCAAACAGCAGGGAUCCAGCAGGGUCAACAAGGAGUGAUCCAGGUGUCAAGCAGCAGUUUCGCCCGUUCCAGGCACCGAAUAGGGUUGGGGGCAAUCUCUCGAAAGAUUAAACCGUUUCUUUCCGUCCAAACGACCCACCAAAUAGCAGAAAGGAGCGAGAGGGAAAUAUGUCUGUCUUUGGCGUCUCUUAGAUCAAUAAGUUUAGACCAGAGGUCUCUCACAUCGUCCGCGGGAUCAGACAGAGCCUCCAAGCCGCCUACGCUCAGUAAAAUGAAGCGAACAAAGACACAGGAACUCAUGAGGUGGUCGCAACUUUCCAAAUUAACGGCACAGAAAAAACAUGUUUGAUCCGGUAGCCACCCUUGCUUAUGGAUCCUGUCUGCAGUGGGGAUCCUCUUACGAAGUAGUAGCCAUAAGAAUACUUUGAUCUUGCCAGGAAUAUUCAAUUUCCAGAUAUGUCGACUUAGGGGGUCCACCAUGCCUGAGUCCGUGAGAAAGUGAUAGAGGGAUCUGACUGAAAACUUUUGGUUGGAGGUCCAAUGCCAUUUGAUCUGGUCCGGGAGCUGAGUUGGCCGGAUGGACCGAAGCAAGUCCAUAAGCAAGCCCUUUUGUCUAUGAUAGUUCACGGGUAGAGGCCCUGCUGGACCGCGGCAGAUAUAUUGCCACCGCCAACCAUUAGGGCCCCAGCUCUGAGCAAUAGUUGUCUCUUUGUUUCGGGUAUGGCUGUAGAUGUCGGGGAAGAGAGUACAAAGGGGAGCCUCGCCGUACCAAAUUGAUGACCAAAUCUUAAUAUCUUUGCCGUUUCCGAGGUUGUAGGUUGUACCGCAUUUAAAGAUGUCCCGGCAUCGCAUUACAUUUUUCCACCACUGAGAAUAUGGUACGAAGGCCCCGCCCUCAUUCAGAGGUUUGCGUCUAAUAUAAUAAAUCGAUUUGACUAACUUCUUCCAAGGUAGAUCUGGUUCGCUAAAGAAGCGCCACCACCACUUAGUUAAAAGCGCUGUAUUCAUAGUCGCCAAAUCCUUGAUUCCAAGGCCUCCUUCUUUUUUGCUUUUGCAGACUGCUCUCCAAUUUAUGAGGCAUGCCCCUUCAGAUAUGUUUGUGCAUCCGCGCCAAAAGAAAGCUCUUCUCAAGGCUUCAAUUCGGCGCAGAGCCCAUUGUGGAGCUUUGAAGACGGAGAGGAAGUGAAGUGGCAUAUUUGAAAGGACAGAGUUCACGAGGAUCAACCUCCCUCCUUGGGAGAGGAGUUUGGCCUUCCACCAUUCAAUCCUCUUAUCAAUGCGGUUGAUAAUGAUCGACCAGUCCUCUUUUCGCAAGGAUCUAUUGCAAAGGGGUAGCCCCAGAUAGCGGAUAGGGAGGCUUCCAACUUGGCAGCCCAGGAUGUUAGCAAGCCUGGUAGCUCUAGAGGUGUUUGAGCCCAGAUAGUACAGUUCGGACUUGUCCAUAUUGAUUCGGAGUCCAGAGGCCCAUUCAUAAAUUUUCCAUAAGAAACGCAAAUUUCGCAGGAUAUAUUUCCUGGGCUCGCAGAAGAAGAUCGUGUCGUCGGCAAAUUGAAUCAGAAUAGUCUGACAGUCCGAAGUCGGGCCAAUUCCCCGAAGAAGGCUAUUCCUGCAGGCCAUGUCGGAAAGUCUGGAAAGACAAUCUGCAACUAUCAAGAAGAGAUAGGGGGAGAGAGGGUCGCCUUGCCGAAGACCCUUUCGUGCUUUCAGCCAGUUUGUAGGAGUGUUGUUCACAAGGAUGGCUAAUUUGGGAUUACAGACGCCUGUUCAAUCCAGGACCACCAUUUCUCACUAAACGCAAGCAAAAACAUGAUUCUUUUCAGAAAGGGCCACCGAACGUUGUCGAAAGCCUUUUCAAAGUCCGCUUGAUACUGACGCAUUCUUUCCUGGUUUGUGGAGCAACCAACUGACUAGUUCGCAAGCGUUGACGAACGAGUCCGGCAAGCAGUCGGUCUUUGAGGAAAGCCGAUUGGGAAGGAGAAAUAAUAGACGGUAGAACAAGGGCAAUCCUAUUCGCAAGAACUUUGGAAAUAAUUUUCUGAUGGCCGUUGAUGAGAUCUAAUUGGGCGAAAAUCCUUGGCCUGGUACGCGCCUUCUUUCUUCGAAUGAGGCAGAUGAAGGAGUAAUCAAUCGGGGCUGUGAAAGCGUGCCCCCUUGGAGAUCAAUGAAAACUGUAAAUGUCGUCUUUAACAGUUUCCAGCAGAAAGUUUGGUAGAAGAUAAGUGGAAACCCACAGGUCAGGAGCUUUAUCGCUACCAAGUUGAAAGUAGCAGCCUUGACUUCCUCCAUGUCGGAAGGGGGCAGUUAGGUACUCAGGUUGUAGUAGCGUGUUGGAUUGGAAAGAGCGCUCCAGUCCCCGAAGGAGGAAGGCCUCCUCUGCCUGACAGAACAAUCGCGAAAAUGCUGAUAGAAAAGGAUCUUUUGUGAUCCUCCGUAGUCUCCAGUGUCGUCUCUAUUACUUCAAUGGAGUGGUGCGUUUCCUGCCGUUGGCCACAGCAUGGAGAACUUGGUAUUAGCGUCUCCCUCAUUUGAGCCAAAAUUGUUUGGACUGGUUUUCCAGGAGACUUCUUCUUCCAAAAUCUGUGUGAGUUUGAUUUGAUGGCGUUCUCUCUUUUCGGGAGAUCUAAGCUCAGAUUUUGGAGCUCUUUUAUCUGAUCAAUUAGACUGAGCUCGUCCAGAGGGCUUCUUAGCUACGAUAAUAUUGUAAAAGUUUGAUUUGCACCAAUUCCUUUCAUACGAACUCUGCACGUGCCGUCAGUUUAGCAGCUAUAGUGAAGGAUCGCUGAUCCUUUAGGGCUGACUUCGUUCCACCAUAAGUGGUACUUUGGAGAUAAAUCCGCUUUCGUGAGCCAGACCUUUUCAAAACGAAACCUACGCGUCGGAGGCGGGAGCCUAGAGUAGAGGAGAAUCGGAGUAUGAUCAAGGUGAUUCUAGGGAGGGCUUUGGCCUUGCACAGGUGGAUGAGAAGAGGUCCCAUUCCGUGGAGACGAGGAACCUGUCUAUUUUGGCAUAGUGGGUGUACGAUGCAUGUUAGACAAGUGAAGCUUUGAUUUGAAAGCGAACAUCAAUCGACCUCUAGGAUUGAUAAGAUCCGAGAACUAUGUCCAUGGAUUUCUAACUCAAGUACGCCCCAGUCUUUCGGUUUGAUUUCUGGUGAAGUUAAAAUUCCCACGAUGACCGCCAGCUGGUGCGCAAUUAUCUUUUGAGGGAAGCCAAUUCAGACAGAAGGUCCUUACCCUCCCAGGUGGGCGGGCCGUAAAAUAGUGAUGAAGAAAGUCGAGCCGCUCGCGGUGAUGGGAGAGGCGUACAGUAAGAGAGUACGACGAACAAUAACUUUAGUCGCAGCAAAGAACUCGAGCACCAACAGAUAUAAGACUCCUGAGCCCGACGGCCGGCAAAAAGUGACAUUUUCAACACUGGAGCCACAACAUGAUCUAAGAAAGACGCGAGAUACAGAGUCGACUUUAGUUUCCUGAAGACAGACAACUGCACUGUAGUGGCCUAGACACGAUAGAUUAUAACUAGACACUUUACGAGGAUCAUUGAGAUCGAACGUUCCAAUUAAGAAAGAAGACAUAAAAAAGAGACGACCCCAGAGAACAACAUCAGAACAGUAAAAGGGGAGAGAAACAAAGUUAAAUAGACCCCGCGGACAGGAAGUUUUGGAGAUCCUCGCUCAGCAUCAGAAAUCGCUACUCCAAGCAGAAGACUCUUCUUCUUGAUUCUAGAGCGAGACAGGUUUACGAGCGGAGCGGCCCGGAUCAGACGAAGAUCCUUCCAAAAGUUUAGCUUUCCUGUUCAUUUGCUCGCCGAGCACGUUGACAUCCGUCAGAUUUGAGAGUCUGGCUGCUUACCCUAAAGGGGGGGAGGGGCUCCACCAGACAGUUAGGAGGGGAGGGUCAGCAGAGUGAAGGGGGGGAGCAAGGGGAGCAAGCUGGCAGGAUAGUGAAGGCCAAGGCCGGCCCGCAGGAGAUAGCAAGGUGGGAGGCAGCAGGUGGUCUCCGGCCCCCGGGAGGGAGGGCGCGCCAUGGGAGGAGGCGAGCCGGGGGGCUUCGGGCUGGCAGGAGAGCUCAGGGAGUUCAAGCCCGGACAGAGGGAGCACCGAUCAGGGGAGCCCGAGCGGCGACUGGGCCAUCGAAGGCCCACGUUGGAUUCACAGAUAGUUCCAGCAAGCGGGAAGGCAGGCGGGGGGGGGAAGGGCGGCGAGCCGGCGGAGAGGGGUGGACGCGGGCUGGCGGAGAGCACAGGCGGCGGGAGCUCGAACCGCGGCAGGGGCUCGGACCAGCGGAAAGGCACAUGCCAGCGGGGGAGGUCGAACCGGCAGGGGGGGGCUCGGACCGGCGGAGGGCACAGGCCGGGGGGGAGCUCGAACGGCGGCGGGGAGCACAGGUCGGCGGGGGAGCUCGAACCGGCAGGGGAGCUCGGACGCACGGGAGGGCACAGGCCGGUGGGGAUUUCGAAGCGCGGCGGCGAGGGCACAGGCCGGUCGAGAGAGCACAGCCGGGGAGGCUCAGGCGGCAGGGGAGCCGUGGGCCGCGGAGGGCUCGGGUUGGCUGGGGGCUCGCGCGGACGGGAAGGGCAGAGGAGGCCGAGGCCGGGCUCUCCAAGGCCAGGCCCAAGUUGGGCCCACCGGUGGAGUCCAGCAAAUGGCUUCCCGGGCUCUCCAAGGCCAGGCCCAAGUUGGGCCAACCGGUAGAGUCCAGCAAAUGGCUUCCCAGGGAGAAGAGGUGGGCCUGGGCCGUUCGCAGACUUUCCAAGGUCCAACAGAAGGAGUCCCAGGUCCAUUUGAAUGACCCGGGGCCCAGUGCAGGGUAGAUAUGUGGGCCAGAAAAAAGCGCAGCGAAGAGGAGGCUUCGCGGCAGUCCCGUCGGACAGAGGCCCAAAUAACGUAGUUUGAAAUUUGAAACAGAGCAGUACAGUACUGGACCUGAGGGGGAGAGGCUCCAAGCAGAAUAAAUGCGCAGGGACUUUUCCCGAUAAGCGAGGCUUCUACAAAAGCUGAUCCCGGCUUGAUCCGAAGGGCUCAUCUUCCAACAACAGGCAGAAGAUGAGCGAGGCUGAGUAGGGUGAGACAAAAGGAGGCAUGAUCAGCAGGCAGACCAGUACUUUCUCCAACAAGUGGAUCAACUUGCACUAAGGAGGAAAGAUUUGGAAAAAGGCAAAUCUGGCCCUUGGGGUACGGGAUGCGGUCAGUCGAGGCGUCACCGACCGGAGAGUCAGCUGAGGCGUCACCGAUCGGAAUACCAGCCGGCCCCGAUCCCGUGGAGGCCUCGGCCACAGGCGCCGACCCCGACCCCAGGGAGGUCAGAGAAGCCUCAGUCACCGGCACCGACCCCAAUUCCAGGGGGGCGAUGAGGCCCAGUGAAGGUGGUUGGCAGCGCCUCCGAUCUCGGAUUUCGGAGGAGUCAGAGGAGCCGUCCGAGUUGGGGUCGUCGUCGUCCAGAGGCCUCCGCGCUCGUACUUCACCAAAGUACCGACGUUCAACCUCUAAAGAUCUCAUGUCAGGAUCGAAAUGGUCCGUUCGCUCGUUGGGCGGGGGAGGAGGAUCACCACCGCCAUUGUCCCUGUCCCGAGCCCAACGCUCAAGUUGGAUUAGGACCGACAUAGAGACGUCCCCGAAGGCGACGUCCAGAUUCUCGGGUAUGUCAUGGAGGUGGUUGACGGCUACGAGGCAGCGGUAGCCGGAGAGAUCUAUCAUGCGAGUCGUGUGCUCAUCCGCCCUGAUGAACCGGGUGAAGUCGCCGACGAUAGCCGCAACGGUACGGGAAGACCAACAUUCAUAGGGAAGAGAUACCAGUCUGAUCCAAGCUUUGUAAGGGGGAGAAAAACGGCGGGCGCCACUGUAGGGAUUCCAGGCAUAGCAUGGUAAUCUAAUAUCCCCCAGGCUGAGGUUUUGCCUUCGGACAAGGGAGUCGCUUGGAACCCAUUCUGGAAGAAACACCACGAACUCUCGUUCCCUGUAGCGAGCCACCAGAAAGUCCAUGGGGAAGCCUUCGAAACGGUUGGCGAGACCGUUGGCGAUAGUGUCUUGAGCGAAGUGGCCAAGAUUCGCGGGGGGAACGACAUCCACAAGGAGUGCAUUGCGGCGCCUGUUCUGCCGGGCAAAGAAGUCUUCUGUCUGCGGAACAAAGACGUUCAGGUAAGCUGGGCGAGCGCGCAUGUAGCGGUAGACGUCCAUCGGGAGGCGAUCCAUGCAGCUCCGCGCCUUGUGACCCGUUUUGAGGCACAGAGCGCACCGCAAAGGCUCCCGGCAAGCGGCCGCUCUGUGGUUCCGUCCUAGGCACCGGAAACACCGAUCCUUGAAAGAGCGCUUGGGGGGAGUGUUGCGAAGAGUGUUACGAAGAGGUGGUGGAGGGUGGCGCGAAGGGAGAGAGGCACGGGAGCGAUGCGCGGGAGCGAAGAGCAGAGAUGGCGGCGGAGGGUUGCGUGAAGAGGAGGGUGGGGCUGAGGAGAGGAGGGCCUCUUUGUAGGACGGUUUGCCGGGAGGAGCGAGGCGUCCGUUCCUUUUGUAAUGCACUUCGGUCCAAGGCUGAUCCGCAGGCGCUCCCUUGCCGUCCGUGUCCUUUACAGCUGGAGCAGGAGCACUAGGGGCAGUAGGGGAGUCGUCCUUGCUGAAGAAGGUAACUUGAGCCAGGUCCAGUCCAGCGGAGUCCGCCCAGAUCACCUUCUUAGCUAAGGAACGAUCAUUAAUGCUGGAGCUUGAGGGGUGGGUGGUUGCCAUAACUCCAUAUCCCAGAUGAUGUUUAAGCUCCUGAAACCUCCGCUCCAAGUCUAUACUCAGUCCAGAUGAAAUGACGUUCCCUAGCUGCCUGGGACAGGGGGCCGCCGUCGUCCCUAGCACCGUCAUGCCUGUUGUCUUGGCCGUCGUGCCUGUCGUCUUGGCCGCCGUCUUCCCUGUCGCCGUAAUCGCCGACUUCCUUGUCGUCGUGAUCGGUGUACAGGCGAUCGCCUUCCCCUUCUCUCUCUCUCUCUCUCUCUCUCUCUCUCUCUCUCUCUCAUUUUUUUUAGCAAUUUUUAACAUAACAUAUGUAAUCGUUAAAUAAAAUUGUUCUUAUACGCAAUGGCAAAUAUCUCAUUUGACUCCGAAGUGUGAGAAAUAUUUUGGGUUUCACGAAGAUAUCUUUAAUUAUAUAGAAUCCCCUCUAAAAUUGGAUACCAAAAAUAUCCAUCUAAUUUAAAGAAAUUAUCAGAGUUAAUCAAACAUUGAUGAUAAUUCUUUUUUAAAAUUUCUCAGAAUUUCCACUUUGCCCUUUAUCAAUCAUCAACGCCUUUUUGAUUGAGCCAAAGAUUUCUACCUUUAAAAUAUUAUAAAUGCAGUUGGUUUUAUAUUAUUUUUUUUAUCCUCAUGACCUUAUAUGAACCUAUCUCAAAAACUUUCCAAUUAUAGUAAAAACCGAAAUUCUAGUGCAUGAUAGUCCUAAUAGAAUUACGAUUAAGACAAAAGUCCUAGCCUAAUUCGGAUAAAAAAAAUAAUAUAAAACAAAAGAAUAAAAUUUUCUUAAGAAAGAAUAACUAAAAUUGACGUUUCUUAAGAAAGAAUAACUCCAAUUAAAAAGAGGAGCCUAUUAAACUACUUGAUAAAGUUUUUGGGGGUUUUAAUUGCCAAAAUAAAAAGUUUAGGCACAUGUUUCAUUUUUCCCAUAAAAUUUUGUAUAGUGCCUUGGUUUUUCUUUUUUUUUUUAAAUUUUUGAUAGAACGGUGGCAAACUACCUGCUUCGUUCAUUUUUUUUUUAAAAAAAAUGAGCUCAAAUAGAAAUGUGAAGUAAUUAGGUUUCGAACUUGGGAUCUUAGAUACAGACCAUUAAGCCCUUAGCUUGAAUUAUUGUAUGCAUAAAAACCAAUCAAAGUCUACAAUAUCAGAUAUAACAAUCUAUCCAUACAUGGCCUGUAAGGAUUAAUGUAUUGUGCCCAUUAGCAUUUACCAGUCCUCAAAUUUCCAGCUAAGUUUCCAUUCUAGUUCUUAAAACUUCUGAGUUCGAUGCUCUUGACCUAACUUUUUUCCUUAAUUUUAUAAAUAUUCUGUUCUUCUCCAAAGUUCGUUUGUUUAAUAUCUAAAUAAAGAAAAGAUUGUAGUUUGUGAGAUGAUAAGGUUAUUAAAAUAUAAGAUAUCAUCAGGGGUUAAUAAAGACAGUGCAUAUAUAAAUGCAUAGAUCCAUACACUGGGUGUAGGCUAUAAGUUUUUCACUAAUUUAAUAAGGACACAAUGGUUAAAAAUAAUAUAAAAAAAAUCUAUAUUUUAUCCAUACAUUAAUUUUCACAAUCGUGUUCUUGGAGCAAAGUAGUGAACUUGAGAAAUCAUGUUAUCUGUGCCACUAUAUUUUAUCCAUACAUUAAUUUUCACAAUCAAUAGAUAUAUAUGUUUCAAGUAGUUGGCAUAGGUGCAAAAUGUUCUUGUUUUACAUGAACUUACGUACAAAUUAAGAACUCAGUGGAGUAAAACAUUUCAAAUUCGAGCUGCUUCUUAAGUCUCUUUCAAGAUAAUUAAUGUUGAAUGGUAGUGGGUUUCACAACCAGGCUAAAACAGUGUCAUUUUAGUUGAUGCCAAAAUAUUGUUGUUUGUAGCAUAUUGUUUCAUGGACCCCAGCUGCCUCAUUUGAUUGUGGGGGAUGUUGUUGGAAACUGCAUGUGCGCGAGAUGUGUACAAAAAAGCGUAUUGAGUAACAAAUUUGAAAGAGUAUGAGUGAUGAAUUCAAAAAAGAGUGUGUGAGCAAUGAAUUGAGAUGAGUAAUAGGCGGUCCUUAGUUAUGGCUUAUUUUGUUUCGAUUGCAAGUUCUGCAUAUUGAUGAAAACAUUUUUUUUUUCUGGAAAUAAAUAUGUAGGGAAGAUCCUUGAAAAGUAGGUUGUCGACGUCCCCACAUAUUUCAAGCAAAUACUUAUGAUGCACUGCUCGUUAGCUUCAACGUACUAAAAGUACGUGAAGGUGUACAUAAAUAGCGAAGAAUACAUACGGAAAGGACUUUAUGCAUGACGAGAUCAUUGGACUUGCGUGUCGACUCUACACAAUUAAGCUCUAGACAAUAUAUAGUAGCAGAGAUUUCGAAAACAAUGUUGCUCAUUUCACUGCGUUUGUAAUUUGAAAAUGAAGUAUAAAUUAAGGGAGGAUAAUAUUGGAAAUUCUAAUCCGAACUUCCUCCAAGAUAUAGAAAGAGAUAACGUUUAUCCUUGAAAAUUAGGUAUAUGAGAAAUAGAUAUAUGUUCAUCCUUGGAAAAUAGCUACCAAAUUUGCUAGGUAAUUGAGAGACAAUUUGUUCGGUUUAUAUGAUUAUAUACUCCAUAGCAUUACUAUAUAUCGUCGUAUGACAACAUGUCAAUAAUCAUAUUCUUUAGUUUUAAGCCUAUUUGAUAUAAUGGUAAGGUGCAAGGAAAAAGUUAAAUGAAACAAUAUAUGUUUCAUAUAUGUGGUUCUCGAUCUUGGUGCUUUUUUCUAAUGAUUUUCCACAUAAUUUUUAAUGUUUAUUUAUCCAGUGGUCUGAUUUAGCUUUUUUCUUUCACCUUGAUCUUUUCAUAUUGCAAUUGCUAGCCCAGAUUGGCCCUAAACUUUUCCAAACCCAUAGUCACCUCCUCGGACUUACAUAGUUCGCAUUCCCCCCAUGAAAUUAUUAACAUGGUCCCUUACCACAUCUACUUAUAUAUUUUAAUUCAAACAUGAUCUAUAAAGUGGUGCAAGCAACUUAUCUAAACAAAAGGUUCAGAGAUAAUGGUCCCUUCCAUGUAUUCGAAAGCACCAAAACAAGUUAUUUAAUAAAAGCUUUGAUACCUUACUAAUAUUUCUUUCGAAUCUUGGACCACUCUACAUGGCUAUACAUAUAUGCUUUAACUAGAAAGAAGGUGAUGCAUCAAUUAAUAUACGAUUCUCCUUACAUUUAAGAUAAUUUAAUCAUUAUAAUGAGCUGCAAAACCACUUUUGGAAUCCCAUGAACGUGUCGUGUUAUAUAUGCUCCCAACAUACAUAAGAUGAGAUUGUAACUGGGGUACCGAGAGGCUAUGCAAGGAGGGGACGGGGACUUCGAGAAAAUGGGAAAGCAUGCAUCCUUUUCUGAUGCAAUCAUCUGCUUUCAUGAUAAAGUGAUGUCCCCCAGUGCAGGAUCCACUUGUGGAAAAGAAAGAUGAAAUAAACCGUGCAUGCUCUUCGAUGAACGAAAACAAACUCCUUACAUAGGGAGCUCCCUAUAGAAGUUUUUAUGCGGAGGGACUCGAUGGAUGGAUCAAUCAUCCACUAACUAAGCUUUCCAGCUCGAUUAUUAAACCUGCAACUGGUAUAUUUCUAAUUAGAAAAAAAAUUACUUAUUUAAAGAAUUUAAAUUAUUAGUUUGAUUGUUGGAAUUAGAAGUAUCGGUAGGAUAUAUAUAUAUGAACGGCAUCCAAAUCUUCGAUAAAAUAUCCUUGAUAAUUAAAGAGUUCGGUCUUAAACUUUAUCCCGCUUUAUUGGGGUCUGAGCUGCGCAUGCGUGGUUGCUUUCCGAUAACAAAAGAGAUGCGAACCAUACUGCUUUACACGUAAAAGUAAAUAGAAAAAAAAGUUAAAGUGCAUGUAAAUUACUAAAAUACAGACCAUUUGCAAAAUUCAAAUGUUUUCAUUGUGGUACCUGAACUUUCUAAAAUUCUCAUUUUAGUAGCUACAUAUUAAUUAUUCGAGAAAAUUUUGCCAACACAUAUCCAUGGGUUUACAUAUUUAUGCACUAUCCCACUCUCCAAUAAAGAAAGUUUACAGUUAGAUUAAUGAUAAGAAGAGAAGUAUGAGACGCAAUAAAGAGCAGUUAGGAGAGCAGCGUAUAAAUGGGCAAAUGCAUGUACGUGAUGCAGAAAAUAAUUUCUACAGCUAUAUAUUAUAGACAGGGGGAUGUACUAAAAUGGUAAUUUCAAAAAGAUUAAGCAUUAAAAAUAAAAUUUAUAAACUUUGGACGCCUAUUUGAAAUGACGAGUUGCCUGUAGGGUAAUUUGACUAAGAAACAGUUAAUGUAUAGUAAAUUUAUCCACCAAAAGAUAAGAAUAAUAAUUAGUUUCAACAUGGAAUUUAGCAAUCUUUUCGGAGCUUGAUAUGAUAUUAUAUGUUCUUCUAAUAUAUAAUUAGUGAUUAAGAUAGAUGUGACAAAAAAUUGACAAGAAACCUCAAGGAGAGUAAUGUUGUUCAGACCAGAAGGUCAGUUGAAAUGUCACACAAAAAUGAAGGAAGGAAUUUUAAAAAUUAAAAAUUUUAGAUUUUUUUUUUUUUUUUUUUUGGUUGCAAAAGCAGAAGUUUUAGUUUGAUACUUUGAUUUUGCUAUACAAAGAUGAUAUUUAGGAAACACGGAGAACUUUGGUUAGAUAUUGUAAUUGUAAAUAUAGUGUAGUGGAUAUGUAUGUAAUAUUUUCGUUUUUUUUAAAAAAAAAAUUAUUAGAUGACUAACCGUUGACUCAUUUCAAAGAUAGGGCAUUCAAUUCAACAAUCGACACCAUCAAGUAAUCACAUCAAAAGCAUUUGAAGUUCUAGGAACUAAAUUUUACGUUUCUCCAUAUAUAACUGUUCUCAUGUGUAUUGAAUGAGCACAAAAUAAAAUGCUAAAAUUGAAUACACUUAGAAAAAAGAAAAGUCAGAUCAAGAGUGUUGAUGUUGAUUUAAGUAUUAAUUUCAAAAAAAUUUCUGACAAAAAUUUAACUUGUUUUGAUUUUUCCUAUACUAUGAACUUGGCAAAUGUCUCAUAACGACAACUAAGAACUGUUGAUUUUGAUAUUAUUAAAUCUUUAGCUAGAAACUUUGAAUACUCUAAAGCAUAUGUCUGUCAGUGUCAAUCGUCAGCUAAAAUAUCUAAUUUUCUAUUUUCUAUUAUUAGAUAAUCCACAUCAUAUACUAUUUGCUAAUUUACAAGCAAAAGAUUCCACAAAAUUUGACUAAUAAUCCAUAUUUGACUACACCCUCCAUUAUUGCAAUUUGGCACCUGUGUAUUUUUCAUCUUCAACGCGUGACUUUUCUCGAACCAUCUUUCCACUGAAACUUUCACAUCUUAGCAGUAACCUCACUCAACUUGAAAUUGACAAUUGACUUCAAGGUCAAUAACAACAAAAUCGUGGGUCCUUGUCUCCUAUCACUAGUGCAGGAGAAUCUCUUCCAAUUAAAUCUCCUCCAUCUGCCACCUAAUUAGUAUAUAUCUUGUUAAUUAACCAACAAAUGCCCCCUACAUAUAUUUUUUCUGUAUAAAUCCUAUCAAAGUUCUUAGAUCUGUUUUCUAGACCCACUUUUGCCUGUAGUUCAUCAUUUCUCAACAACAUUCUCACAUGUCCACUGCUAGAUUUUGACUUUUCAUGAAAUUGAUCAGGUAGCUAGGGUUGUAGGUUACUUCCCUAAAUUCCCAAUCUAUAGCUCGGAGUCUUUGACUCGAUUGUCUAGGGCUGUAGGUAACUUCCCUAAAUUUCCAAUCUAAAGCUUGGAGUCUUUGACUCAACUGUGUAGGAUCGUUGGCGCUGACCAUUAAUCCCAAAAGCUCGAACUGUUAGAAACUCGGCUCAAUCUAGCCUCUUGCCCUCCCGCCACAUAGCAGGAUACUAGUCCCUUUAAGCUAACAAUCCCCUCUCACCCUAGCACCCUUUUAAGCCAGCAAUUCCCCACACCCCUCCUGCAACUGCACAAAUUUGCAGCAUGCAAAAAUCGAAUCUGUAACCUAUGGCUCUGAUACUACUUGUUUGGCCUCUCGUCAAAGGGCAAAAUACUGAUACUACGAGUCUCGAUUGUGACUCGGUUCAACCAAUUUCACACCACUUCGAAUAUGAUUCGGUCCAACUCGCUCUUUCACCAUUUUGAACAUGCAUAUGACUCGGCCCAAUCUGAUCUCCCGCCUCAAGGCAGGAUGCUAGUCCCUUUAGACUGUAAAUUAGGUGCUAAAACAAAAUAGUUAGUCUUUAUAUUCGCCCUACUCCAAAUCAGAUUUGAUGAACAUCGGCCAAGUGUCAGAAAUAUAUUUUAUCAAAACUAAACUUGAAUUAGUUACAUAAGCAUCAUGGUUGGAUAUCAAUUAAGUAUAUAGUAUACAAGUACUUUUGGUUUGUAAGGAGAAUCUAUAUCAGAGUGGACCUCACGCACUGGGACACAAGAUGCAUAAAUCUCAUGAUAUGUUUUGUUGGCUGCGAGAAUCUGAGUCGAAAUGUUUGAUUCCUAUUCUCGUUGAUUAGUUUAUUCAAUCAAGUUGGGAAUUUAAAAUAAAUCACAACAAGAUGGCACAGGCUAUGAAGGUAAUGGUGGUGGUGUCGGUCAUGGCGACGAUUGAGUCGAUGAAAAUAAAACUUAACCGCGAUUUUGAUUACUGAAAUCAAAAUGACAAUCGCUAAUUUUUGUUUCCAUUUUUCGGCCAAAAUGUUUCGACUCAAAAGACACCAUUAACUUGCUUUAAUCAGAAAAAUGUAAUAUGAACUAGCUAGUUCAGAGCUCAAUUGCUCUUGCCAUGCAUGUGUCCUUCAAAUGUAAAUAAUGAACCUGCCACAAAGGAUUCUAAUAAGUUUACUAUUUUUCAUUAUAUUAAUAAAUACUUCUGUUUUUUUUUUAUGUCAGGAAUCAUAUAGAACAAAAGCCAGUGGAAUUAGUUACCUGGACCACUUAAAUUCCCGAAAAAGUAGGAAGAACCAAUAAUUCAAAGUGAUAAUGAAAACAAGUUGUAAUGGGUGGUAGUUAGGGUUUUAAAAGGCCUGAAUACAUACUAGCAGCUAAGCUAAAAUAUCGAUCAAGCUCGGUUCAUAUUCGAGCCAGCUCAUUUAUUUGGAGUUGAACUUGAGCAAUUUACAAAUAUAUUAUAUAAAAUGUAAAAAAGCUCCCCUCAAAAAUACAAAAAAACAAACAGAUCUUAGAAUACUAAGGAGCAUAAAAUUAUUAUGUUUGGUUUAGAUCACUAGAUUUCCUAUAAUAUAAAGGAAAUGCUUCUUGUACACCCAAAAAGGGGUGUAGAUCUUACACUCCCCCUUCUAGAGUUGAUAAAAAUUCGAACUUAAAUUCAUUAUAUGUGUUGUUGGCUCAAAAUUUUAAUUUGUAUUUGAUUCAAAUUUUUUAAUUCGAAUUAUAAAUCUAGUAAAAAAUGUUUAUUUAAAUUUGUAUUCUAAAUUAAAAUUUUACAAACAAAUUGCCAAAUUUGUGUUUAAUUUUUAAGAGGCAUUCCCCUUCUUUCACUCACAUGAUAUUGUGGGAGUCACCUAAAGACUUUCAAUGACAUAAUUAAGUCAUCUAUUUAAAUUAAAAUAAAAAAUAAACUUAAAUUUAAAUUUUGUGUAUUAAAUUUAAAUUAUAUAUUUAAUUAUUGAACUCAAAAUUUCUAUUGGUCAUCUAAAAUGCUGCACUUAUAAGCUACGAAUGUAUUAACAUUAACCACGUGAAAAAAUUUGAAUGGUUUACGACAUGCAAUUUAGCAACCUACGUAAGCUUAAGCUUGCCAAUACAUUAAUAAUCCUUAUCAAAUCCUUAGUGGGAAUCUAAGGCAUUUUCUUUACUUGCUUGUGGGGGAUUGUUUGUGAGAAUCCAAGGCAUUUUUUCUGUGAUAGAUCCUUUGUGAGGACACGUUUGUUGCGGGGUUCAAGGGCGGAAAUUGUUAUUUUUAUAAACUUUUACUCGUAUUAAUUUCAUUUGGUACAAGAUUAAUUAAUUCACCUCUCUUUAAUCUCCAAUAAUACAAAAUUGUUAAUCUAGAUGACACUAAAUUAAAAGGAGGUGGAAGAGAAAAUAUAUGAAAAAUGAUAAAAUUUUGAUUCAUCUUAUAUCAUUCUCUUCCCUUUCUCUGCUUAGUUUCUCUUUCUUAAUUUCUCUUUCCUUAUUUUCUCCCUUUUUUACUUUCUCUCUCCUCAAUUUCUCUCUCCUUAAUUUCUCUUUCUUCACUAUCUGUUCUCUAUAUUUCUCUUUUCACUCUCUCUUUGCAUAAUUUCUCUCUUCACUUUCUCUCUCCUAACUUUGUCUUUCUUUACUUUCUCUCUUCUUAUUUUCUCUAUCCUUAUUUUCUCUCUCUUCACUUUUUUCUCUCAUCUCUCUUUUGUUGCUUUAUUUUGCUUCACUUUCUCUCCUCUCAUCCUUUUAUCUCUUCUUGCUUUCUCUCUCAUUAUCUUCUCUCUUCUAAUUUCUCUUUCUUCACUGCUCUCUCAUCCUUCUCUCAUUGUCGUAUUUGUCUUCAAUUUUUCUCUCCUCAUUCAUCUCUCUUUACUUCUUCUCUCCUUAUUUUCUCUCUUCAAUCUCUCUCAUCCCUCACUUUCUCUUUUCUCACUUUCUCUCUCAUCAUCUUCUCUCACUUUCUCUCCUUGUUGUAUUCGUCUUCAGUUUCUCUUCUCCUUAUUUCCUCUUUCUUACUCUAACUCUCCAUUUUCUCUCACCUUAUUUUCUCCCUUUUUUCUCUAUUCGCUUUCUCUCUCAUCCCUCUAUCCUUUUCUUCUCUAUCCUUCCAUUGUCUCUUUUCUUCUCACUUUCUCUCUCUUGCUUCACUUUCUUUGUCUAAGGCUCCAUUUGGAAUUGUGAAGAAAUUGUAUUACAUGUGGUGAGAAAGUACGAUAAAAAAAUAUUCUAUUUAUUCUCGUAUAUAAUAUCGCAUUCCGAAUAUCGUAAGAGUUAGUUAUGGUAUACUUUAUGCGGUCCAACAAAAAAAUGCAGAAGUAUAUCUUUAUAUGAUUUCGUUCCAACUUUAUUUCAUUUAUUAGCAUUAGAUAUGCUUCAAUAUCGAAUGGGCCCCUAGGUGUCAUAAAUUAAAUUAGAAGUUAAAAAGUAUAUGAUAGUCAACUAUUGUGAGAGUUAAACAGGUCAUUUUGUAAUUUAAUUAAAGAAAAAUUGACAGAAAGAGCAUCUCCGAUAUGAUUUAUAUAUCUACAGAGAUAGUAUUAAUAUUAAAUUUUUGAAGUGGUGUCUGUAAUAGUUUAUAAAUUUUAAUAGAUACAUAUAAAUAUUAAAAUACCAUCCUGUUAUAACUUAAUCUUUUGAAAACAAACAAUUACUUUAUUACAUUAUUUAAUAACAAAUAAGACAAGAUUAAAUGAAUCGAUUUAAUACAAGAAUUGUUAAAAGCGGUUGUUCCAUAUUAUUUAACAUCAAGCAAAACCACACUCACUGAAACCAUGAGUUAAUCAGAAAAUUAUUAAAAAUAAUUAUUUUACAUGAGUACAGUUUGUGUGCUUUUGGAAGCACACAAAGGUUUCCAUACUUUCAAGUUGUUUUUGAUGAUUAACAUCUGAUUCGAAAAGAUCGACUUCAUUAGAUAUAAUCUACACUAUUGAAACUAUUUAGAAAUUGAAUUUUAUAAUUUUUCUACAUCAUUUGUCAAGUGAUCAAAAUAUCUCAAAAUUGACUAUUUUAAUGAUCGAUGUGGUAUAGUUUACCAUCAAGAACAAGAUAAAUAUUUUCGAUUUAAAAUUUAAGCCUUCUACCACUCUUUCUAAUGAGCAUUUUAUUUUCAGUCGCUCAUUUUGAGACAACUCGUUCACUAGGCAAAUAAAGUCAAAACAAAUUAUGGAAUUUAAUUUUUAAAUAGUUUCAAUAAUAUAGUUCAUAUUUGGAUCAGAUUUCGCAUAAGUCUUGAUUCAUUUUACAUUAUUCAACAAUAAAUGAGAUCAGAUUCAAUGAACCAAUAUAGUUAAUGUCAAAGAAAUUAUAAAUUUAUACUUAGUUUUUGAACAAAUGACAGCGCGCGGGUCGGAUUCGGGGCGGAUUUUCAAAAAUCCAAACCCGAACUCGACUCCAAACCUGAAACCCAUAUCCGAACCCAAACCCAAUAGAUUUUAAAAAUCCAUAUUCAAACCUGAACCCGACCAAAAAUUUGAAAUGCGAACCCGAAUCCGAACCAAAAAAUCCGACUUGAAAUAAUUAUUUCUCUUUCCAAUAUUUCAAAAUAUAUUAUAUUAAGUCUAAAUUUUUAAAAUACAAAUUAAAAUAUAACAUCAAAUUUUUAUAUACAUAUUAUAUAUAAUGUAAAACAAAUUCGGGUUUGGUCGGAUUCGUGUCAGGUUUAGAUUCGAAUCGGGUACAGUCAAAAUAUAUAUAUCCAUAUUUAUAGACUUUUUUUUUAAUAUUUAUAUAUAAAAAUAUAUUCAUUUCGUUCUAAUUCAAAUUUUGAUAAAAUUUUGAGUAUGAAUAACCAUUGAUAUCCCUAGGGACAGUCCCCAAUGAGGAGUCCCACACCCCCACUUGCUCUCCAAAUGAAGACACAGCCACCUAGAUGGGCGGCUCAAAACACCAUUUACAGUGCCAAUAAUAAUUGCCUCCCCCUUUUUUUUUGCUGUGGUCCGGCGCUAAAGCUUUGCACUAAACUACCCCAGUAACUCCCCCAACAUCUUCACGCUAAAAGCCCCAUGCCGUUUUUGGUACUAUGGGGGAGAAAGCGGUGUACGAAUAUCUGGUGUACGGGGGGUGCGAUGAGUGGGUGCGGUGAGCGUACCGCCUCGGUCCCUCCGCCGGCCCCGCGCGCGGUGGAGGAUGUCGCAAUCGGAGGUCCCACUUCGCACGCAAACUUGUGGCUGCACCCGGUGUGUGACCACACUCUAUACGCCACACUUUAGGCUAAAUUCACCUGCGGUCCUUUAAUUAUGAAACUUUUGACAUUUUGGUCCUCAAAAUUAACGUGUUAUAAUUUUUUACUCAAUUUUUUUAGAUUAGAUGAAUCAAGUCGUAGAGAUGAUGAGCUAUUAUUUGGCGUUAUUUUGGCAUCUUACUAAUUGCUACACUAUUAACUAUAACACUACCAUAUUUAGGAUUGUUAAUGGGCAUGAUGUUUAAAUUUUUAUCCAAAUUUAAGUCCGAAUGGGACUGGUUGCUCGACUAGACGAUUUUUAAUGGAUAUGGCUACAGUUACUGUAUAAUAACUGAAAACUCGAUGAAUUUGGAUUCGAGUAUGAAUUUUGUCUAUACCAGACCCAAACUCGAACCUGAAUGCAAACCCGAAUAAAUUUUACCUUAUAUAAUUUGUAUGAAUCUUUUAUGUCAUCAGGUUCGGAUUUCAGGUUUUUAGUCGGAUUUGGUUUUAGACAUGGAUUUUCAUCACCUGCUGAGUUAGGAUUCAAAUUCAAGUUUUGGUUUUGACUGUCAUAUUCGGAUUCAAAUUUUUCAAAAGUCUUCCCAACUUGGUACAUUAAACGAAGCGGGUAGCGUGCUACUUAUCUCUAAAAAAAAAAGAAAAAAGAAAAAAGAUAUUGCUCAUCACACCACUGUCAGGGUGCGUUUGGUUCGCAUUAUGAAAGAUUACUAGGAAUAAAAGAUAUCCGAGAAUCUUAUUCCUAUUCAUCCUAUUACUAAAAAUGUGAAAUUUCUGUGUUUGGUUCGCACGGUAAUAUUAAUUAGCCAUGUUAUUUAAUAUUACAAAAAAUACCAUUAAUUAAUUAAUUUAUUUAAUUUUAGAUAAUGUUACCAAAAGUUUUAACAUCUUUUUCUAAAAAGGGUGAGAAGUAUAAGUUAGAGAGAGAGAGAGCAUAAUUAAAAAAUAGGAAAAAAAAUAUAGUCAAAAUUAGAGGGAGUGAGAGAGUUGAAAUUUUAGAAAGAGAGAGAGAGAAAACUUAAUUUAGAGAGAGAAAAAAAGUUAAAUUUUAGAGAGAAAAAUAAGUUUAGAAAGAGAUAUAAGGUUAGAGUGUAAAGAAAAAUGAUAUCAAUUAGCUGGCUAGUAGGAAGAAAGAAAGAAAUUAGACAUAUUAUGAUUAUCCCAAUUCAUUAAUAUGAGGAUACCCACCAUCCCUCAAGGGAAUGAGAUUAGUACUUUGGAUGAACCUUAUUCCCAAGUGAAUCCAAUAUUACCAAAUAGAUUACUUAGUGCGUUUAGCCAAACACCGUCAUAUUUUUUUAUUUCUAUUGGAUUACUAAAAAUUUUUAAAAAAUAGCGCGAACCAAACGCACCCUCAUAUCAGCCACGCAUUACUAACUAGCUAAUUAAAUUAUAUUAUAGAACUUUAUUGUAAUAAUCUAUAAAAUUUGAUUCAUAUAUGAUUUAGUUUUGAUGCUUAAUAUCAAAUCAGUAGUGGAUUAAAAAAAGAAAUUAUUAUUUGAUUUGCUAUAAACUAUAAUGGAAAAUUUAUGACUUUUGUGGUACGUUAACUUUUUUAGAUGUCGUUAAAAAGGACAUCCGGUGCAUGCCGUAACAUCUUCCUGCUGGUGGGCCCACGCGCUUCCCGAGAAGAUGAUCAAACGGCCAGGACGCUCCGGACGCAGUCAAAUCGCGCGGUGCACCGUAACGCACCCCCGUACUAAAACGGCCACAUCUUAUUCUGCGGACGUCCGCGCUACCAUUUUUAUGCGGUUAUUGACCCAACCGCUCGAUAUGCGCCAAUCCAAGGAAAUUUGCUCUCGCAUGGAGUUUUGUAUGCGCACAAGUGGGUAGCCAAUCGGGAGCGGACAGCGUGUUCCUCAUCCUCUAUCCUCCCGCGUCCGCAUAUAUUACUUUACAUUGGGGGUGUUCGGGCCCACAUUAACGGCCUAAUUGCGUUGAUUACGCUAAACAAAGAUUCUCACCAUUAAUUAAUAACUUAUUAUAUAUAUUAUUAUUUUGUUAUUAAGGUUCGUAGAUUAAUCAGUCGGAGCGAAUACGUGCGAGCGUGCGGUCCACCACGCUGGCGCGCAGAGAUUCGUGCGCGCGCGGAUCUCGAAGCAUCCGUGCGUGCGCGGCCGCAUAGUCUCUGAUAUGAGUGCGCAGCGCGCGGCCGCUUAUAGAGACCUUUCUACCAUUUGACACGUGACACCGCGCGUAAUAAUGGGCUCAUAUAUAUGUACACGAGUGAGAUCUCAAUAUCAAUAUUGUAUGCAAUAAUAAUUAAAGGGCCUAUUUAAGGAUAGCUGGGUAGGAAAUGUAAAAUACGGACCGACCCAAAAUUGGUUCUUUACUAUUUACGAAGACCAAAUUCUAUUUGGGAAAAUUAUCAUAUAUUUAUUUAUAUAUUUUUAUAUUUAUUUAUGGGUAAAUUUGGAAAAAAAAAAUUUUGUCCGCGACCGACAUAGAAACGGAAAAACCCUAAUUCGGAGAGGCUCCGGUUUCUAUAAAAGGGAGCGGAGGGGCGAGCGGAAGAGGGGAGAAACAGCAAUAUCGGCGCUCUCAUUAUUUUGAUUUUUGGUUUUUGGUUUCGAUUUUGAUUUUGAGGUCGGAGCGGGCGGCGGCGGCGGCGGUGUGGGGGGAGGGGGUGGUGUGCGGCCGCUGACAGAAGAGAGUGAGCACAUAGCAGGUGCUGCCGGCACCGGAGGGCGGAGGGUGCCGGCGCUGUUGCGUGCUCACUUCUCUCUCUGUCAGCCCUCGUUUCUUGGAACUCGACCACCGACGCCCGACCCACCCACCCGCCUGCCUGCGUGCCUGCCUGCCUGCUGCACUUUUUGUUAUUCUUUCUUUUCUCUUCCCUUCGAAUUUAAACGGUGCUUUGGGUUUUUUUAUUUUUAUUUUUUUGUGGUGUUUCUCGAUUCUUUCUCUGUCUGGAAACUGUGUGAUUUGAUUGAUGAGUGUACGCCCGCCCUUAUCUUUUCUAGUUCGUCUGUCAGCUCGCGCAUCGAAGGAAGGGAUGUGUGUCGCCAUGACGACUGCUACUUUUUUUUUUUUUUGUGUUUUGUUAUAUUAAUUUUUCCCUUUCCCUUUUCCCUUUUUUUCCUUUUCUCUUUUUUGUUGUGGAUUUUGUGAUGUGCAGGAGGAGGAAGUAGAAAAUAAAAUCAUCGGAAAAUGGAGAGAGAGGAAGGGAGAGAGAGAGAAAUUUGGGGAAAGGCCCGAAGCGUGGAAGCGCGAGAAAUCACGAAGGGACGGAUCAGACGGGGUGCGUACAACUCGUACUCUUCACAAAAAAAAAACCCCCACUGUUUGACUCAGUCCUCGCUCUCCUCUCUUUCUCUCUCUCUCUCUAGCCUUUUCUUCUUCUUCACUUUCAUUUUUGUGGAAAGCUAUUCUUUUUCCUUUUAUUUUUUGGUUUUUUCUUUUGGGGUAUGAAUCCGCCAUUGUUGAUGUGCUGUUUACAACCAUCAUCCAUCCUGAUCUGUUCUCCUUUACGUAGGAUAAGUUUUUUUUUUUUUUUUGACGGAAAAGAGUAUGAAAUGGUAGAAAAAUAAUUGUCAUCAUAUGGGUAUAUAUACUUUUCAUGGAUCUAUAUAUGGAUGGAUCUUGAGUUUUUCUAGUAUAUGUAGAUUUAUAUGUAGAUUUAGUUGAAAAAGAGAGGGAUGAGGGUAGAGUUGAUAGAAGAGUUGUUAGAGAUAAGAGAGUUUUUAGAUCUGGUCGCAACCUGAGGUUAAUUAGUAAGCAUCAGCAGCAACUUAUAAGCUAAGAUCCUUAUUUUAUGGUCUCCUCUAUCUAAAUCUGGCAAUAAUAUUUUGUUGUUUGAUUAUUUAUAGUGACUGAUGAUUAGGUUCUGGGUAACUCCUGGCUUGUUACUGUUGUAUUGUUCUUUAGACAUAUGUUGUACUAAUAAGAACUAAUCCAUUCUGAUAGAACACUUCUCUGUUUGCAGAUGCUAAAGACUUUUUACUGUUUCAUUGCUGCUGCUUUACAUUAUCAUAGAGAGGAGCAUCAUCUGCUGUUGCUUUAUGGUAUGUCCUUUAUGUUAUUAUUCUUUAAUAUCAAAUAUAUGUUGAGUUAAUUCGAUCGUGAUACGAAGUUUACAUUUUCCUUCUCUUCCUCCUUGUUCCACUAUAAGGUACGUAGUAGUUUUCAAUAAUAACUGUCACUGGGUGGUGAUUAUUAGGUGUUCUCCUCCUGAGUUCUUAUGAAUCUGUAAGAUAUAAAUAGAUCGUCUAAGGUUGGUAUGUUGUAUGGUUAGAGACAUUUUUGCUUAAUAAUCCAGUAGGAAUCAAGGAGCUUGAAUAGUGAUGGAGAUAGCAAGAGUUCACCAUUAAAAUUUUCUAAUUCCACAUUUUUCUUACAAGAUUCCAAGACAUGUAUCUAGUGGCUGCUGUAUCUGCUAAACUGAUGUUUUCAAUCUCUAUGGCCAUUUGCAAUUAUUAUUACAUGUCCUAGCUUAUCUGGAUGAGAACAUUUUGAUCUAGUUGCUUGUGCGCUUGUUUGAUAUGAUUAUCUUUUCUGCUGCAAGAUUGUGCUUUUUUGAAAGGUUAUAUCUAUCUCUUACAUUGCAAAAUUAUGUGUGCAGCAAAGAGGCAUAUAGAAUUUGUCGGAUUUAAUCGUAGAAUUGUGUAUCAAGUUGGUUAUAUGCAUUAUCUCUCAUUUUCACUUGCACGAAGAACCACUAGCUUGUUUUGAGAUCAUGGGUAUACUAAUUUUUUUUUUUACUCAAUUCCUGUAGGAUCGUGUGUCAUUUAUACUACUUCUUGAGCAAAGUGUUUAUAUGCAUGACCAUUUUCACUUGCAGGAAGAACUCCUAGCUUUGUUAGUCUCUUAUUGUUCAGGUCAUGGGCAUAAUUUUUUUUUUUACCCAAUAUAAUAGUAAUCUGAAAGUCCAGUUGGACCUUGUUUCAUUGGUACUAUGUUGAGCAAGUUGGUUACAUGCAUCAUCUCCCAAUUUCGCAUGCAGGAAGUAAUCCUAGCUUGUUUGUCUCUUAAUGCUCAGAUCAUGGCCAUACUUUGUUUUGUUUUGUUUUUUACCCAGUAAUAGUAAUCUGAAAGUCUAGUAGGAUCUUGUUUCAUUGAUAUUACUUUAUUGAGCAACCAUAUAGCAUAGCAUCCAUAUAGCAUGUCCUAGCAUCUCCUCUAAGUGCUUACGGUAGAUUUCAUAUUCCGAAAUUCAAUCUUCAUAAAUUGAAAAUAAUUCAAGACCUUUUCAUUUUGUAGAAGCCAACUGUAGCGAAUGCGNAAGUGCUUACGGUAGAUUUCAUAUUCCGAAAUUCAAUCUUCAUAAAUUGAAAAUAAUUCAAGACCUUUUCAUUUUGUAGAAGCCAACUGUAGCGAGGGGGGGGGGUGGUUGGGGCUCUCACUUGAUAUGGCCUUUAAGAGAAAGAUACCGGAAUGCCAAGGCCUUUUCAAGAUUUCUAUUGGUCUUAAUUAUGAAUCUAAUUCAGCAGCAUGUGUGAUGGAUUUGAAAGAAGUUGAUUGUCAGCUUUUGCUUGGAAUUCAUUACUUCUUUGAAAAGCAAAAUAAGCAAUGCAAUAUUGGAAGGAAACCUAGUCGCUAUUUAUAGUGAGGAAUAUCUGUUUGCAGAAUGCAGAAACAAAUUUUUCAAGAGAAACACUAAGUCUACAACCCAAAAAGGUUGUGGGAUUGGCACCCCUAAUCCAAGGGUUGAAAUCAAAAUUCUUUGUAGAUUUUAGUAAUAAAAAAGGGGUGAUAAGACUAGUGAAAAAAUAUGGGCCCUUGGAUAAUAGAGUUGUACUAUUACAAUAGGUGAAGAAACUAGCAAAGUUUAAUGUAAAUAGGCAGAACUAAUACAGCGAAAGGUAGUUAGAGGCCUUUUUAUGCAAUAUUUUAAAAAGUAGAAAUAGUUUGUAGGCAAUAUAAAGCACCGUUUGUUUGUAGGCAGCAGAUAUGUAGGUGCAUAUGCAUCAUGUAUGAAUAAAAAUUAUCAAACAUAUGAUAAACAAUUAGAUGAUAAACAGAAAUAUUAGGAAGAAGGUCUUACCUACUGAAACAACAAAUAUAAGAGCAUUGCUAGGUCUACAACCCAUAUUGGGUUGUAAUCCUACAAUCACUCCAUCCAAAGCCCACUUUUCCUUUACAAAUCUUAUCACUCAGGACCCUUGGAUAAGGGAUUGUAGAGAUUACAACCCCUCUUUGGUUGUAGACUUAGCAUUUCUCUAGAUUUAAUGUAGGACACUGAAUAUUAUACAUGUGAACAUUUUACAUUACUUAUGAAAUAGAAAUACUACAAAUACAAGUAUGAAAUAAUAAUUAUUAAAAAAUAAUAAAUUUUUAAUAUCAAUUUUGAUUUUUGAGUGUUUGAGUUGCUAAUCAUAAACAUGUGCUCAACCUACUUGCGUUGCUUAAAAUGCAAGCUAGGAAGCAGCUAUCCAAUGUGCAUAUUAUGCAGUGCCUAUGCCGUUGGUGGUUGCUGCUAUGCAGAAGAGUUAAGCAACGUAUCCAUAUGUGCUGGUGCUUUUUAUAAGUAUCAUUUAGCAUAAUGUGAGCAUACACUUCUUUUUAUCUUCCUUCAUUUGAUAACAAGAGCAUAUGCUAGUUAGUUUUAGACUCUACUGCAUUACCUACUCUCAAAUUGCUGUAUUUAGUGGGUAUUAUGGUAUUUAACAAACAGAUUCUUUCAUUUCGAGAGGGAAAUGUAAAUCAUCAAACAUAUGAACUUUGGAUGACAUGGUUUGCAAGAUUAAUUUUGCUUGAUUCACAUGAUGCAACCUAGAAAAGUUUAAAAAUCGUAUAGCGUCUUGAAACGUGUUAAAUUUUGUCCUUAAUCUCUCUUGUUCUUACCACAUGGUAAGAUCCUGGGUUGAUCAGCCUACAGAUUUUCAUUCACCGAGGCAGCCUGUUGCUAGUUAAGUUGCCAACUGUUAAGAACCUGGCAUCCUUAAUUGUUGGCAUAUAGAGUUAACAUUGUAGUUAGCUUCUUUGUCAAGUUGGAUGGUCCAUUUUUUUGUAUGAAAAACAUUAUUUUUUUUUUCUUGCUAACUGAUAUUGAUGCAAUUUGGAAAGGAGAAUUUAUGUUGGAAGUGUAACAUGAUGAUUGUAUAAAGGAUGUAGAAAUAAAAUUACACGGUCUGGAUUUUUGUAGAGUUGUACUUGGGAUAAGAGUUCCUAGCUAGGUAUUGUGAAAAUAAGCUUUUAUUGUAACCUAGCUAACAGUUGCAGCAUAUAUUAUAAUUUAGUUUUUUGAGUAUUAUUUUUAGACUGUUGACUUGAUGAAGCAAUUUAACUUGAGCGAUAAAACUAUCAAAAUAUUGUAGAUUCUUCCGUAAAGUUGAAAAUCUAAAAAAUGCCCAAUAAUUCUAUUUUUUCCAUAAUAGAUGCUUAUGUUGUUAGCUAUUCUUAGCAAGCAUAUCAACAAUCCUUGGGUCCGGUGCUUGUCAAUUAAGAGUUGAAUAUCACAAUAGCUCAAACUGUUUUCUUCUUCAUAAUCUCUGUCAUCCCUUUUUACUCCCAAUCCUUUCCAUUAAACAUAUUCAGUGGCAGUUCUGUGAGCUAUUAAUUCUUGUAACAAGCCUAGCAGGCUUUACCUCCUCCCGAAAGCUGCCACAGGUACUGAUUGUAAGCUGCCAUCAUCUAGGCUUGUUCCUCCCUCCGUGGCGGAGGAAUGAACUGCCUGGGAGAAACAGUUGCUACCCUUGAUUGUGUUAGCAUCUUCUCCUAUCAAGGGUGAAUUAAAAUUUCUUUGCUCAUGCAUCUUCCCUGCAAUCUCUAGACAAUGACCUAUCCACCCACGUUAUAUAUCUUGUGACCCAACAUACUCUAGUCUGCUUUGUUCAAAAUAUGUGGAGGCACUUAUUAAGUAUUGGAUUUUCGGAAGUUAAGGGCAUUCAAAAAGCAUAAGAGUAGACCAUUGGGAAUUUCAAGUACAUUUGUAGCAGCAUCUUCCUCGGGGUCAAUAGGAUUUAAAUUUUGUUUUUCUACAUAUGGUUGGACUAUAUCUAUAAAAGGUAUUGAUGAUGAUCCGUUUUGCUACAUAUGGAUAUAAUAAUAACUGUAGGUUAUUUAUGAUAUUUAAUUUCAGGACUUGUCAUAAUGGUUUGCUUCUGAGCACCAAUCAUUUCUUACAAGUAGAGAAAUUUAUCCUUUCCCUAUGUUUUGUUGAGGUCUUCGCAUAUUUGAUUUGAUCUGCUUUGUUGUUUCCUAUUCCCUCUCUUAUGAAGUGAUGCUUGAUUGUAAUAUACUUUGUUUGGCUGUCACUGAUAGUGUUUUUGGUCAUUGAAUUGUCACGAAAGGUUAUAUCAGCUUCCUCGUGUUUUCUCUAUUAUCUUUCAAAAUUCUUCAAAAUCAUUAGGCUUGAGAAGUUACAUUGCUGGUACAAACAUAUUUAGUGUUAGGCCAACGUAAUGGUACCCUUUUUUAUUCUUGUUUAAUGUGUAAAAUGUAAACCAGAUCCAGGAGAAUUUCCAUAUUUGAAGGUGCUUCUCAUACUAUUUAUGUUUUUGGCCCAACCACCAUCACAAUUACAAAGCAACAUAAUUUUUGUAAGUUUUUCCAUGCAUGCUUCUGUUGUUACCAGUCUAUUUAAUGUAUCUUUAACCUUUUUUUCUCAAUAAGAAAAUGAAUUUAUGCUGCUUUUUGCAUGAAGUAGGAAGAUAAGCAAGUUGUGGCAUAAUAUUCGAUUUGCGAACAGGAUGCAUAGCUUCCUAUUCUAAGUUGUCUUGUAAGUUUUUCAAUGACAACCAAAGUUGCCGGCAUUGUCUUGUAAGUUUUUCAAUCACAACCAAAGUUGACGACGUCAUCUUGUAAGUUUUUCAAUCACAACCAAAGUUGCUGACAUCGUCUUGUAGUUAUUCACUCAGAGCCUUUUAAGAUGCUCUUCACAUAGUUGUUAUGCCGAAUGAAAGAGAUUUUUAUUUGGGAAAAGUAUAUAAAAGAGCCUUUUUGGUGAGCAUAAUAAAUAUUUGGUCUCCAAAAGUCGUAAGCAUCAAAAAUGCCCUUCUAAUUAUGAUCCUUUUAAGUAUUAGUAUAUCAAGUUCUUCAUUGAAAUACCCAUUGUGCUGUUUUUUUUAUUCGUCGGUCCUCCCAACCAUAGGUGCACCCUAUCUACCGUCUUCAAACGUCUCCUCUCUCCCUUUGGUAGUGUUUGUUUGGUAGUAGAAUAAGGAGAGAAUAAUUAAACAUCUCUUUGACAAUUGAAAAUAGGAAGAAGAUCCAGAGCAAGAACAUAUAUAAUGAAAAACAUACAUUUGUAAGCUAAAAUAGUGAAUACAUAAAUUUGUAAGCUAGGAUGAUAAAAACGUAAAUCUCUAAGUAAAUAUUAAACUAAUAUUUAAACCAUGGUUAAAGAUAUGUUUGCUGAUGGAUUAUAAUGGCUAGGGCAUUUGUGCUGGAGCAUCCAAGAUAUUUUAAACUCCUUAGGGGAAUUAAUGAUAGCUUCAUACUUUUGACCAGCAUGAGUGAAAUUGACCAUUUCCAUUUUAAUGUAAUCGACUAAGAAAUAGUGAGGCCUAAAUUACUCGUUUGUAUUUUGCAUUGUUUCAUUUAAAUUCUAGAAUCAUUUCUUGUUCUUUUCUUGAAAAGCAUCAAAUCAUUAUUAUGAAAGCAAUAAGCUUAAAAAUUGUUUAAAUUAUUUGAAGUUAUUUUGGGAGAUUGUGCAUUUAUUGUUUACCCCACCACCAGCACCACUCCAAAAGGAGCCUCUUUUGCCCACCAUCGGGCACCGGGCUGCAGUGGAUCUUCUUCUGUAUGAACGAGAUCACCCAAAGCUACAUGAGAAAUUCAUCGGCCAUUUUGAUGUGGCAUUACAAAAAGCAUAUAAGUUUGAGAGUGUAGAAUUUAAUUACUUUGUUUCUCGUUGUCCCAAUGAAGACUUUACUAGUGUUAUUUGGUAGCGACAAAAGUAGAGAGUAGUUUGAAGUGCAAAUUGAUCUACCAGUAUUGCGAACUAAUUUUAGAUUAGGAUAUAAAGGAGUGGAUACUGGAGUACAAUCAAAAUAACCAAAUUUUCUAAGAAUCUUUUCGAUAUAAUGAGACUGGAUUAAAAAUAAACCAUUAUUUUCACGAAUAAUUUUAAUUCCCAAAAUAAUAUCAGCCUCCCCCAUAUCUUUCAUAUCAAAAUUGCAAGAUAAAAAAUUCUUAGUGUUUUCUACUUGUUGAAUAUCGGUAAAUUAACAUGUCAUCAACAUACAGACAUAUAAUAACACCUUUACCAUUUGAAAAUUUACUAUAGACACAUUUAUCAGAUUGAUUAAUUUUAUAACCAUUGGAAAGAACAAUCUAAUCAAACUUUUGAUGCCAUUGUUUAGGUGCUUGUUUAAGCCCAUACAACGACUUAACAAGUUUACACAUUUUAUACUCUUGUCCAGGAACAACAAAGCCCUCGGGUUGUUCCAUAUAAACUUCUUUAUCUAAUUCUCUAUUUAAGAAUGCAGUUUUGACAUCCAUUUGAUGAAUAAUCAAACUAUACAUAGAAGCAAGAGCAAUCAAAGUUCUAAUAGUCGCUAAUCUGGCAACAGGUGCAUAAGUAUCAAAAUAAUCAAUGCCUUCUUUUUGUGUAAACCCUUUGGCAACAAGUCUUGCCUUGAAUUUAUCUAUGGUGCCAUUUACUUUGAUAUUCUUUUUGAAAAUCCAUUUACACCUAAUAGGUUUACAUCCAGGAGGAAGAUCAACUAAUUUCCAUAUUUGGUUGACCAUAAUUGAGUCCAUUUCAUUAUUUAUCGCUUCUUUCCAAAAAGCGACAUCAGCAGAUUCCAUUGCCUCCUCAAAUAUUGUGGGGGUCUGAGUCAAUGUUUAAACAAAAUUGAAAACUUUCUGUAAUCAUUUCUCUACUACCCUCAACAAGAAAAGUAUAAAAAUUUGGUCCAAAUAUUUUAGCAAUUCUAACUCUUUUACUUCUUCUAAGUUCUGGGGUUUCAAUUGCAACAUCAUUUUUCUCAUUGGAGUGUUCUUUACUCAAAAUAAGUUCUUUGGGUCUAGGAAUUGAAACAAAUCUGUUUUCAUCAAAUAUAACAUCUCUAGAUUCAAAAACUGUGUUGAUCUCAAUGAAGUCAUUAGAUUCAAUCACGUAAAAUCUGUAUGCUUUACUAUGUUGUGCAUACCCAAUAAAUAUGCACUCAAUUCCUCUUUCACCCAGUUUCUUUCUUUUCGGUUCUGGAACCCUCACAAUAGCUCUACAACCCCAAACUUUUAAAUAAUUUAAAUUGGCGUUUCUUCCCUUAAAUAAUUCAUAAGGAGUUUUAUCAUUCUUCUUUGUUGGGAUUCUAUUUAGUAGAUGGCAGGCUGUUAAUAAAGCUUCACCCAAAAAUUCAUAACUUAACCCAAAGUUAGAAAGCAUAGCAUUGACCAUUUCCAUCAAUGUUCUAUUUUUUCUUUCUACAACUCCGUUUUGUUGUAGAGUAUAAGGUGCAGAGGUUUCAUGUAUAAUACCAAUGGACCCAAAAAAUAAAGGAUCAUAAUAUUUUCCUUUGUCUGAUCUUAGGUAUUUGACCAUUUUCUCACAUUUCACCUCAACUUCAGAUUUAUAAAUUCUAAAUUUAUCUAGCGCUUCGUUUUUAGAAUGCAAAAGAUAAACAUAACUAUUUCUAGAAAAAUUAUCAAUAAAUGUAACAAAAUAUUUCUUUCCACCAAUAGUAGGAGAAGCAUGCAAGUCACAAAUAUCACUAUGUACCAAUUCAAGUAGAGUAAAACAUCUAUCAAUUUUAGAAAAAGACUUUCUAGUAAUUUUAGUGAGCAUGUAAGUAUUAAUUUUUCUAAUUUAUUAUCAAAAUUAGGAAUUAAAUCUAACGUAGUCAUAUCAUGUAAUCUUCUAUAAUUAACAUGUCCUAAACGAUUAUGCCAUAAAGAAGACGAGUCAGUAAUAUAGGAUGAAAUAUUCAUUUUAUUAAUAAGAUUGAGUUUGAACAUGCCCUUGAACAAAUAUCCUUUUCCUACAAAGAUUCCACUCUUCGACAAAAUAAAUUUGUCGGCCUCAAAUACAAGUUUGAACCCAAAUUUGUUAAGAAGACUUCUUGAAACAAGAUUCUUUCUAACUUCGGGUAUAUGAUACAAAUCGGUGAGAGUGAGAGUUUUUCCUGAUGUGAACUCGAGUUCCACGUUGCCCUUUCCUUUGAUUUGUGCUAUUGAGGAAUUGCCCAUAUAGAGAAUGUUUCCAUCCUCCAAUGCAUCAUAAGUUCUAAAUAAACUUCUCUCCUUGCACACAUGCCUUGUGGAACCUGAAUCAAUCCACCAAGCUCCGUCAUCUUCGAGUAUGUUAGCCUCAGAUAUCAUAGCCACAAAAUUUCCUUUGGAAUCCGGUGCACUUUCCCUGUUGAGGAACUGACAUUCUUUCUUGUAGUGACCCGGUUUACCACAAUGAAAGCAUGCAGCUUUCUUUUUCUUAUUUGUCAUGUUGUGGUUGAUCGGAUGCUUGGCUCUCUUUCGAUUUUCUUUUGUGGGUUGACGAGUUUUAUUAUACUCAUCUUCCGUCACAUACACUUUGGCACUCUGAGCAUCUUGCUCCUUUUUGCUAUAUUUCAAACGAUAUUUUUCUUCCAUGCGAAGAUGAUUAGCCAAAUCUUUAAGAGUAAUAUCUUUCUUUUUAUGCUUAAGAUUUUUCUUAAAGUCUUUCCAUGAUAGAGAAAGUUUAUUGAUAAUAGAGGCCACAAUUAUAAAUUCAUCCAUAUUCAUAUUAUGUUGAGUAAAUUGAUUGAGAAUAUGUUGAAUUUCAUGUAACUGAUCUAGAACAGAUCUACUAUCAACCAUUUUAUAGUUAUUAAAUUUGCAAACAAGAAACUUCUUACUUGUGCAUCCUUAGAUUUGUAUUUUACUUCAAGACCUUCCACAGUUCUUUAGCCGUUAUUACAUUCUGUUAGACGUCGAAAAGCGCAUCCGACAUAGCAUUUAGAAUGUUGCCUCGGCAUAUAUUGUCAUCUUCAACCUAUUUUUGUCUUCUACGAGUUUGUACAAUAGGUUCAUCAUCGUUUUCUUCUGGUCUUGGAGUAGUGAGGACAUAAGCAACUUCGAGAGUCGACAGAAGGAAAUAUAAUUUCUUUUGCCAGCGCCUGAAGUCCAUGCCAUCAAAUCUUUCUAGUUUGAUAAAGUUUGUUGCCAUCUCUUGUAGAGUAGCAGUCGACAUUAUCGGAUUUAAGCCUUAAGAUUGUUGGAACAGAUAGUGAAAAAGGUAUGAAAUAGAAAGAUGAAAAAGGCUUCAAGGCAUGUAGCAAUGCCACUUCUUAAGGCUUAAUUCGUCCCCACCGUUCAAUCAAUUUGGUGUGCACCGGGUCAACGAACACCCUCCCAAGAUACAAUGAAGCAUAAACCUCAACUACGUUUGCACACACGAAGUCAAGCCUUUGAGCACUCACUCGAUUAAGUUGUCAAAAAAAAAGAAAUAAGAAUGGAAUUAUUAUGAAUGGAGAGUUAAACUCUUCAACUAUUUCGUCUUAUGUUUCUGCAACCAACGCUGUGGACUUAUAUAGACCACGAACGGGUGCUUCAUGAAGUGACUAUUCAUGAACGGGUGUUUCAUGAAGUGGCCAUUCAAUUGUGACUUUUUAUUUGAUCAUAACUACCAAUUAGUUUUAUGAGUCAAAUUUAAUGAAUGUAAGAAUUAAUUUCAACGGACAUAUACUCGAAGAGACACACUAUAAAGAUGUGUCUUUUCAUGUCAUAUCCUUACACUAAAAGUCACAUCCUUUCACUCUAAGAGUCACACCCUUUGAUUAGAGUUGCAUCCACUCACUAAGGGUUGCAUCCACUCACUAAAGGUUGCAUCGAUUCACUAAGGAUCGCAUUCAUUCACUAAAAAUCAAUAAACAAAAUAUAUUAUUUUAAAAUUUUUCUUACACUUUACAACCUUCAUUAGCUAAUAGAAAAGCAUCCAAGAUGACCUCUUCUUCAGAAAUGUCGAUUAGGAUGUAGAAAUAAUUCCGUGCAAAGCUUUUUUAAGUCUUUUUUUUUAGGACCUUCGAAACUAUUUUGUGUAUUCCUCUUUAGUUUGCUUAUAAGCCCAAAAUUGUUAGCUUGCACAACUCCCUCAGUUUUGUGCAAUAGGUAAAUGUAAGAGUAGUCAAUAGGACAUGUGAGGGAUCUCCCCUCAUGAAUCUCUAAAGAUAAUAUAAUUAGGGAGGAAGAUAAUUAGUAAAAUUUAGACUACAAACACCACAAACCCUUUGUAAAUACAUUUUUUUUACUUUUUUUCCCUUGACUUUUGAAAACUUUUACAUUUUGCUCUCUUAAAAUUUUAGAAAUAUUUUGACAAGUUUACGGUGUUAAUGGAGAGGCUAAAAUGAUCAAAUUACCCUUGCUUGUUCUAGAAGAAAAAAUAAUUUUUAAAUAUAUACUACAUUUUAAAGAGCAUUUUUUGUAUAAAUGUAUGAAAUAAGAUGAAACAGUGAUGGAAUCCUGACGAAGAUGGGUCUACAAAAUGCAUCAACUUGAAAUUUUAAGUAAGUAAAAUAUAGGUUUUUGAAAGUUAAGAGAAAAACCAAAAAAAAAUGCUUAUGUAAGGAUUUUCAAUAUUUUAGCCUAAAAUUUACUGUACAGAAAUUUUAGUGAACCUUUUACUACUAUUAAUUAUUCAAACAUGCUAUGAAGGUUAAUAGUAUUGAGACAUUAGUGAAGGAUCAAAUGGCAACUAAGAGGGAAGGGAGUGAAUUAGUAGGAAAACAAAACCCAAGUAGAUUUUAUUGAAGAUAGUAAUUGUACAGCAAAAUAAAAGAAAAAAAAAGAGAAACAAACUUAGAUGACACAAAUAAAUUAUCCUAGUUCGGCCAUUUUGCCUACUCUAGUCCGAUCCUUCUACUCUUCAAGGUACUCAUUUAAUCACUAUCAUUUUGUCUUUGAAACAGGGCAAGACCGAAACCGCUUACAAUUACACUUUACAAGACUUCUAUUACAAUCUUUCAAUAAAGCUCAUAAUUAUAAAAUAAAGAACAAAAGAACAAUUAAUUAUAACUUACAAAUUUUUUUCCAAUUUGAAGGUUUGGCUUAAACAUUAUCCAAACCCCCUCUUUAAAUAUGUUACUCAUCAUUUCAAAUUUAUAAAAGAAGUAUGAUAUAAGGUUAAUUGAUUUUCAUUUGAAUUUCAACCAUAUUUGUAAAUGCAUUUUAAUUAAUACCAUAUUCCAAAUUUUUUUAAAGUCACACCUCAUUUGCAAAGCAUAUUUGAAAUUAUACUACAUUUGAAAAGCCAUUUGAAAUGAUAGCACAUUUGUAAAACUCUUUUGAAUUAUUACCACAAAUGCUAAGCUCUUUUAAAUUCAUUUGUAAAAUGCUUUUGAAUUAAUACUACAUUUAUAGAACUCUUUUGAGUUAAUACCACAUUUGUAAAACACUUCGAUCUUUUUGAAAUCAUCCCAUAAUGAAAUCACUUUUGAAUUUAAACUAUAUAUCAGACCUCUUUUAAUUCCAUACUACAUUAAAAAUAAUGGUUAAUUUUUUAUUAAGUUUAAAUCAAACCUAUGUGGUAGCUAGAUUUGUUAACUUCGUUAAGUUUACGGGCUCAAAUUCGAUAAAAGUACAAAGAAGCCCGCCAUAAUAUUGUUGUGGUACUUGCAUCCAAUUUGAUACAAUUUGAUUUUGUCCGGGCUAUUUUGAAAUUUUUGAUUGAACGACUAUCUUUGAUCAAUUUUGGUUCGGCUUGUGUCAUUUCAAAUCCAACUAAAACCUGAAAUUACUAUGCAAAAAAGUAAAUCCAAAAUUUAUUUGUAAUCAUCAAAAUUAUCAUUGCAUAAAAUCCAACACGUGGUGCUAUAGAGUCAUUUUCGAUGAUAUAGUAUCCAAAUUGAUAAUUGACACUGUUGAAGAUUGACGUCCUAGGACUACUCCCAUCCUAUCAUACUUAACUCUUUUAAUCUUUUGGACCUAGUCACCACCCAAAAUGAUUAAGAUGGAUUGAGAGUUUUAACCCUAUUAUAUCUUAUAUAUAGAACUACCUGGGGUCUCACAUUCUCCUUGCCUUAAGCCCUGACGUCCUCGUCAGGCUGAGACUCACAAGUACGAGGCGAUGUAAGACUCGUCUCGCUAACCUAAACCGACCUUAUGGUGAGUUGCGCUCCACCCAUAACAGUCAACAGCAUGAGAGCCUCGCUCUCCCCGUUGUACAAUCUUUGCUCAACCGAGACUAAUCUCAUACUUCCAGCUGGUAAUUAGCUCUGAUUCCAACUGUGACGCCCCACUUUCCAAAGCGUCACCCAUCCUAGGAUUACUCUAGUCCUAGCACGCUUAACUCUCUUAACCUCUUAGACCUAACUACCGCCCAAAAUGCUAUAGCGGGGUUAAGAGGUUUUAGCCCUAUUAUAUCUUACAUAUAGGACUACUUAGGGUUUCACAUUCUCUCAUUCUUUAAGCCUUGAUGUCCUCGUCAAGCUCAGACUCACAAGUAUCAGUCAAUGUAAGAUUCUGUCUCUGAAGCCUAAACCAACUAUGUGGUGAGCUGCGCUUCACCCAGAAUAGUCAUCAGCAUAAGAGCCUCGCUCUCGCCGCUGUAUAACCUGGCUCAGCCGAGACUUAUCUCACAUUUUCGGCUGGUAAUUGGCUCUAAUACCAACUAUGACGCCCCACUUCCUAAGGGGUCACCCCUAAUCCUAGCACGCUUAACUCUCUUAACCUCUUGGGCUGCACCUACUGCCCAAAAUGCUAUAUCCGGGCUAAAAGGAGAAUGAAACUGUUUUAACGGGAGAAGAAACUAUAACGCCCCAAAAUUUGACUAUAAAUGUUUAAAAAGAUUUCAAAAUAAUUUUAGAGGAUGAUGGCCAGUUUUAUAUGAUUUUGAACUCAAAUUGAGUCAAAAUGAAUUGUUUGAGGACGAAAAUUUCAAAACAGUUGAGUCUAAUCUGCCAUUGCACAAAUAGCCAUUUUGGAAAAACUUUUAACUAGGUUAUUGACAUCAGAUUUGGGCAAAAUUGGUCUCAUUGGAAAGAUCGUUGAGUUAUCUUUCUAACGCAACGUGAAUCUCCUUAAACGGAUAUCGGACGAAAGAGUUAUUUCAAUUUUUCUGACAGUCGUCGAUGCAGUCCUGAGCUUUGAGCUAGUUUGGGACUUUACCAUUUGUUAUGGGCUGUUUGGUAAAUUUGCUAAUUAAAAUUAUAACAUAUCAACUUAGGUGGUUAACUAUUAGUCCAACCAUAAUUUUUUCCAAGAAAAUGUUGAGUAAAAUGACUGAAACUCUUUUAAAUGGGCUGGUUUGAAUGGGAGAAGAGAAAAACUGUUUUAUUCCUAUUCUCAUCUUCUUUUUCCUAUUUUCCCUUCCUCUCAAUACCCUAGUUCUUCUCUCUUUUAUUCAGCAAUGAGAAGAAGGAUUUCUCCUUCAAAUUGAAGGAAUUUAGAAGGAGACUUUUGGAGAAGGAAACCCAUUUUCAAGUUAAAACUCUAGCUAGAGAACAAAGUAAGUAGAUUUUCGAUUUUGUACUUUGUAAAUAUCAAAGAGUGAAUAUUUUACGUUGCAUGCAUGUUUUUCUAUUCUCUUUGAAGGUCCCAAUCUAUCUUUUAUGAAUUGACUAUAGUUUUUGAAGAUUUUAUGACACUAUAUUCAAAUAUUGAAGCCCUAAAUUAGGGGUUUAUGCCCUAUUACGAGAUUUCCUUGUAAUUUUAGGGUUGGGACCCUAAGAGCCCAAGAUGAGAUCUUGAUCGUUAACUUUUAGUUCUUUCAACUUGAAUUUGGAGGCCAAUAUAUAGUUAUAUGAAUUGCCUUUGUUUUUAAGAGUUUUUGAUGAGUUACUUGUGUUUUAUGAGGCUUCAAAAUUGGGAUUUUGAUCAACUAGGAGAUUAAACUUUUAUAGUUGAUUUUAAGAGUUUAAAAUACUUAAAUUGAGAUGUCAAUCUUGUUCAAAUGUAUUGGAAAUGAAUGUAUGAUUGAGCUAAGUUGUUUGAUCAAAUUUGAACUUAGUUUGUUAAUAUUUCGUCCAAUUUAUGCUAUUUUCAAGUUGGACUUUUCCGAUUAGUUUUCGGAGGGUAAAAACAUCUUGUUAAGGUGUCGUUUGUUAAAAUUAAGUAUUCCAAACCCUUCUAUAGGAUUUAAAUGAGUUAUUUUAAGGUUGUUAUCUAUUUUGAGAGAGUUAAGCAUGCUAGGACUAGAGUAGUCCUAGAAUAAGUGAUUUCCUGGAAAAUGGGGCGUCAUAGUUGGUAUCAGAGUUAAUUACCAGCUGGAAGUGUGAGAUUAGUCUUGGUUGAGCCAGGAUUAUAUAGCGGGGGGAGUGAGGCUUUCAUGCUGUUGACUGUUGUGUGUUGAGCCCAGCUCACCACAAAGUCGGUUUAGGCUAGCAAGACUAGUCUCACAUCGCCUGAUAUUUGUGAGUUUAAGCCUGACGAGAACGUCAGGACUUAAAGAGGGAAAGAAUGUGAGACCUCAAGUGGUCCUAUAUGUAAGAUAUAAUAGGGCUAAAAUCUUUUAACCCGUCUAUAGCAUUUUGGGCGGUGGCUAAGUCCAAGAGGUUAAGAGAGUUAAGCGUGUGAGGACUAGAGUAGUCCUAGAAUGGGUGACCUCCAGGGAAUUGCGGCGUCACAAAAAUGAUCUCAUAAAUUGAACGCCUUAGGUAUCAAUUUCAUGACUUCUCAAUGUCAUCUAUAUAGUGACCAAGCAAUCAUAAAGUGACAAUUUUAAUGGCCCACAUUAGACCUUUUCUAAUUUAACGGUAUUGAAGAAUGCAAAUCGGUAUUCUUUUAACCGAAUUGAUCAAAAUCUACAGCCCUGAUCUUGAAUUUAAUAAUUCUAUCAUCUAUUCUAAAUAAUUGUUUGAUUAUGACUGUUUAUUUUGUGGUUGCUUGAAGUAGAAAAUGAUUCUAAAAAAUUGUGAUCGAACUUGAUUCUUACAAAGUUCAAAUGUCUUAGAUAAUGUUUUCGAUCGUCAAUUCAGAUGCCUCAUCUUUGAAAACGAGUGUAUAGAAAAAAAACGAAGGCCUUGGUGCAAUUAAUAGAACCCUAAUUCGAUUCAUUCAAGCCUUUCUAGCACGCCUCUUCUGUUAAUUGGUUUUUACCGUGUUCCUUGAAUCUUUGGUGGCUUUCAGAGUCUGAUCUGCAUAGACAUAUAUGAAAAACAACAAAUUUUCUCUAGUUAAGGAUGUCAAUUAGAUUUCUCUCAGCUGAAUUAUGGCUACUACCACAAUUUUGAUCUCACCAGUACUUUUUUUUUUUGGGCAGCAGGGCCCCAUGCAGGUAAACAAAGCUUUAUGAAGGGACUUCACUUCCUGAUUUUGGAUGAACUGUUUCCACAAGUCUUAUGAGAUGAUUAUUUGUACUUCAGUGUAUGCUUCCGAUUAUGCUUCCGAUUUUUCCUGUUAUGUUUCCUAAUCCAUUAGCGUGCGUAGCACUGUUUAAAUCAACAAGGAAACUGUGGAUAGAGAUGAAUUAUCCAAUGUUACAUAUAAUACACUCGAAGAUGGUAAAAGGGAACUAGAAUCUGAAGGAAGCUAGCUAUAACAUAAUUGAUAUUAUCGAAACUACUUGUCGAUUAAUCAACAAAAAAUAUGUUUUGAUUGUACCAUUUAAUAUGUUAGUACUCGAUCAGAAUGUCUUUCUGGACCAAAGGGUCCAAUAUAUGUUAGAUCAGAAGUUGAACUGAUAUAAGUUGGUUCUAAUGUAUCAAUGGAAAUACAUGAUGAACAUUCAUUAAUUGAAGAAUUUUGUGAGAAAAUAUGCCUAUUUAAGCCAUGUAGCAUUUAAGAUUUACUUAUCGAUGAGUCUAAACCCAUUUGCAAGGUAUGUUGUCAUGUUGUUGUAUAAUUAGAUUCUAUUAUUUGUAGGAUGAUUUUUAGACCUUUAUACAUCCAUUGAGGCAUUACAUCAGCUAUUUCAUCACUAAACCGAUAUGAUCGAGAGGUGUUAUGUAUUAAUUCGUUACUUGGCAAUUUUAAAAUAAGGUUAUUUAUUUUGCUAAGUUUGGAAGUGUAUUUAUAAUCAUGCAAUGUUUCGAACACAAUUGAUGGGAAGAAGGAUAGUUAAUAUCGCUGUAAAAGAACAAACUUCCAUCAAAAGUGAAUGAAGCGCGCCAGUUCAAAGUGAAUGAUUUUACUUAGUAAGACCAGCAGAAGAGGAGAAUCACGAGAGGUAUGCAUGAGAGUUAUCAAAAUCUUUGAUGCAUUCAGUAAAUAAAGUGUGUGUGUCAAACAAAGAUUUACACAGAGAAAUCCAUCAUUUUGCACGAAAAAUAGUGCGAAUCACCAAAAUUUCACUUGUUUAACAUCAAAAUAUUUUGCUGUUAGUGCCAAAAACUUCAAAACCAUGCCCAUAGUUGUUGUUUUGGUGUUGUUUUUCCUAUUAGAAUCAAUCUGCAUAAACAACGAUUUCAAGUUCUGUUUUGAUCUGUUGCAUCUUUUAAGAACACUUUCUCUAAAUAUUUUGUGUUUUCUAAGUUCAAGCCCUUCAUUCUUUGUUUCAUUAAUUGAUGUGUUAUUAUCUACUUAUCUCUUGGUAUUGCCAUUCUGGUUUCUGAAAAGCUUUAGUUUCUGUAAUUUUUGUGACCAUGCUAAUUCACUCCCAUGAUUUCCAUCAGGAGGGUUGAAGUGUAUAAGUAUUGUCAUCCAUUGAUACUCGACUGAUCUCAGUGUCGAAGCUCAGGACCUUAUGCUCUGAUAUUCAUUGCUCUGAUAUUCAUUGAUAUGACCAUGUUCGCAUGCAGCGUGUGUUGAUAAAUUUUUUGUAACAAAUUAGAUUAGCAAUAUAUCGUGGGAAAAAUUUUUGCUCCGACUGUGUAUUUCUUGUGGCGUGCAAGUGAACAAUACCUGACGUGACUAUGAAAAAGUUGUAAUGGAUUAUGAGAAUUGUAUUUUCCCUUUCCGGAAAGAGUACGUACAGUGAAAGCAAAAUUGUUUCUCUUUAAUUAAUUAGAUACAUGUUGUAUAAGUUUUGCGAAUUAUGAAUCUGAAUUUUGGUGUGUUUGUUCUCGCUACUGUGUUUUGUUUUAUUUUAUUAAGUGAAAUCUGUUUUCUUGCUUAGUCAAAUUAAAUGUUUGGCUUUGACAAUUCAAAAUGUUUUAUUUUAUCGUAAAGGGGUGUUUGGUUCCUCUGAAAAAAUAUUCUAGAAAAUAGUUUUAUAGCCGAAAAGGUGAACAAUAUGUGCUAGGGCUUUUUUUGCAUUUAGACCCCUGACAAAUUUUUAUUUUAAAAAUAGCCCUGUCAAAAUUUAAUUUGCAAAAAUGGCCCUCGACCUGCCACGCAGGCGCCACGUCAGCGCCACGCGGGCAGGGCUGUGCCCGUGUGUUAAGUUGAACACGGUGAACCAUUCACCGUGUUCAAACACGGUGAAUGGUUCACCGUGUUUAGUACGUAUUUUUUGUUACGUAUUUUUUGUAUAUUGAAAAGUGGAAUAAGGAGUAGGGAUGUCAAUAGAUAUGGAUAUCCGAAAUAUUAUNNNNNNNNNNUGAAAGAAGUAACAGAUAUGAAAACUGUAAAUAUGCAUGCAUGCUUUUCAUUAACUUUACCCAAUCUUUUGGUUAACCCUCUGGUUAACAGCUGGACAAGUACGUUAGUCCAUAAAUUUACCGAAUGCAGUGGUUAACCCUUUGGUUAACAAUAACUCACCAACGAAAUCCCUCACGGGCCCUAAGCUGCCUCCCGAUGGGACCGUCUGUCAGACAAGUACGUUAGUCCUGGGGCAAGUACGUUAGCCCAACAAGUGACUACUCCGGAGCUCACUGCCUGGGGGGAGCGACCACCACCAAGCUAAGAAAACAGACUAUGUGAGUAAGAUCUGAUCCCCUUUUAGAGGAUUCAACUGACAACAAUGUCACAAUUUAACUCUAACUAGUUCUUUAUACUAGUUUCCAAAUCUCUAGUCAUGAUGUCACCAAGUUUACUAUUGUCUUGGUCCAUGCAUUCAUAGGGUUCUAUGUCCACAAUCUAAGGUUCACAAAUUCUCAUUGUUGAUAGGAAUUCACAUUUUCACUCGCUCAAUGCCAAACACCCUAUAAUGCAUGACUACAAAUAUAAAUAUGCUCAACAAAGAAUUAUAGACAUAAAAGGUGAUUCAAAGAGUUCGGAUAGCACCACCCACCUGUAGUGGUGUCAAUCAACUAGAAUCCAUGUCUCGGAAAGCGUCGACGACUAUCUCUCGUGACUCCGUGCAAAUAGGACUAGAGCGGUCUCUACCGUAAUUAGCGUGUCGUCGACCUGUCGGAAAGUCAAUUUAGACUCUUGGGCAUGUUUACUUUACACUUAUAAAGGAUUAGAAAAGAUUAAACUAGAGUCAUUACUCAUAUUUUACAAGUUAGCAUUUCAAUGCGAUAUAAAGCGGCAACUAUAGCCGAAAACCUUCUUUUGGCGAUAUCUUUGCGUAGGUUCGUCGGAUUGCCGAACCGACUUCGCCAACGCGUUUCUUUUACCCUCAAUUUGGUUUACACGCCGUCAAUUUCGCAUUAGGACUCUUAUUUUGCAAAAGUGCAUUGCCGGGGUCAGUUUUCUCAAAAACACUAUUUCAAUGCAAUUUCACAAUUCAAUAGAGUAAUUCAACUCUUUAUUAGCCCAGGGACCUCAAAUCAGUUAGUAAAAACUGUCCAAAUACUUCGAUUCAUCUUUUCUCUCUAUUUCAUUUUCUUUCUUUUCUUUCUUCUCUUUCUUUUCUUUCCUUCUUUCUUCCUCUUUUCUUUCUUUUUUUGUUUUCUUUCUUUCUUGCUGGCCCUGUAGGACAGCUGCUGCUGCUGCCACUGUUGCCACUGCUGCUGCUGCUAGCUGCAGCUGCUGCUGCUGCUGUGCUGCUAUGCUGCUGCAGCUACUACAAGCUACUGCUGCUGCUGCUGGCUGAGCUGCUGCUGCUGCAGCAGCUUGCUGCUGCUGCUGCUAAGCUGCAGCUGCUGCUGCUGAUGCUGCUUGCUGCUGCUGCUUACACUGCUGCUGCUGCUGCUGCUGCUGGCGCAGGCUGCUGCUGCUGCUGCUGCAGCUGCUGCUGCUGCUGCAGCAGCUGCUGAGCUGCUGCUGCUCUGCUGCUUGCUGCUGCUGCUACUAGCUGCUGCUGCUAGCUGCAGCUGCUGCUGCUGAUGCUGGCUGCAGCUGCUGAGCAAGCUGCUGCUGUAGCUUGCUGCUACUGCUUGCACUGCUGCUGCUGGCUGCUACUGCUACAACCAGCAGCAGGGAGAGGGGGAGAGGGAGAGAGAUAAUUUACCUUUUUGUUCUCUUUUUUCUUCUUCUCUUUCUCCUUUCUCUUCUUCUUCUCUUCUUUUUCUUCUUCUCCCCUCCCUUUGCUCUUGCUUUCCCUCUCUCUCUAGACGUAUGCUGCAAGAAGAGGUGGCAGGGGAUAAGGAUGGCCCUGGCUGCAGGUUAGUGGAAUUCCACUAAGUCAUAUGCUAAUUACCAAAAUGCCCCUCGACUUACUCCGUUUAGUCGCACGGAUUAUAUACCUUCCGUAAGCCCUUCCGACAGUCCGAUUGAGCUCAAAUUUGGCAGGAAUGAUCGUUUUUACUUAAUAAGUCCACUGAAAUUUUAACAUUUCAGUUUCGACCCCGUUUGGUCACUGCGAACUGUACCGAACUGAAAUCUUUAUCCGAUAGCUUUCGGAUUCAAUUUCUCUCUCUACGGGUGUCAGAAAAAUCUGAAACUUCAAAUCUAGCCUCAUAAUAAUGUUCCUGACAUCUUUGCCAAUUUUCAUAAUUUUCUGACACUGUGCAUUUUCUGCUAAUUUUCUCAGCCCCGUUCCUUACAAAAAAUUCUAAAUUUUUCGUUUUCGCUCCGAUUUCACCCAAACACUUCCAAAAUACACCAAGGGACCUUCCCAAGCUACCAAUUUAAUUUGGAAGCAAUUCCUUUUCAUUUUGACAUUAUUUGAGCCGAAUUAGAAAUAGAAUCGGCUCCAAUUCCAUUACAUGGCCUUUUUGCACUACCACUUCGCACUGAGCUCUUUAAAACCUUGUGAAAACACACCCUUGGCUUUACCAAAACUUCACAAUUGAUUCGGAGAUACCACAAUUUAUCCUUAGGCCUUACUUUAAUUCUUUUAAUCAAAGUUAGCGUCGGAAUUGCGAAAAUUCUCUUUACUCUCUUUAUAUUUCGUUUCGCGCCCAAUUUGCGCCGACACACUUAUUUCUCUUUGGAACUCAUUCCAACGCAUCACAAAUCCCUCGGGGAUGAUGUACAACUAGCUCAAUCCUCACUUUGACCCUCUAGGUCAAAGUUGACAUCGCGACUCCAAGUUUCCAUAUGUUACAUUCUCCUCCCGUUAACAAAAGUUUCGGCCGCGAAACUUAGAUCCAUAUUACCCCUUAUUGCUUAACGGAUGGAGAUAACUUUCCAAAUGCUAUUCCAAAGUUUCUCAAUUUCAUUACAUACUAUACUGAUUUCUCCAAAUCAGUCUCUACGAACACUUUGUUCGCAUUUCCAAUCUCAACUCGUCAUCGAUGCUUAUUUUAGCAAUUCUGACUAAUUCACCCAUAGAACCAAGCUUUUGCUUUCACGGCCUCUACUCAUAAUCUACUUACAUAGGUCCACUACACUCGCUUUCAGUAUGAACGAGUAAACCAGUACCACAAUUCGGUUCCUAAGUUACCGAUCCGAUACAGGCCGAUUGCCUAACCCAACCAUGAUACGACAUAUUGCCUCUCGCUCGCAAGCGCAAACCCAAUCAUCAUCGGGCGAUAUUCUCACUGGAGAAUUCGCACACACUCCAACUAGGAGAAACCAAGACCCCAAACCACGCCAAGUCCUCGGGUUGGGUCGCUACACACCCUGUGUGUUCUCGAUCUCACGAUCUAACACGUGGCAUUCCACGUACUCGGGUCCAAGCUCGGACUACCGUCCUGACCAAAACUCUCUGCCCUACCCGUAGGUACCGGGCCGCUGCCUCUCGCAGCUGACUGCGCCUGCCCAAUAGACCAGGCUCCACAGUCCAAAAAGGGUCCAGGCACGGAUCGUCCCCAAGCACUACCCGCCAACGUAGUCCUACACGACAUGCUCUACAGAGCUACCCACUCUAACGGCUCUUAAGCACCUAGUGCGAGCCAACAGCCUUAAGAGUGACCCAUGGCCCGCUUCACACUUAGCCCUGCUGAAGUGCUACUGCCAAUUCACUCUUCAGGCUGAUCCACAAUCCACAAUCUACGGACAACUAACUCAAGGGUCCAACACGAUCGCGUCUCUCGCUAGAUAGCACUCAUCUAGUGCUCGUUAGGCAACUUAGCCUAUGACUAUCAUACAUAAACACAAUUUCCUCAACUGAUUUGAGGUACAACUCAAUUAACUCGCCAAAACCAGGCGAUCAUCUAACGACCUUCCAACAGUAACGCCAUUACUGUUACGCAAUCCCUCGGAAUAUCAUCCGACUUCUCAAUGUCGUGCGUUCUAGCAAAUGAACUACUAAUGAAUGAAUGCAAUGCACCAGUGUCAAUAAUAUACGCGAUCUAGUAAAACAAUACCUGCCACGACAUCGUCGACUACGGCAGGAUCCUCAACCUGAGCUGCAAAGACACGACCACUCGGUGCAGGUCGGGGUGGCUCGUACUGACGCGGCACAAAAGUAUGUCCAGCUGACAUAGCGGGUGGGGGACCCGCACGCUGCCUCGCAGGCGACUGAACUGAAGCUGUAGGCUGAGCAGAUGAUGCUCCUCUCGGGCAAUCACGACUAAUGUGUCCCGGCUGUCCACACUUAAAACAUUUACCGUCCUUUUGUGAACAAGCUACCGCUUGAUGAUUCCCGCCGCAAAUCACACAUCCCGGGGGUCCCUGAUACGUCUGCUGUGGCUGUGGAUACCGAGGGGGCCGUUUAGAGCUCGACUGUCCCCCGGCGCCACCAGUGGUUCGCUUCUUUCCCUUUUCUCUUUCUCGUUCUCUAUCAAACGACUCGCGUUCCUCACGCGCAAUCGCAUUGCUGCGCUCUACCCAAAGAGCUCGAUCCAGGACUUCCUCAAAUGACUUUAACUUUAGAGCACUAAUUAUCUUAAAUAUUUCAGGCNNNNNNNNNNNNNNNNNNNNNNNNNAAGGAGAGAUGCAUGCUCCAAAAAUUACAAGAAACUAAAGGCCUUUCACAACCAGAAUGCAAUUACCGAGAGAUAAGUAGAUAAAUAACACAUCAGUUAAUGAAACAAAAGAAUGAAGGGCUUGAAGCUUAGAAAAACACAAAUAUUAGAGAAUUGGUUCUUAAAAGAUGUAACUAGAUCAAAAACAAACUGAAAUCAGAAACUUGAAAUCGUUGUUUUAUGCUAGAUUGAUUCUAAUAGGAAAAACAACAAUCAACAACCACUCACUAUGGCAUGGAUUUUUUUUUUUAUUUUUUUUUUUUUGGGUUUUUGAAGUUCUUGCACUAAACGCAAAUAUUUUGAUGUGAAACAAGUGAAAUUUGGUGAUUCGCAUUAUUUGUCGUGCAAAAUGAUGGAUUUCUGUGUGUAUAAUCUUAUGUUUGACUACACACACACUUAUUUACUGAAUCAUCAGGGUCAAAAGAUUUUGAUAACUCUCAAUGCAUAGCUUCGUGAUCCCUCUUCUGCUGGUCUGAUCAAGCAAGUAAAGCCAUUCACUAUUAAUUGGUGGUUUUUUCAUUCACUUUUUGUGAUGGAUUUUGUUUUAAACAGCGAUAGUUAACUAUUCUUCUCCCAUCAAUUGUUGAUUUCGAGAACCGUUGCCAUGCAUUAUAAACAUACCUACUUCUCAUAUCGGUUUGGUUAGUUGAAUAGCAGAUGUAAACCUCAAUGGAUGUAUCGAAGGUCUAAAAAUCAUCCUACAGAUAAUAGAAUCUCAUUUAUACAACAACAAUACAACAUACCUUCAAAAUGGUUUAGAACUCAUCGAUUAAGUAAAGUCUAAAUGCUACAUGGCUUAAAUAGGCAUAUUUUCUCACAAAAUCUUCAAUUAAUGAGAUGUUCAUCAUGUAUUUUCCAUUGAUACAUUAGAACCAACUAUAUAUUCAAGCUUCUGAAUCUAACAUAAAUAUUGAACCCUUUGGUCCAGAAAGACAUUCAUGAUCGAGUACUACAUAUUAAAUGGUACAUCAAAACAUAUUUUUUGUUGAUUUAUCGAACAAGUAGUUUCGAUAAUAUCAUUAUGUUUAAGCUACUUCCUUGCCAGAUUCAAGUUGCGCCUUUUACCAUCUUCGAGUGGAUUAUAUGUACCAUUGAUAAUCCAUCUCUAGUUCGCACAGUCCGUUGUUGCUUAAACAGUGCUACGCACGCUAAUCGGAUAGGAAACAUAACAGAAAAAUCGGAGGCAUAAAUCGGAAGCAUAACACUGAAGUACAAAUAACAUUCCAUAAGAUUGUGGAAAUAGUUCAUCCAAUCAGGAAGUGAAGUCGCCUUCCAAUAAAGCUUUUGUUACCUCAUGGGCCCCUGUGCUGCCCAAAAAAAAAGAAAGUACUGUGAGAUCAAAAUUGUGGUAGUAGCCAUAAUUCAGCUGAGAGAAAUCUAAUUGCACAUCUCUUACUUCGAGAAAAUUGUUGUUUUUCAUAUAUGUCUGAUGGCAGAUCAGACUCUGAAGAGCCACCAAAGAUCAAGGAAAAUCGGUAAAACCAAUUAACCAGAAGAGGCAUGCUAAAAGGCUUGAAUGAACGAGUUAGGUCCUGAUUAAUUGCACCAAGGCUCAUUUUUUUUCUAGUACACCCGUUUCAAAGAUGAGGCAUCUGAUAUUGACGAUCGAAUACAUUAUCAUUAAGAUAUUUGAACUUUGUAAGAACAGUUCGAUCCAAAUUUUUUAGGAAACAUUUUCUACUUCAAAGCAACCACAAAUAAACAGUCAUGAAAUCUAAACAAUUGUUAGAAUAGAUUGAUAGAAUAUUAAAUUCAAGAUCAGGGCUGUAGAUUUUGAUCAUUCGUUAAAAGAAUACCGAUUUGCAUUCUUCAUACCGUAAAUUAGAAAAGGUCUAGAUGUGCCAUAAAAUGUCAACUUUAAUGAUUGUUGGUCACUAUAUAGUAUGACAUUGAUGAAGUCAUGAAAUGAUACCUAAGGCUUCAAUUCUAUGAGCUCAUUUUUAGUGACGCCGCAUCCCCGGAGGCCAUCCCAAUUCUAGGACUACUUCUAGUCCUCACACGCUAAACUCUUCUUAAUCUCUUAGACUACCAUCGCCCAAAAUGUUAUAGACGAAGGUUAAAAGAUUUAGCCCUUAUUAAUCUUUACUAUAGCUGAACUACCUUGAGGUCUGCGACAUUGCUUCGCCUCUUUUAAGUCCUGACGUCUCGUCAGGCUAAAACUCACAAAUGAUCAGGCGAUGUGAAAUCUAGUCUCGCUAGCCUAACCACUUGUUGGUGAGCGGGCUCGCACACCACAACAGUCAACACAUGAAACCUCACUCCGCUGACCCGCGUAUAAUCCUUGGCUCACCAAGACUAAUCUCACAGCUUUCAGCUUAGUAAUUGACUCUGAUACCAACUUAACGCGUAAAGUCAUUUUCUAGGAAAUCACUUAUUCUAAGACAGACUGCUAGUCCUAGCAUGGCUUAACUUAAAAUAAUAUAAACCUAAAAUAAAACUCAUUUAAUAAUCCUAUAUAAGGGUUUGAAUACUACAUUUUAACGAAACCGACACCUUAACACAGAUGUUUUUACCCUCCGAGAAACUAUUCGGAAAAGUCAACUGAAAAUAGCAUAAAUUGGUCGAAAUAUUACAAACUAAGUUCAAUUUGAAUCAAACAACUUAGCUCAAUCAUACAUUCAUUUCCAAACAUUUGCACAGUGAUGACAUCUCAUUUAAGUAUUUUAAACUGCCUAAAAUCACUAUAAAAGUCUAAUAUCGCUAGUGAUCAAAAUCCCACGAUUUGAAGCCUCAUAAAACACAAAGGUAAACUCAUCUAAAAACUCUAAAAACAAAGGCAAUUCAUAUAAGUAUUAUUGCCUCCCAAAUUCAAGUAGAAAGAACUAAAAAGUAAUUAUCAGGAUUCAUUUUGGGCUCUUAGGGCGCGCCACACCCUAAAUUACAAGAAAAAUCUCGUAAUGGGCAGAAACUCCCCAUUUAGGCGCUCAUAUUUGAAUAUAGUGUCAUAAAACUUCAAACUAUAGUCAAUUCAUAAUAAGAUACGCCUUGGACCUUCAAAGAGAAAAGGAAAACAUGCAUGCAGACCUAAAAUAUUCAUACUCUUUGAUAUUUACAAAGUACAAAAUCGAUAAUCUACUUAAUUUGUUCUCUAAGCUAGAGUUUUAACUUGAAAAGUGGGUUUCCUUCUCCAAAAGUCUCCUUCUAAAUUCCUUCAAUUUGUAAGGGAGAAAUCCUUCUUCUCAUGCUGAAUAAAAAAGAGAAGAAUCUAGGACUGAGAGAAGGGAACAUAGGAAAAAGAAGAUGAGAAUAGGGAAUAAAAGAGUUUUUCUCUCUCCGCAUUCAAACCACCCAUUUAAAAGAGUUAGUCAUUUUACUCAACAUUUCUUGGAAAAAUUUUAGGUUGGUACGCAAUAGUUAACUCACUCUAAGUUCGAAUAUGUUACAAUUUUAAUUCAAAUUUACACAAACACCAUAACAAAUGGUUAAAAAUCCCCAAACUACCGCUCAAAGCUGCAGGACUGCAUCGACGACUGUUAGAAAAAUUGCAAUAACCUCUGUCGUCCGAUAUCGUUAAGGAGCAUUCAGGUUCGUUAGAAAAGACAUAAACUCACGAUCUUUCAAAGCAGACCAAUUUUGCCAAUCUGAUGUCAAUAACCUAGUUAAAAGUUUACCAAAUGUCUAUUUGUGCAAUGGCAGAUUAGACUCAACUGUCUUGAAUUUUCGUCCUCGUAAACAAUUCGUUUUGACAUCAAUUGAGUUUCAAACAUCAUUAAAACUGGCCAUCACCCUGCUAAAAUUAUUUUGAAAUCUUUAAACAUUAAUAGUCAAAUUUGGGGCGUUAUAGUUUCUUACAUCCCGUUAAAAACAGCGUUUCGGCCUCCUUUUAGCCGGAUAUAGCAUUUUGGCAGUAGAUGCAGCCCAAAAGUUAAGAGAGUUAAGUGUGGCUAGAAUUACGGGGUGACCCUUGGAAGUAGGCGUUCCAUUGGUAUUAAGCCAAAUUACCAGCCGAAAAUGUGAAGAUAAGUCUUGGCUGAUGGCCAGGUUAUAACAGCGGCGAAGCGAGGCUCUUCAUGCUGAUGACUAUUCCUGGGAUGAAAUGCGCAGCUCACCACAAAGUUGGUUUAGGCUUCAAGAGACAGAUUCUUUACCAUUAAUUGAUACGUUGUGAGUCUGAAACCGACGAGCGACGUCCAAAAAACAAAGGCGCUUUUUAAAGAAUGAGAGAAAUUGAAACCGGCCAAGUAGUCCUAUAUGUAAAGAUAUAAUAGGCUGAAAAGCCUCCUUAACCCCGCUAUAGAAUUGGCGUCACGGUAGGUCUAGAGAGGUUAAGAGAGUUAAGCGUGCUCGACUUAGAGUAAUCCUAGGAUGGGUGACGCUUUGGAAAGUGCGGGCGUCACAGUUGGAAUCAGAGCUAAUUACUAGUUGGAAGUAAUGAGAUUAGUCCUCGAGUGAGCAGAUUGUACAACGGGAGAGGCGAGGCUCAUCAUGCUGUUGACUGUUAGGUGGAGGCGCAACUCACGCAAUAAUGUCGGUUUAUGUUAGCGAGACGAGUCUCACGACACCUCGUACUUGUGGAGUCUCAGCGCUGACAGAGACAAUUAGGGCUUCAAGGUGAGGAAAUUGCGAGACUCCAGGUAGUUCUAUAUAUAAGAAUAAUAGGUUAAAUACUCUUAAAUCCAUCUUAAUCAUUUGGGUGGUGGCUAGGUUCCAAGAGGUUAAAAGAGUUAAGUGUGAUAGAUAGGAGUACGUCCUAGGACGCAAUCUUCAACGUGCAAUUAUCAAUUUGGAUACUAUAUAUAUCAUUCGAUAAAUGAAACCUAAUAGCACCACCGUGUUCGGAUUUUAGAAAUGAUAAUUUUUGAUGAUACAAAAUAGAAAAAUUUUGGAUUUUACUUUUUCAACAUAGUAAUUUCAGGUUUUAGUUGGUAUUUGAAAUGAACAACCGAACAAAAUUGAUCAAAGAUAGUCAUUCAAGUCAAAAAUUUCCAAAAUCAGCUCGGACAAAAUCAAAUGUAUCAAAUUGGAUGCAAGUAGCCCAACAAUAUAUGGAGGGCUUCUUUGACUCUUAUUGUAACAAUAUGGAAACUGGCAGUCGCGAUGUCAACUUGACCUAGAGGGUCAGUGAGGAUUGAGCUAGUUGGACAUCAUCCCGCGGAAGGGAUUUUGUGAUGCCAGUUGGAAUGAGCUUCCAAAAGAGAAAUAGUGUGUCGGGCGCAAAUUGGGCGCGAAACGAAAUAUAAAAGAGUAAAGGAAUUUUCGCGAAUUCCGACGCUAACUUGAUUAAGAAGAUUAAAGUAAGGCCUAAAGGAUAAAUUGUGGUAUCGUCCGAAUACAAUUGUGAAGUUUUGGUAAAGCCAAGGGUGUGUUUCACAGUUGUAUAAAGAGCUCAGUGCGAAGUGUAGUGCAAAAGAGGCAUGUAAUGGAAUUGGAGCGCGAUUCUAUUUCUAAUUCGGCUCAAAUAAGUGUAAAAUGAAAGGAAUUGUUCCACAUUAAAAUUGGUCAGGCUUGGAAGUCCGCUUGGUGUUAUUUUGGAAGUGUUGGGUGAAAUCGGAGCGAAAACGAAAAUUUAGAAUUUUUUUGUAAGGAUACGGGCUGAGAAAAUUAGCGUAAAAUGCAACAGUGUCAGACAAAUUUGAAAAUUGGGCAAAGUGUCAGGAACAUUAUUUAUGAGCUAGAUUGAAGUUUCAAGAUUUUUUCUGACAACCCGUAGAGAAGAAUUGAAUCCGAAAGCUAUCGGAAUAAAAGGAAUUUUUUUUCCAAAGUUUUCGUAAGUUCGCAGUGACACAAACGGGGUGCGAAACUGAGAAUGUUAAAAUUUCAGUGGAUUAUUAAGUAAAAACGAUCAUUCUCCUCUGCCAAAAUUUGAGCUCAAUCGGACCUCGAAAAGGGCUUACGAACGUAUAUAAUCCGUCGACUAAACGAGUAAGUUCCGAGGGCAUUUUGGUAUUAGCAUAUGACCUUAGUGAAUUCACUAACCUGGCAAGCCAGGGCCAUCCUUAUCCCCUGGCACCUCUUAUUGCAGCAUACGUCUAGAGAAGAGAGGAAAGCAAGAGCAAAGGGCAGGGGAGAGAAAAAAAGAGAGAGCAAGAAGAGAAAGGAGAAAGAUAAGAGAACAAAAGGAGAACAAGGUAAAUUAUAAAUCUCUCGACUCUCUCCCCCUCUCCCUGGCUCGGUUGUAAGCAUAGCAGGCCAGACAGCAGGCAGUGCAAGCAGUAGCAGCAAGCUACAGCAGCAGGCUGCUUCAGGGCAUGCUGCAGCCAGCAUCAGCAGCAGCAGGCUGCAGCUAGCAGCAGGCAAGCUAGUAGCCAGCAGCAAGAGCAGAGCACAGGCAGCUCAGCAGCUGCUGCAGAGCAGCAGCAGCUGCAGCAGCAGGGCAGCACAGCCUGCGCCAGCCAGGAGCCAGCAGGCAGCAGUGUAAAGCAGCAGCAGCAAGCAGCUCCAGCAGCAGCAGCUGGCAGCUUAGGCAGCAGCAGCACAAGCUGCUGCAGCAGCAGCAGCUCAGCCAGCAGCAGCAGCAGUAGCUUGUAUAAGCGCAGCAGCAUAUGCAGCCACGCAGCAGCAGCAGCUGCCAGCUUAGCAGCAGCAGGGGCAGUGGCAACAGUGCACAGGCAGCAGCUGUCCCUACAGGGCCAGCAAGAAAGACGAAAACAAAAAAGAAGAAAAGAGGAAGAAAGAAGAAAUAAAAACGAAAGAAAGAGAAGAAGAACAAAAAGAUUAAAUGAAAUAGAGAAGAAAAGAUGAAUCGAAGUAUUGACCAUUUUUUUAAGCUAACUGAUUUGAGGUCCUGGGCUAAUCAAGAGUUGAAAUUACUCUAUUGAUGAAUUGUGAAAUUGCCAUUCGAAAUAGUGUUAUUUUGAGAAAACUGACCCUGGCAAAUGCACUUUUGCAAAAUAAGAGUCCUAAUGCGAAAUUGACGGCGUGUAACCAAAUGAGGAAAAGCAAGAUGCGUUGCUCGAAGUCCGGUUCGGCAAUCGACGAACCUACGCAAAGAUAUGCGCCAAAAGAAGUUUUCGGCUAUAGUUGCCGCUUAUACUCGCAUUGAAAUGCCUAACUUGUAAAAUAUGAGUAAUGACUCUAGUUACAUCUUUUAAUCUCUUAUAAGUUAAAGUAAAAUGCCAAGAGUCUAAAUUGACUUUCCGACAGUCGACGACACCUUAAUUCCGGUAGAGCCGCGCUCUAAUACUAUUUGCACGAGUCACGGAGAUAGUGUCCGACGCUUUCCGAGACCAUGGAUUCUAGUUGAUUGACACCACUUACACAGGUGGUGGUGCUAUCUCGAACUCUUUGAAUCACCUUUUAUAGUCUAAUAUUCUUCGAUGAGAACAUCAUUAUAUUUGUAUGUCAGCAUAUGGGGUUUGGCAUUGAGCGAUGUGAAAAUGUGAAUUCCCAUAUCAAGCAAUAAGAGAAUGUUGUGGAACGCUUAAUUGUGGACAUAGAACCCUAAUGAAUGCAUGGACGCAAACAAUACGUAAACUUGGUGACAUCAUGAUAUAGGAUUUGGAAACUAGUUAAGAACUAGUUAGAGUUAAAUUACAUUGUUGUCAGUUGAUAUCCAUACUAAAAGGGGAUCAGCAUCUUACUCACCAUAGUCUGUUUCUUUAGCUUGGUGUGGUCGCUCCCGACCCAGGCAGUGAGCUCACGGAGUAGUCACUGUUGGGCUAACGUACUUGCCCUAAAAAACAUGCAGGACUAACGUACUGUCUGACAGACGGUCCAUCGUGAGGGGGCACUAGGGGCCGUGAGGGAUUUCGUUGGUGAGUUAUUGUAACACAAAGGUUUUAACCACUGGCAUUGGGUAAAUUAUGGACUAAACGUACUUGUCAGGGCGUUAAACAGAGGUUCACCAAAAGAUUGGGUAAAGUUAAUUGAAAAGCAUGCAUGCAUAUUUACCAGUUUCAAUCUGUACUUCUUUCAGCUUUUACUAGGCAUUGUAGUACAAUUAAUGUUAUAUGUUUGGUUAGCUAUCUGGCUUACUUUUCUGCCUUACAUAUGGCCUGAGUAGACGCUAGGUGGUGAUCGCGAAGUCCGGCAGCCGAACUCCACUGGGAAGCUUUCUUGUAGCUUCUCACACACUAACCAUAACAGCGUUCCAAGUGGCGAAGUUUUGAGGGUGAGACGUGGGCCAAGGGCCCUGCAAGCUUAAGCUAGGCUGACCACAGAGUUUAGCACCAGUUACCAUGUUUGAGUCAUGUAUACAUUCUCAUUUUGAUGUACAGAGACAUGUAAUGAAUGUAUAAAAAGCAUGUAAUAACUAAAUGUUUCAGUUAUGUAAAGUUUUAAAUUACAGUGGAUUUCAUGUUUAGUUAGACUUACUAUCAGCUUGUGUUGUUGCUUGUCUUUGUGCAAGCCAUGUAUAUUGAAAAUGUGAGCCUGGAAAUUGUUUAAUUUCUUUAUACAUGUUCAUUCGUUGUUGUCCGAGCCUUGGCGAACAGAGGGAGGUGCUGUCGUUCGCGUCUGUGUACGGGCCCGUCGACCAAAUUGGCGAUACGGACGUGACAGAUAAAGUGGUAUCUAUAGCAAGUAUAGAAAAGUCCUAAGGAAUGACCUAGGGGACUUAGAUUGGAAACCUAGGAAACCAGGAAAUCGCGAGUGCGUGAAUUUAAUGAUAGCGAAGCCAACAAUUGGGUUAGUUGUUACAAGUCUGCUAAUGUUAAUUAGGGGCUGAUGCGCUGAAGUGCUUAUUUAUAUGGGCAAGCAAAAGAGUUAGUGUUGAAUGCCACAACACAUAAAGCUAAGGUUGAGUAAUAAAUGACUUGAAUUGCUUUCGCCUGUUGUUUGUUUUACUAAUGGAGUUUUGAAAUGUUCGUUCAGGAGAAAUGCCACCGCGACGUGUAACGAGAUCCACUCCGGCAUCACCCUUUGAGGUGAGCCAGAGCAGUCUGUGGUCGGAUGAGGUUCAGGAGCUUGCGUGCUCCAAGGUGAGCGCGUUAGAGGGCUAUGCAGAGGCAGACGGAGAACAUAAGAGGUUGCAGGAAUUGGUGUCGCAACAGGCGGACGAACAGCAGCUUUGGGAAGUCAGGAUGUACCUUAUCGCGGAUCCGCCAGUGUAUUAGCCCCUCCCUCCAGUUGAAUUAUUCUCCGUGGUCUCAUGACGCUUCUAGUUCUGAUUCGGCGCGACAACGCCGAGCACGAGCGAUCCUUAUCAGGUAUGACGCGUUCAUUGCAGGUUUUAAUCCGCCAUGUUGACGGGAAAGAAGCCGCGAUCUUGGGUAUUGGAGACGUGGCUUUCAACAUCGAUGGAAGCCUUGUUUUGAGGAUUUAUAACCCUGGAACAAUGAUAAGGUUAUUUGCAAGCGCACUGUUUGAGCAAGGAUGCCAGAUUUUGUGGCAAAAGGCAAGAAAAGCUCAGGUCUAAACACUUCAUCGCAUUACCUGGGAGGAGUUUAUGAGAGAUUAUUCAUGGAAGUACUUACCCAGAUAGCGACAGAAGAAAGUUUGAAGGAUAGAGUGUAGGAAGUUGAGACAGCGGGAACCGUUCGGUACGGGAGUACGAAGGGGUUUAACUCAUUUGGUGAACCUGUGUACCAGGCAUGGUUCAUACUGAUAGAGAUCGAGCAGAGUACUUCGAGCGGGGUUACCUCUCUCUCUCUCUCUCUCUCUCUCUCUCUCUCUACCUCUAUUCUCUCUCUUUCUCCCCUUUCUCUGUCUGCUCUCUCUCUCUCUCUCUCUCUCUCCCUCUCUCUGCCUGCUCUCUCUCUCUCUCUCUCCCUCUGUUAUCUCUCUCUUUCUCGCACAAGGCCCCCGCAAAACGCGGGGAACGCGCCGUACAAACUCUCGAUUCAAGAGUUAUAUAGAUAGAUAAAGUAGAGUUCGGGCGAAAUCAUGGAGGAUUUUUUGGUAAGAACAUAUAAAAUAUAUUAUAAACGGCGUAUUUCUAUAUGCAGAAUAUAUACGAUAUUGCAUACAAAAAUAAAUGUUAUUUUUUUAUCAUAUUUCUUUUAUUGUACGUGCCAUAUUUUUUUCACAAUUGUAAAUAAAAUCUGAAUCUACAUUGAAUAUUCUAGUGUAUAUACACAAUUUAUAAUAUUUUUCUGUAAGGCAACAUUAAAAUUCUGUGUUUUAUAAAUUAAGUAAUACAAUGUAGCAUUUGAGCAUCUCUAGUCUAUGAAAUAUAAUACUCUACUACUUUAUUAUUUAUUCACAAAAAGUUAAAAUAGAAAACACAAAAAAGGUGAAAUGCUAUGUUUUUAAGCAUAAACUAGUAACAAUUUCCGUGAAAUUACAAAUUAAUUGUCUUUUGUGGAUGCAAUAUUUCUACAGCUAUACACAUAAAUUACUUCCAACAACUGAGAUCCAUCACCGACUGUUCCUAGAGCAAGUGACAAAGGGCUUGGUGGUUGGUAUCGAGACUCAAGUUCGAAUUCUAGUUGAUUCACAUUUCCAGCUAAGUUUAUUCUAAAUGAAAUAAACAAAGCGGAUAGCGUGCUACCUUUCUCUCAAAAAAAAAACAACUGAGAUCCAUCUAACUGUAGAUAUACAGAAUUUACAUUCAAAAGUUAAGAUCUAUGUUGUUGUAAAUAUACGAUUUAUGUGUAUCAAAUUAAAUUAAACAACAGUAUUCUUCAAAAAUUUAAGCUGAUAGAGUAUGGUAUUUUUUUUUUUAUAUUUAACACUCGCUCUCCCAUUUGGACUCGAAAUCUUUUAAUAAACCCAUAAUAUGCACUUGUAUUAAAUAUAAAGAAAUAUGAUGUGAUUCAAAUACAGGAUCUCCAUCUGAAGCUGAUAGAGAACGAUAAUAUUAUAUUUUCAUAAUUAACAUAUAAAACAUGCUCCCACCCUUGUGAUAAUAUAUCUCUAAGGACUUGAUAGUUAGUAUUUGAAGUUUUAAGUUUGAAAUAUUUUUUUUUAAUUUUUUUCUUGAGUAUUUAUUCUCUAGAAUUUUCUUUAAAAUAAAAAAGAAAGGGUCAAAUGCAUACAGCUCCCUGCAAAUAUAGCCAAUUGCGGAUAUAUUCCUGCAAAAUCGAAACUCCAUAAGUUGUCCCUGCAAAAGUUUCAAGUUAUGCAGAUAUGUCCAUGCAGUUAACAUCUGUUAAUAAGCUGUUUGUUUUUUAACAGCGAAGUCGUGAAAUGACCAUUUUACCCUCACAAAUAUAUCCCUCCAAAAGUUUUCCUCUUUCCCUUCUCUUUCUUUUCCUUUUCGGACCGUCGAAGCAGACGACGGCGGCGGCGGCGCGGGGUCAGGUUCGCCGGCGACGAAGAAGAGGGAAGAACGCCGGGGCACCGGAGCUCUACCCGGAGCUCGUCGCCCUCAACGCCAUCCCCUCCCUCGUCGGCCUCCUCGGCCACCACAUCGCCGACAUCGCCGUCGACGUCGUCUCCCUCUUCAUCGACCUCACCGACGCCGACGUCCUCGGCGACCACGACGACCCCGCGCACGCCCUCGUCGCCGCCCUCGUCGACAACAACGCCCUCGAGCUUCUCGUCAAGAAACUCGUCCGCCUUUCCUCCGAGACCGACCCCGACGAGGUUCUUCUCCCUCGCCGGUGACGAAGAAGAGGGAAGAGGAAGAGGAUGAAGGAAGAAGGAAGAAGAAGGGAAAAGAGGAAGAGGGAAGAGGAAAAGGAAGAGGGUUCUCCACCGUCGCCGUCGUCGCCGCCGCAUCUCCUGGCCGGCGACGAAGAAGAAGGAAGAGGAAGAGGAGGAAGAGGAAGAAGGGUAAAUACGUCAAUUCACACUAUAAUUAACCAUGGUUAAGUAUUUUAACCAUGGUUAACGAAAAUUUUCUAACAGAUCUGGACGGUAGGGACAUAUCUGCAUAACUUAGGACUUUUGCAGGGAUAACUUAUGAAGUUUUCAAUUUGCAGGGAUAUAUCCGCAAUUUAUUAUGUUUGGAGGGACGUGUACGCAAAUAACCCGAAAAGAAAAAACAUGUAACUCUUUAACAUGACCUCACUGCUUACGUUUGAAAGAGCUAAUAAAUAAAGCCACUAGAACUUAAUUGCACUACAGCAGGUGGGUAUUUAAGCUGCAUUUGGUUCGGAUAUAAAUAAAAACAGCUUAUUUUAGGAACAAGUACAAGUUUAUGUAUAAGCAAAAAUUAAAUCAAUUUUUUGUUCAGAGGAAAAUUAGAUUGUUCUUGUGAAUAAAAUAAAUAGUGUUUGGAUAGUUAGAUUAGAGCAAGAGGAAUAAGAAUUAUAAUUCUAAAUUAAAAAUAUUUAUCUAAUUAAUUAACAUCAAAAUAUUAAUUAAAAAUAAUUUAAUAAAUUAAUAAGUUUAUUAGCUGUAAAUAUUGUAUAAGAUAAUAAAAGGAUAUUGAUCAACUAAUUAAAUAAAAAAAUAAUUUAAUUUUUUAAUUAGUUAGUAAAUUAUUGUAAUUAAAUAACUAGUAAAAAAUUAAUUAGAUUAAUAAAAAUAUUAAUGGUUGUUCAAUAUAAAUGUUAGUUUAUGGAUAAACAUAUUAAAUUAUUAAUAAUUAAUUAGUUAAUUAAUUACAAAAUAAUAAAUUAAUUAAUCACUUUAUUAUUUAAACAAUAAAUAAUGAUUUAAAUAUAAUAAUUAAAUUAGUUAAUAAUUUAAUACUGUAAUUAAAACUAAAUUUAAAUUUUAAUUAAUUUUGUUCCUACCCGGAAACAAAUUUGUUCGCGGAAAAAAAUGGUGGAACAAAUUUGGACCACCUUUCCUAAAGCUAGCUAGGGGGAUCGAUGACAUGCCCUUUGUUAGUACUGGAAAUGCUUCUUUCUUGUACUUCCGACAUGUUAAUCACAAGGACCAUAAAUUAAAUACUAUCAUUAAUUUAUCAAACAAAAUAUUAAUUAAUUGCUCUCCAAUUUGUCUGUUUGGCGGUUCUGAUGCACGGUAUAAUAUGCUAGCUGAGAUUAAUCUUUAAUCGCGAGAGAAGUACCAGCAUUCUUAACUAAUUAUAAUCUCCACAAACAGACGCAGAGCUAAUAUACUUUACAUCGACGAAACACAAGCAUACACACUACAUCGCAGCAAACAGUGAAGCAGAGUCGGAAGGCAAAGAUGAGAGCGUUGAGUACUCGAUCAAAGAUUCAUCACCAUCAGGUGGCCUUUCUCCUGCAGGCUCUUCACGGUCUCAUAGAGGCAUUGCAUCGCCGGCGUGAAUUCGAGGCCAAGGUCCUUCAACCGCUGGUUCGAGAACUUAUACGGUUGCUUUCGAGGAUUUAUCUCAUCUGAGCAUCUGCACAUAUAUGUAUAUACACACACACUCUUAAAACUUAGUAGUUACAAAAAUGUUAAUGAACAAUUAACAAUAAUUAACAAUAAUCUCAGGGCAUUUUAAUGAAAUAAUUGGAUUAUGGCCUAGAGAUUAGAGAGGGGGACUUCAGGUGACCUGGACUUAACUCAGUCCAACAAAUUUACAAGAAAAUAAAUGUAGGAUGAUGAUCCCUUGAAUAAAAUUACUAACUAUGUGGCCGUUUUAAUCGCCACGUAAUUUUGUUAGGCUUCAAAUUGCUACAAAAACUAUCUUAUUCCUUCAAAUUUUGAUAAUUAAGUAUACGAAUCAGAGAAUAAUUAAGUCACGCUCGACUAUAUAUCUUUGUUUUUUGUUGCUUUUUUCAUAAAUUAAAAAUAGAAAUGAUUUUCUUUGUAUUUAAAAUUUAUAUAAAAUUAUGCAACGCAUACACGGUCAAAACAGUUGUAUAAUUAGUAAUUUUGAUUAAAGAAAAAAGGCUAUAAAAUUCUUUGAAAAUUUUAAUAGAUCCAAUUGCCAAAGUCGGAGUUUAGAAAUCUUUAAAAAAAAAGCUAAAUUUCAAAAUGUGUUAAUACACUUUUUUUAAUUUACAAAAUUGUACCUAAACCAAAAAAAAAGAAAAGAAAAGAAAAAAAAAAAGCAUGACCUCAUUAACUAUGUCAUCACCUCACCUAUAACUCACUCAUAUUUGUUCCUGAAUAUAGGUCUUAUAUAUCAUUACCAUUUACUAUUCUUCUUUAACAUUCCAAUCAAAAUAGUACUUUAAUAAAGGAUCACAUGUAUAUAUAGUGAAUAAAAGUGAAAGAUGCCUUACUAAUUAAUAAAGUUACAAUCAAUCAAGUUAAAGCAGAGGCAAUAAUUGGUGGAAAAUGUUUUGCCUAGUUAGAUAUCACCUACCCAUAAUUAGUGACCACCACCACAUACAACACCAAAAUUUGGCAAUGAAUUACUAAUCAUCUUCCUUUAGAAUAUUGUUAUGGGUAGGAAAGAGAAAUGUUAGGAAAAUCCCCAACUACUGGCCAUUUUGAAAACCUUUAUGUAUCAUUUGAUGAUUUUACUUUGCCAAGUUGGUGGCCAAGUAAAAGCGAAACCAGUAUUUAGUUAGAACGUGUACAAAAUUAACUUACCAACUAUAUUAUGAUGAGAUACAGAGGAUUUUACUUGGUCACCGACGAUUCUUAUGUUUUGCAAAAUAAUUAUUGUUACAAUUAAUAGUUAUCAAUUGUAAUUGUACUUAUUGUUAGAAAGGAAAUAAAAUCUAGUAAUGCCUCUAUUGAACAAGCCUUAUAACUAAGAUAAAUGACAAAACAAAACUGAAACCUUAAUUUCAGUCAUUGAACACUUCUUUUUUGCUUUUAAAAAAAAAAAAAAAAAUGGAAUUGGAAGCUUGAUCUCCUACAACCCCAUCAAUCUUGAGUUCUCAAACUUUUAAUUUGUUGCAAUAUUUGACUCGAACUUUCAGAAUUAUUGCAAUCAAAUCCUAUAGCCCAAUUUUAGCAACUAAAUGUUGAUAAUCACUAAUGUAGGGAUAACGUAAUAGUGGUGCGAUUGAUGAUGCAUCAAUAAUUACGAUGUCACAUCACGUUACAUCAACGAUACAUUAAAAUUUGAUCAACUAAAUUGGAUUGUAAAACUUGAUUGCAAUAUUCUAAAAAUUCGAGUAAAAAAUUACUACAAAUUAAAGUUUGAGAAUCAAAGCGUUACCGACCACAUAGUUUGGGGACUUGUCCAUAAAUAAAUGAACAAUUAAGAUUAAACGUUUGGUUUCCUACCUAAGCCCCAGUAGGUUGGCAUAUUUUCUGUCACAUAAACUUGAUGAAUUAAACUCUUUUUGGAACUUUGGUUAGUUCCUUUUGUUUUUUCUCUUCAAGAAACAAAUUAGGUGACAACCUUAUAUCAGUUUGGUACAACCGAAUCAUUCACUUGUACAAUCUUUUUUUAUUAGUAGGGAAAACUUCAAAAACCCUCCCUGUGGUUUCACACUUUUUCAUUUUAGUACCAUGUGGUUUAAAGUUUAUCAAGUUAGUACCCUGUGAUUUCUCACUUUAUCACUUUAGUACCCUGUGGUUUAAAGUGUAUCAAGUUAGUACCCUGUGGUUUUGCACUUUAUCACUUUAGUACCCUGUGGUUUCACACUUUAUCACUUUAGUACCUUGUGAUUUAAAAAACCACAGGGUACUAACUUGAUACAAAUUAAAACCACAGGGNAAACAACGAUUUCAAGUUCUGUUUUGAUCUGUUGCAUCUUUUAAGAACACUUUCUCUAAAUAUUUUGUGUUUUCUAAGUUCAAGCCCUUCAUUCUUUGUUUCAUUAAUUGAUGUGUUAUUAUCUACUUAUCUCUUGGUAUUGCCAUUCUGGUUUCUGAAAAGCUUUAGUUUCUGUAAUUUUUGUGACCAUGCUAAUUCACUCCCAUGAUUUCCAUCAGGAGGGUUGAAGUGUAUAAGUAUUGUCAUCCAUUGAUACUCGACUGAUCUCAGUGUCGAAGCUCAGGACCUUAUGCUCUGAUAUUCAUUGCUCUGAUAUUCAUUGAUAUGACCAUGUUCGCAUGCAGCGUGUGUUGAUAAAUUUUUUGUAACAAAUUAGAUUAGCAAUAUAUCGUGGGAAAAAUUUUUGCUCCGACUGUGUAUUUCUUGUGGCGUGCAAGUGAACAAUACCUGACGUGACUAUGAAAAAGUUGUAAUGGAUUAUGAGAAUUGUAUUUUCCCUUUCCGGAAAGAGUACGUACAGUGAAAGCAAAAUUGUUUCUCUUUAAUUAAUUAGAUACAUGUUGUAUAAGUUUUGCGAAUUAUGAAUCUGAAUUUUGGUGUGUUUGUUCUCGCUACUGUGUUUUGUUUUAUUUUAUUAAGUGAAAUCUGUUUUCUUGCUUAGUCAAAUUAAAUGUUUGGCUUUGACAAUUCAAAAUGUUUUAUUUUAUCGUAAAGGGGUGUUUGGUUCCUCUGAAAAAAUAUUCUAGAAAAUAGUUUUAUAGCCGAAAAGGUGAACAAUAUGUGCUAGGGCUUUUUUUGCAUUUAGACCCCUGACAAAUUUUUAUUUUAAAAAUAGCCCUGUCAAAAUUUAAUUUGCAAAAAUGGCCCUCGACCUGCCACGCAGGCGCCACGUCAGCGCCACGCGGGCAGGGCUGUGCCCGUGUGUUAAGUUGAACACGGUGAACCAUUCACCGUGUUCAAACACGGUGAAUGGUUCACCGUGUUUAGUACGUAUUUUUUGUUACGUAUUUUUUGUAUAUUGAAAAGUGGAAUAAGGAGUAGGGAUGUCAAUAGAUAUGGAUAUCCGAAAUAUUAUUCGAAUUCAAACCCGAAUAAAUUAUAUAUAUAUAUANNNNNNNNNNNNNNNNNNNNNNNNNNNNNNNNNNNNNNNNNNNNNNNNNNNNNNNNNNNNNNNNNNNNNNNNNNNNNNNNNNNNNNNNNNNNNNNNNNNNNNNNNNNNNNNNNNNNNNNNNNNNNNNNNNNNNNNNNNNNNNNNNNNNNNNNNNNNNNNNNNNNNNNNNNNNNNNNNNNNNNNNNNNNNNNNNNNNNNNNNNNNNNNNNNNNNNNNNNNNNNNNNNNNNNNNNNNNNNNNNNNNNNNNNNNNNNNNNNNNNNNNNNNNNNNNNNNNNNNNNNNNNNNNNNNNNNNNNNNNNNNNNNNNNNNNNNNNNNNNNNNNNNNNNNNNNNNNNNNNNNNNNNNNNNNNNNNNNNNNNNNNNNNNNNNNNNNNNNNNNNNNNNNNNNNNNNNNNNNNNNNNNNNNNNNNNNNNNNNNNNNNNNNNNNNNNNNNNNNNNNNNNNNNNNNNNNNNNNNNNNNNNNNNNNNNNNNNNNNNNNNNNNNNNNNNNNNNNNNNNNNNNNNNNNNNNNNNNNNNNNNNNNNNNNNNNNNNNNNNNNNNNNNNNNNNNNNNNNNNNNNNNNNNNNNNNNNNNNNNNNNNNNNNNNNNNNNNNNNNNNNNNNNNNNNNNNNNNNNNNNNNNNNNNNNNNNNNNNNNNNNNNNNNNNNNNNNNNNNNNNNNNNNNNNNNNNNNNNNNNNNNNNNNNNNNNNNNNNNNNNNNNNNNNNNNNNNNNNNNNNNNNNNNNNNNNNNNNNNNNNNNNNNNNNNNNNNNNNNNNNNNNNNNNNNNNNNNNNNNNNNNNNNNNNNNNNNNNNNNNNNNNNNNNNNNNNNNNNNNNNNNNNNNNNNNNNNNNNNNNNNNNNNNNNNNNNNNNNNNNNNNNNNNNNNNNNNNNNNNNNNNNNNNNNNNNNNNNNNNNNNNNNNNNNNNNNNNNNNNNNNNNNNNNNNNNNNNNNNNNNNNNNNNNNNNNNNNNNNNNNNNNNNNNNNNNNNNNNNNNNNNNNNNNNNNNNNNNNNNNNNNNNNNNNNNNNNNNNNNNNNNNNNNNNNNNNNNNNNNNNNNNNNNUUCACACUUUUUCAUUUUAGUACCCUGUGGUUUAAAGUUUAUCAAGUUAGUACCCUGUAGUUUCUCACUUUAUCAAGUUAGUACCCUGUGGUUUUGCACUUUAUCACUUUAGUACCCUGUGGUUUCACACUUUAUCACUUUAGUACCCUGUGAUUUAAAAAACCACAGGGUACUAACUUGAUACAAAUUAAAACCACAGGGUACUAAAGUGAUAAAGUACAAAACCACAGGGUACUAACUUGAUACACUUUAAACCACAGGGUACUAAAGUGAUAAAGUGAGAAACCACAGGGUACUAACUUGAUACAUUUUAAACCACAGGGUACUAAAGUGAAAAAAAUUGAAACCACAAGGGGGGUUUUUGAAGUUUUCCCUUAUUAGUAUUAAUUUAACUUUUGUUUCCUUCAAGCGCAUGCAUGCGCAAAAGUGUUCUCUGUAAUAAAUAUUUCACACAGAAUUAUAUCAAGCCAAUACUAUUGAGAUGAAAAUACUUGGUUAAUUGUUGUUGUUUUUAUACAAAAUAUAUCCAUCUGUUACGAAGAAAAGUUAUUUCCCACUUAACCUUUCCACUCUCUGAAUUAACCAUCACUUCUCAUCCUAUAAUUUCUAAUACAGCUCCUUAGAAGCUAGCAAUUCUAUUGCAACCUAAAACAUAUGUAGAGAGGCCAACUGUUCCUAGCCCAAGCGACAAAAGUAUAUACAAUGGUUAGUAAUUGGGGAUCCCAGUUCGAAACAUAGUUAUUUUAUAGUAUGCUACUUUUUUAUUAAGAGAAAAAA
rnacentral:lncRNA from 1 species